GUGGGAAAAAUUUACGGCGGUGGUUAGAAAUUGAUGGAAACGGUGGGGGAAAAUACAUGAACUGGACUCUAACAAGACCUAACCAGCAAUAAGACCUCGACGAGGACACAAACUCAACACUGCGGACUCUGAAACUGAAAUAUGCAAAGGCUAUGACGUGGAAGGGUUGUAGGACAAGAAACGAUAUGACACUGCACUUAUGGGACGAACACAAGAACACUCAAAACUAAGGGUAGAUGUGAACCUAAAGGUAUACCUAAAGCUUUGAUUCCCACAUGAUGAGAACAAGGGUGACCCGAUCUUCUAAAAGGUUCUGGUAACUCUCGAUUUGGUGGAGACGAGACACAAAUCGAUCCGGCUUCCGAACAACACGAUCCGAAACCCUGCAAAUUUUUUUAUUUUUUUGAUAUUUUUCUUUUAGUUAGAGCACCAAAGGAGUGACCACAGAAAAUUUGAGCUUAAACCAGUGAAAGACAUGGCCUACGAAAAUUUCUGAAAAUUGUGAAAAAUGUGAAAAAAACAUCAUGAGGUGAAAACUCAAACUUCAGUUGUGAAUUUGGAGGUCCUAAAAUUUGCAAACCAGCCAAGGGAGGGGACAGACAGAUCCGAAAUUUUUUUCUGAUCGAUUUUGAUAUAUGGAACAUUGAAAUCGGAGCUCGUAUGCGAAAGUUAUGGCUAUUUUACGAACGGACUCCAAAUUAGAGGACAAAACGGUGCGAAAGUGGGCAAAAUUUACGGUGGUGGCUAGAAAUUGAUGGAAACGGUGGGGGAAAAUACAUGAACUGGACUCUAACAAGACCUAACCAGCAACAAGACCUCGACAAGGACACAAACUCAACACUGCGGACUCUGAAACUGAAAUAUGCAAAGGCUAUGACGCGGAAGGGUUGUAGGACAAGAAAACGAUAUGACACAGGAGUUAUGGGACGAACCAAGAACACUCGAAACUAAAGGUAGAUGUGAACCUAACGGUAUACCUAAAGCUUUGAUUUCCACAUAUGAGAACAAGGGUGAACCGAUCUUCUAAAAGGUUCUGGUAACUCUCGAUUUGGUGGAGACGAGACACAAAUCGAUCCGGGUUCCGAACAACACGAUCCGAAACCCUGCAAUUUUUUUUAUUUUUUUUGAUAUUUUUCUUUUAGUUAGAGCACCAAAGGAGUAACCACAGAAAAUUUGAGCUUAAACCAGUGAAAAACAUGGCCUACGAAAAUUUCUGAAAAUUGUGAAAAAUGUGAAAAACAUCACGAGGUGAAAACUCAAACUUCGGAGGUGAAUUUGGAGGUUCUAAAUUUUCAAACCUACCAAUGGAGUGACAAACAGAUCCAAAAUUUUUUCUGAUCGAUUUUGAUAUAUGGAACGUUGUAAACGGAGCUCGUAUGUGAAAGUUAUGGCUAUUUUACGAACGGACUCCAAGUUAGAGGACAAAACGGUCCGAAAGUGGGAAAAAUUUGCGGUGGUGGCUAGAAAUUGAUGGAAACGGUGGGGGAAAAUACAUGAACUGGACUCUAACAAGACCUAACCAGCAACAAGACCUCGACAAGGACACAAACUCAACACUGCGGACUCUGAAACUGAAAUAUGCAAAGGCUAUGACGCGGAAGGGUUGUAGGACAAGAAAACGAUAUGACACAGGACUUAUGGGACGAACCAAGAACACUCGAAACUAAAGGUAGAUGUGAACCUAACGGUAUACCUAAAGCUUUGAUUUCCACAUAUGAGAACAAGGGUGACCCGAUCUUCUGAAGUUCUGGUAACUCUCGAUUUGGUGGAGACGAGACACAAAUCGAUCCGUCUUCCGAACAACACGAUCCGAAACCCUGCAUUUUUUUUUGAUAUUUUUCUUUUAGUUAGAGCACCAAAGGAGUGACCACAGAAAAUUUGAGCUUAAACUAGUGAAAGACAUGGCCUACAAAAAUUUCUGAAAAUUAUGUAAAAUGUGAAAAAAAAACAUCACGAGGUGAAAACUCAAACUUCAGAGGUGAAUUUGGAGGUUCUAAAGUUUUCAAACUCGCCAAUGGAGGGGACAGAGAGAUCCAAAAUUUUUUUCUGAUCGAUUUUGAUAUAUUGAACGUUGAAAUCAGAGCUCGUAUGCGAAAGUUAUGGCUAUUUUACAAACAGACUCCAAAUUAGAGGACAAAAUGGUCCGAAAGUGGGAAAAAUUUGCGGCGGUGGCUAGAAAUUGAUGGAAACGGUGGGGGAAAAUACAUGAACUGGACUCUAACAAGACCUAACCAGCAAUAAGACCUCGACGAGGACACAAACUCAACACUGCGGACUCUGAAACUGAAAUAUGCAAAGGCUAUGACGUGGAAGGGUUGUAGGACAAGAAAACGAUAUGACACUGCACUUAUGGGACGAACACAAGAACACUCAAAACUAAGGGUAGAUGUGAACCUAAUGGUAUACCUAAAGCUUUGAUUCCCACAUGAUGAGAACAAGGGUGACCCGAUCUUCUAAAAGGUUCUGGUAACUCUCGAUUUGGUGGAGACGAGACACAAAUCGAUCCGGCUUCCGAACAACACGAUCCGAAACCCUGCAAUUUUUUUUAUUUUUUUGAUAUUUUUCUUUUAGUUAGAGCACCAAAGGAGUGACCACAGAAAAUUUGAGCUUAAACCAGUGAAAGACUUGGCCUACGAAAAUUUCUGAAAAUUAUGUAAAAUGUGAAAAAAAAACAUCACAAGGUGAAAACUCAAAAUUCAGAGGUGAAUUUGGAGGUUCUAAAGUUUUCAAACUCGCCAAUAGAGGGGACAGAGAGAUCCGAAAUUUUUUUCUGAUCGACUUUGAUAUAUUGAACGUUGAAAUCAGAGCUCGUAUGCGAAAGUUAUGGCUAUUUUACAAACAGACUCCAAAUUAGAGGACAAAAUGGUCCGAAAGUGGGAAAAAUUUGCGGCGGUGGCUACAAAUUGAUGGAAACGGUGGGGGAAAAUACAUGAACUGGACUCUAACAAGACCUAACCAGCAAUAAGACCUCGACGAGGACACAAACUCAACGCUGCGGACUCUGAAACUGAAAUAUGCAAAGGCUAUGACGUGGAAGGGUUGUAGGACAAGAAAACGAUAUGACACUGCACUUAUGGGACGAACACAAGAACACUCAAAACUAAGGCUAGAUGUGAACCUAAUGGUAUACCUAAAGCUUUGAUUCCCACAUGAUGAGAACAAGGGUGACCCGAUCUUCUAAAAGGUUCUGGUAACUCUCGAUUUGGUGCAGACGAGACACAAAUCGAUCCGGCUUNNNNNNNNNNNNNNNNNNNNNNNNNNNNNNNNNNNNNNNNNNNNNNNNNNNNNNNNNNNNNNNNNNNNNNNNNNNNNNNNNNNNNNNNNNNNNNNNNNNNAAACAUCAUGAGGUGAAAACUCAAACUUCAGUUGUGAAUUUGGAGGUCCUCAAAUUUUCAAACCAACCAAGGGAGGGGACAGACAGAUCCGAAAUUUUUUUCUGAUCGAUUUUGAUAUAUGGAACAUUGAAAUCGGAGCUCGUAUGCGAAAGUUAUGGCUAUUUUACAAACGGACUCCAAAUUAGAGGACAAAACGGUGCGAAAGUGGGCAAAAUUUACGGUGGUGGCUAGAAAUUGAUGGAAACGGUGGGGGAAAAUACAUGAACUGGACUCUAACAAGACCUAACCAGCAACAAGACCUCGACGAGGACACAAACUCAACACUGCGGACUCUAAAACUGAAAUAUGCAAAGGCUAUGACGUGGAAGGGUUGUAGGACAAGAAAACGAUAUGACACUGCACUUAUGGGACGAACACAAGAACACUCAAAACUAAGGGUAGAUGUGAACCUAAUGGUAUACCUAAAGCUUUGAUUCCCACAUGAUGAGAACAAGGGUGACCCGAUCUUCUAAAAGGUUCUGGUAACUCUCGAUUUGGUGGAGACGAGACACAAAUCGAUCCGGCUUCCGAACAACACGAUCCGAAACCCUGCAAUUUUUUUUAUUUUUUUGAUAUUUUUCUUUUAGUUAGAGCACCAAAGGAGUGACCACAGAAAAUUUGAGCUUAAACCAGUGAAAGACUUGGCCUACGAAAAUUUCUGAAAAUUAUGUAAAAUGUGAAAAAAAAACAUCACAAGGUGAAAACUCAAAAUUCAGAGGUGAAUUUGGAGGUUCUAAAGUUUUCAAACUCGCCAAUAGAGGGGACAGAGAGAUCCGAAAUUUUUUUCUGAUCGACUUUGAUAUAUUGAACGUUGAAAUCAGAGCUCGUAUGCGAAAGUUAUGGCUAUUUUACAAACAGACUCCAAAUUAGAGGACAAAAUGGUCCGAAAGUGGGAAAAAUUUGCGGCGGUGGCUACAAAUUGAUGGAAACGGUGGGGGAAAAUACAUGAACUGGACUCUAACAAGACCUAACCAGCAAUAAGACCUCGACGAGGACACAAACUCAACGCUGCGGACUCUGAAACUGAAAUAUGCAAAGGCUAUGACGUGGAAGGGUUGUAGGACAAGAAAACGAUAUGACACUGCACUUAUGGGACGAACACAAGAACACUCAAAACUAAGGCUAGAUGUGAACCUAAUGGUAUACCUAAAGCUUUGAUUCCCACAUGAUGAGAACAAGGGUGACCCGAUCUUCUAAAAGGUUCUGGUAACUCUCGAUUUGGUGGAGACGAGACACAAAUCGAUCCGGCUUCCGAACAACACGAUCCGAAACCCUGCAAAUUUUUUUAUUUUUUAGAUAUUUUUCUUUUAGUUAGAGCACCAAAGGAGUGACCACAGAAAAUUUGAGCUUAAACCAGUGAAAGACAUGGCCUACGAAAAUUGCUGAAAAUUGUGAAAAAUGUGAAAAAAACAUCAUGAGGUGAAAACUCAAACUUCAGUUGUGAAUUUGGAGGUCCUAAAAUUUGCAAACCAGCCAAGGGAGGGGACAGACAGAUCCGAAAUUUUUUUCUGAUCGAUUUUGAUAUAUGGAACAUUGAAAUCGGAGCUCGUAUGCGAAAGUUAUGGCUAUUUUACGAACGGACUCCAAAUUAGAGGACAAAACGGUGCGAAAGUGGGCAAAAUUUACGGUGGUGGCUAGAAAUUGAUGGAAACGGUGGGGGAAAAUACAUGAACUGGACUCUAACAAGACCUAACCAGCAACAAGACCUCGACGAGGACACAAACUCAACACUGCGGACUCUAAAACUGAAAUAUGCAAAGGCUAUGGCGUGGAAGGGUUGUAGGACAGAAAAACGAUAUGACACUGGACUUAUGGGACGAACACAAGAACACUCGAAACUAAGGGUAGAUUUGAACCUAAUGGUAUAUCUAAAUCUUUGAUUUCCACAUGAUGAGAACAAGGGUGACCCGAUCUUCUGAAAGGUUCUGGUAACUCUUGAUUUGGUGGAGACGAGACACAAAUCGAUCCGGGUUCCGAACAACACGAUCCGAAACCCUACAAUUUUUUUUUAUUUUUUUGAUAUUUUUCUUUUAGUUAGAGCACCAAUGGAGUAACCACAGAAAAUUUGAGCUUAAACCAGUGAAAAACAUGGCCUACGAAAAUUUCUGAAAAUUGUGAAAAAUGUGAAAAAGCAUCACGAGGUGGAAACUCAAACUUCAGAGGUGAAUUUGGAGGUUCUAAAUUUUCAAACCUACCAAUGGAGUGACAAACAGAUCCAAAAUGUUUUCUGAUCGAUUUUGAUAUAUGGAACGUUGUAAACGGAGCUCGUAUGUGAAAGUUAUGGCUAUUUUACGAACGGACUCCAAGUUAGAGGACAAAACGGUCCGAAAGUGGGAAAAAUUUGCGGUGGUGGCUAGAAAUUGAUGGAAACGGUGGGGGAAAAUACAUGAACUGGACUCUAACAAGACCUAACCAGCAACAAGACCUCGACGAGGACACAAACUCAACACUUCGGACUCUAAAACUGAAAUAUGCAAAGGCUAUGGCGUGGAAGGGUUGUAGGACAGAAAAACGAUAUGACACUGGACUUAUGGGACGAACACAAGAACACUCGAAACUAAGGGUAGAUUUGAACCUAAUGGUAUAUCUAAAUCUUUGAUUUCCACAUGAUGAGAACAAGGGUGACCCGAUCUUCUGAAAGGUUCUGGUAACUCUUGAUUUGGUGGAGACGAGACACAAAUCGAUCCGGGUUCCGAACAACACGAUCCGAAACCCUACAAUUUUUUUAUUUUUUUGAUAUUUUUAUUUUAGUUAGAGCACCAAUGGAGUAACCACAGAAAAUUUGAGCUUAAACCAGUGAAAAACAUGGCCUACGAAAAUUUCUGAAAAUUGUGAAAAAUGUGAAAAAACAUCACGAGGUGAAAACUCAAACUUCGUAGGUGAAUUUGGAGGUUCUAAAUUUUCAAACCUACCAAUGGAGUGACAAACAGAUCCAAAAUUUUUUCUGAUCGAUUUUGAUAUAUGGAACGUUGUAAACGGAGCUCGUAUGUGAAAGUUAUGGCUAUUUUACGAACGGACUCCAAGUUAGAGGACAAAACGGUCCGAAAGUGGGAAAAAUUUGCGGUGGUGGCUAGAAAUUGAUGGAAACGGUGGGGGAAAAUACAUGAACUGGACUCUAACAAGACCUAACCAGCAACAAGACCUCGACAAGGACACAAACUCAACACUGCGGACUCUGAAACUGAAAUAUGCAAAGGCUAUGACGCGGAAGGGUUGUAGGACAAGAAAACGAUAUGACACAGGACUUAUGGGACGAACCAAGAACACUCGAAACUAAAGGUAGAUGUGAACCUAACGGUAUACCUAAAGCUUUGAUUUCCACAUAUGAGAACAAGGGUGACCCGAUCUUCUGAAGUUCUGGUAACUCUCGAUUUGGUGGAGACGAGACACAAAUCGAUCCGUCUUCCGAACAACACGAUCCGAAACCCUGCAUUUUUUUUUUGAUAUUUUUCCUUUAGUUAGAGCACCAAAGGAGUGACCACAGAAAAUUUGAGCUUAAACUAGUGAAAGACAUGGCCUACAAAAAUUUCUGAAAAUUAUGUAAAAUGUGAAAAAAAAACAUCACAAGGUGAAAACUCAAAAUUCAGAGGUGAAUUUGGAGGUUCUAAAGUUUUCAAACUCGCCAAUAGAGGGGACAGAGAGAUCCGAAAUUUUUUUCUGAUCGAUUUUGAUAUAUUGAACGUUGAAAUCAGAGCUCGUAUGCGAAAGUUAUGGCUAUUUUACAAACAGACUCCAAAUUAGAGGACAAAAUGGUCCGAAAGUGGGAAAAAUUUGCGGCGGUGGCUAGAAAUUGAUGGAAACGGUGGGGGAAAAUACAUGAACUGGACUCUAACAAGACCUAACCAGCAAUAAGACCUCGACGAGGACACAAACUCAACACUGCGGACUCUGAAACUGAAAUAUGCAAAGGCUAUGACGUGGAAGGGUUGUAGGACAAGAAAACGAUAUGACACUGCACUUAUGGGACGAACACAAGAACACUCAAAACUAAGGCUAGAUGUGAACCUAAUGGUAUACCUAAAGCUUUGAUUCCCACAUGAUGAGAACAAGGGUGACCCGAUCUUCUAAAAGGUUCUGGUAACUCUCGAUUUGGUGGAGACGAGACACAAAUCGAUCCGGCUUCCGAACAACACGAUCCGAAACCCUGCAAAUUUUUUUAUUUUUUUGAUAUUUUUCUUUUAGUUAGAGCACCAAAGGAGUGACCAUAGAAAAUUUGAGCUUAAACCAGUGAAAGACAUGGCCUACGAAAAUUUCUGAAAAUUGUGAAAAAUGUGAAAAAAACAUCAUGAGGUGAAAACUCAAACUUCAGUUGUGAAUUUGGAGGUCCUAAAAUUUGCAAACCAGCCAAGGGAGGGGACAGACAGAUCCGAAAUUUUUUUCUGAUCGAUUUUGAUAUAUGGAACAUUGAAAUCGGAGCUCGUAUGCGAAAGUUAUGGCUAUUUUACGAACGGACUCCAAAUUAGAGGACAAAACGGUGCGAAAGUGGGCAAAAUUUACGGUGGUGGCUAGAAAUUGAUGGAAACGGUGGGGGAAAAUACAUGAACUGGACUCUAACAAGACCUAACCAGCAACAAGACCUCGACGAGGACACAAACUCAACACUGCGGACUCUAAAACUGAAAUAUGCAAAGGCUAUGGCGUGGAAGGGUUGUAGGACAGAAAAACGAUAUGACACUGGACUUAUGGGACGAACACAAGAACACUCGAAACUAAGGGUAGAUUUGAACCUAAUGGUAUAUCUAAAUCUUUGAUUUCCACAUGAUGAGAACAAGGGUGACCCGAUCUUCUGAAAGGUUCUGGUAACUCUUGAUUUGGUGGAGACGAGACACAAAUCGAUCCGGGUUCCGAACAACACGAUCCGAAACCCUACAAUUUUUUUAUUUUUUUGAUAUUUUUAUUUUAGUUAGAGCACCAAUGGAGUAACCACAGGAAAUUUGAGCUUAAACCAGUGAAAAACAUGGCCUACGAAAAUUUCUAAAAAUUGUGAAAAAUGUGAAAAAACAUCACGAGGUGAAAACUCAAACUUCGUAGGUGAAUUUGGAGGUUCUAAAUUUUCAAACCUACCAAUGGAGUGACAAACAGAUCCAAAAUUUUUUCUGAUCGAUUUUGAUAUAUGGAACGUUGUAAACGGAGCUCGUAUGUGAAAGUUAUGGCUAUUUUACGAACGGACUCCAAGUUAGAGGACAAAACGGUCCGAAAGUGGGAAAAAUUUGCGGUGGUGGCUAGAAAUUGAUGGAAACGGUGGGGGAAAAUACAUGAACUGGACUAUAACAAGACCUAACCAGCAACAAGACCUCGACAAGGACACAAACUCAACACUGCGGACUCUGAAACUGAAAUAUGCAAAGGCUAUGACGCGGAAGGGUUGUAGGACAAGAAAACGAUAUGACACAGGACUUAUGGGACGAACCAAGAACACUCGAAACUAAAGGUAGAUGUGAACCUAACGGUAUACCUAAAGCUUUGAUUUCCACAUAUGAGAACAAGGGUGACCCGAUCUUCUGAAGUUCUGGUAACUCUCGAUUUGGUGGAGACGAGACACAAAUCGAUCCGUCUUCCGAACAACACGAUCCGAAACCCUACAUUUUUUUUUUGAUAUUUUUCUUUUAGUUAGAGCACCAAAGGAGUGACCACAGAAAAUUUGAGCUUAAACUAGUGAAAGACAUGGCCUACAAAAAUUUCUGAAAAUUAUGUAAAAUGUGAAAAAAAAACAUCACAAGGUGAAAACUCAAACUUCAGAGGUGAAUUUGGAGGUUCUAAAGUUUUCAAACUCGCCAAUAGAGGGGACAGAGAGAUCCGAAAUUUUUUUCUGAUCGAUUUUGAUAUAUUGAACGUUGAAAUCAGAGCUCGUAUGCGAAAGUUAUGGCUAUUUUACAAACAGACUCCAAAUUAGAGGACAAAAUGGUCCGAAAGUGGGAAAAAUUUGCGGCGGUGGCUAGAAAUUGAUGGAAACGGUGGGGGAAAAUACAUGAACUGGACUCUAACAAGACCUAACCAGCAAUAAGACCUCGACGAGGACACAAACUCAACACUGCGGACUCUGAAACUGAAAUAUGCAAAGGCUAUGACGUGGAAGGGUUGUAGGACAAGAAAACGAUAUGACACUGCACUUAUGGGACGAACACAAGAACACUCAAAACUAAGGGUAGAUGUGAACCUAAUGGUAUACCUAAAGCUUUGAUUCCCACAUGAUGAGAACAAGGGUGACCCGAUCUUCUAAAAGGUUCUGGUAACUCUCGAUUUGGUGGAGACGAGACACAAAUCGAUCCGGCUUCCGAACAACACGAUCCGAAACCCUGCAAUUUUUUUUAUUUUUUUGAUAUUUUUCUUUUGUUAGAGCACCAAAGGAGUGACCACAGAAAAUUUGAGCUUAAACCAGUGAAAGACAUGGCCUACGAAAAUUUCUGAAAAUUGUGAAAAAUGUGAAAAAAACAUCAUGAGGUGAAAACUCAAACUUCAGUUGUGAAUUUGGAGGUCCUAAAAUUUGCAAACCAGCCAAGGGAGGGGACAGACAGAUCUGAAAUUUUUUUCUGAUCGAUUUUGAUAUAUGGAACAUUGAAAUCGGAGCUCGUAUGCGAAAGUUAUGGCUAUUUUACGAACGGACUCCAAAUUAGAGGACAAAACGGUGCGAAAGUGGGCAAAAUUUACGGUGGUGGCUAGAAAUUGAUGGAAACGGUGGGGGAAAAUACAUGAACUGGACUCUAACAAGACCUAACCAGCAACAAGACCUCGACGAGGACACAAACUCAACACUGCGGUCUCUAAAACUGAAAUAUGCAAAGGCUAUGGCGUGGAAGGGUUGUAGGACAGAAAAACGAUAUGACACUGGACUUAUGGGACGAACACAAGAACACUCGAAACUAAAGGUAGAUUUGAACCUAAUGGUAUAUCUAAAUCUUUGAUUUCCACAUGAUGAGAACAAGGGUGACCCGAUCUUCUAAAAGGUUCUGGUAACUCUUGAUUUGGUGGAGACGAGACACAAAUCGAUCCGGGUUCCGAACAACACGAUCCGAAACCCUACAAUUUUUUUAUUUUUUUGAUAUUUUUCUUUUAGUUAGAGCACCAAUGGAGUAACCACAGGAAAUUUGAGCUUAAACCAGUGAAAAACAUGGCCUACGAAAAUUUCUGAAAAUUGUGAAAAAUGUGAAAAAACAUCACGAGGUGAAAACUCAAACUUCGGAGGUGAAUUUGGAGGUUCUAAAUUUUCAAACCUACCAAUGGAGUGACAAACAGAUCCAAAAUUUUUUCUGAUCGAUUUUGAUAUAUGGAACGUUGUAAACGGAGCUCGUAUGUGAAAGUUAUGGCUAUUUUACGAACGGACUCCAAGUUAGAGGACAAAACGGUCCGAAAGUGGGAAAAAUUUGCGGUGGUGGCUAGAAAUUGAUGGAAACGGUGGGGGAAAAUACAUGAACUGGACUCUAACAAGACCUAACCAGCAACAAGACCUCGACAAGGACACAAACUCAACACAGCGGACUCUGAAACUGAAAUAUGCAAAGGCUAUGACGCGGAAGGGUUGUAGGACAAGAAAACGAUAUGACACAGGACUUAUGGGACGAACCAAGAACACUCGAAACUAAAGGUAGAUGUGAACCUAACGGUAUACCUAAAGCUUUGAUUUCCACAUAUGAGAACAAGGGUGACCCGAUCUUCUGAAGUUCUGGUAACUCUCGAUUUGGUGGAGACGAGACACAAAUCGAUCCGUCUUACGAACAACACGAUCCGAAACCCUGCAUUUUUUUUGAUAUUUUUAUUUUAGUUAGAGCACCAAAGGAGUGACCACAGAAAAUUUGAGCUUAAACUAGUGAAAGACAUGGCCUACAAAAAUUUCUGAAAAUUAUGUAAAAUGUGAAAAAAAAACAUCACGAGGUGAAAACUCAAACUUCAGAGGUGAAUUUGGAGGUUCUAAAGUUUUCAAACUCGCCAAUGGAGGGGACACAGAGAUCCGAAAUUUUUUUCUGAUCGAUUUUGAUAUAUUGAACGUUGAAAUCAGAGCUCGUAUGCGAAAGUUAUGGCUAUUUUACAAACGGACUCCAAAUUAGAGGACAAAAUGGUCCGAAAGUGGGAAAAAUUUGCGGCGGUGGCUAGAAAUUGAUGGAAACGGUGGGGGAAAAUACAUGAACUGGACUCUAACAAGACCUAACCAGCAAUAAGACCUCGACGAGGACACAAACUCAACACUGCGGACUCUGAAACUGAAAUAUGCAAAGGCUAUGACGUGGAAGGGUUGUAGGACAAGAAAACGAUAUGACACUGCACUUAUGUGACGAACACAAGAACACUCAAAACUAAGGGUAGAUGUGAACCUAAUGGUAUACCUAAAGCUUUGAUUCCCACAUGAUGAGAACAAGGGUGACCCGAUCUUCUAAAAGGUUCUGGUAACUCUCGAUUUGGUGGAGACGAGACACAAAUCGAUCCGGCUUCCGAACAACACGAUCCGAAACCCUGCAAUUUUUUUUAUUUUUUUUUGAUAUUUUUCUUUUAGUUAGAGCACCAAAGGAGUAACCACAGAAAAUUUGAGCUUAAACCAGUGAAAGACAUGGCCUACGAAAAUUUCUGAAAAUUGUGAAAAAUGUGAAAAAAACAUCACGAGGUGAAAACUCAAACUUCAGUUGUGAAUUUGGAGGUCCUAAAAUUUGCAAACCAGCCAAGGGAGGGGACAGACAGAUCCAAAAUUUUUUUCUGAUCUAUUUUGAUAUAUGGAACAUUGAAAUCGGAGCUCGUAUGCGAAAGUUAUGGCUAUUUUACGAACGGACUCCAAAUUAGAGGACAAAACGGUGCGAAAGUGGGCAAAAUUUACGGUGGUGGCUAGAAAUUGAUGGAAACGGUAGGGGAAAAUACAUGAACUGGACUCUAACAAGACCUAACCAGCAACAAGACCUCGACGAGGACACAAACUCAACACUGCGGACUCUAAAACUGAAAUAUGCAAAGGCUAUGGCGUGGAAGGGUUGUAGGACAGAAAAACAAUAUGACACUGGACUUAUGGGACGAACACAAGAACACUCGAAACUAAGGGUAGAUUUGAACCUAAUGGUAUAUCUAAAUCUUUGAUUUCCACAUGAUGAGAACAAGGGUGACCCGAUCUUCUGAAAGGUUCUGGUAACUCUCGAUUUGGUGGAGACGAGACACAAAUCGAUCCGGGUUCCGAACAACACGAUCCGAAACCCUACAAUUUUUUUUAUUUUUUUGAUAUUUUUCUUUUAGUUAGAGCACCAAUGGAGUAACCACAGAAAAUUUGAGCUUAAACCAGUGAAAAACAUGGCCUACGAAAAUUUCUGAAAAUUGUGAAAAAUGUGAAAAAACAUCACGAGGUGAAAACUCAAACUUCGGAGGUGAAUUUGGAGGUUCUAAAUUUUCAAACCUACCAAUGGAGUGACAAACAGAUCCAAAAUUUUUUUCUGAUCGAUUUUGAUAUAUGGAACGUUGUAAACGGAGCUCGUAUGUGAAAGUUAUGGCUAUUUUACGAACGAACUCCAAGUUAGAGGACAAAACGGUCCGAAAGUGGGAAAAAUUUGCGGUGGUGGCUAGAAAUUGAUGGAAACGGUGGGGGAAAAUACAUGAACUGGACUCUAACAAGACCUAACCAGCAACAAGACCUCGACAAGGACACAAACUCAACACUGCGGACUCUGAAACUGAAAUAUGCAAAGGCUAUGGCGCGGAAGGGUUGUAGGACAGGAAAACCAUAUGACACUGGACUUAUGGGACGAACACAAGAACACUCGAAACUAAGGGUAGAUUUGAACCUAACGGUAUACCUAAAGCUUUGAUUACCACAUGAUGAGAACAAGGGUGACCCGAUCUUCUGAAAGGUUCUCGUAACUCUCGAUUUGGUGGAGACGAGACACAAAUUAAUCCGGCUUUCGAACAACACGAUCCAAAACCCUGCAAAUUUUUUUUAUUUUUUUGAUAUUUUUCUUAUAGUUAGGAGCACAAAAGGAGUAACCACACAAUAUUUGAGCUUAAACCAGUGAAAGACAUGGCCUACGAAAUUUUCUCAAAAUUGUGAAAUUGUGAAAAAAAAACUUCAUGAGGUGAAAACUCAAAUUUCGGAGGUGAAUUUGGAGGUUCCAAAAUUUUCAAAACUGCCAAUGGAGUGGACAGACAGAUCUGAAAUUUUUUUCUGAUCAAUUUUGAUAUAUGGAACGUUGAAAUCGGAGCUCGUAUGCGAAAGUUAUGGCUAUUUUACAAACGGACUCCAAAUUAGAGGACAAAAUGGUCGAAAAGUGGGAAAAAUUUGCGACGGUGGCUAGAUAUUGAUGGAAACGGUGCUGGAAAACACACGAACUGGACUCUAACAAGACCUAACAAGCAACAAGACCUCGACGAGGACACAAACUCAACACUGCGGACUCUGAAACUGAAAUAUGCAAAGGCUAUGACACGGAAGUGUUGUAGGACAAGAAAACGAUAUGACACUGCACUUAUGGGACGAACACAAGAACACUCGAAACUAAGGGUAGAUGUGAACCUAAUGGUAUACCUAAAGCUUUGAUUUCCACAUGAUGAGAACAAGGGUGACCCGAUCUUCUGAAAGGUUCUGGUAACUCUCGAUUUGGUGGGGACGAGACAGAUCGAUCCGGCUUCCGAACAACACGAUCCGAAACCCUGUAUUUCUUUUAUUUUUUUGAUAUUUUCUUUUAGUUAGAGCACCAAAGGAGUAACCACAGAAAAUUUGAGCUUAAACUAGUGAAAGACAUGGCCUACGAAAAUUUCUAAAAAUUGUGAAAAAUGUGAAAAAACAUCACGAGGUGAAAACUCAAACUUCAGAGGUGAAUUUGGAGGUUCUAAAAUUUUCAAACCUGCCAAAGGAGAGGACAGACAGAUCUGACAUUUUUUUCUAAUCGAUUUUGAUAUAUGGAACGUUGAAAUCGGAGCUCGUAUGCGAAAGUUAUGUCUAUUUUACGAACGGACUCCAAAUUAGAGGACAAAAUGGUCCGAAAGUGGCAAAAAUUUGCGACGGUGGCUAGAAAUUUAUGGAAACAGUGGUGGAAAACAUACGAACUGAACUCUAACAAGACCUAACAAGCAACAAAACCUCGACGAGGACACAAACUUAACACUACGGACUCUGAAACUGAAAUAUGCAAAGACUAUGACGCGGAAGGGUUGUAGGACAAGAAAACGAUAUGACACUGCACUUAUGGGACGAACACAAGAACACUCGAAACUAAGGGCAGAUGUGAAUCUAAUGGUAUACCUAAAGCUUUUAUUUCCACAUGAUGAGAACAAGGGUGACCCGAUCUUCUGAAAGGUUCUGGUAACUCUCGAUUUGGUGGAGACGAGACAUAAAUCGAUCCGGCUUCCGAACAACACGAUCCGAAAACCUGUAAUUUUUUUAUUUUUUGAUAUUUUCUUUUAGUUAGAGCACCAGAGGAGUAACCACAGAAAAUUUGAGCUUAAACUAGUGAAAGACAUGGCCUACGAAAAUUUUUGAAAAUUGUGAAAAAUGUGAAAAAAACAUCACGAGGUGAAAACUCAAAUUUCAGAGGUGAAUUUGGAGGUUCUAAAAUUUUCAAACUCGCCAAUGGAGGGGACAGACAGAUCUCAAAAUUUUUUCUGAUCAAUUUUGAUAUAUGGAACGUUGAAAUUGGAGUUCGUAUGCGAAAGUUAUGGCUAUUUUACGAACGGACUCCGAAUUAGAGGGCAAAAUGGUCCGAAAGUAGGAAAAAUUCGCGGCGGUGGCUAGAAAUUGAUGGAAACGGUGGGGAAAAACACACAAACUGGACUCUAACAAGACCUAACCAGUAACAAGACCUCGACCAGGACACAAACUCAACACUGUGGACUGUGAAACUGAAAUAUGCAAAGGCUAUGGCGCGGAAGUGUUGUAGGACAAGAAAACGAUAUGACACUGGACUUAUGGGACAAACACAAGAACACUGAAAAGUAAGGGUAGAUGUGAACCUAAUGGUAUACCUAAAGCUUUGAUUACUACAUGAUGAAAAUAAGGGUGACCCGAUCUUCUAAAAGGUUCUGGUAACUCUCGAUUUGGUGAAGAUGAGACACAAAUCGAUACGGCUUCCGAAUAACAUGAUCCGAAACGCUGCAAAUUUUUUUUUAUUUUUUUGAUAUUUUACUUUUAGUUAGGAGCACCCAAGGAGUAACCAUAGAAAAUUUGAGCAUAAACAAAUGAAACACAUGGCCUGCGGAAUUUUCUGAAGAUUGUGAAAAAUGUGAAAAAAACUUCAUGAGGUAAAAACUCAAACUUUGGAGGUGAAUUUGGAGGUUCUAAAAUUUUCAAAAUCGCCAAUGGACGGGACAGACAGAUCCAAAAAUUUUUUCUAAUCGAUUUUGAUAUAUGGAACGUUGAAAUCGGAGUUUGUAUGCGAAAGUUAUGUCUAUUUUACGAACAGACUCCAAAUUAGAGGACAAAACGGUCCGAAAGUGGGAAAAAUUUGCGGUGGUGGCUAGAAAUUGAUGGAAAUGGUGGGGGAAAAUACAUGAACUGAACUCUAACAAGACCUAACCAACAAUAACACCUCGACGACGACACAAACUCAACACUGCGGACUCUGAAACUGAAAUAUGCAAAGGCUAUGACGCGGAAGGGUUGUAGGACAAGAAAACGAUAUGACACUGGACUUAUGGGACGAACACAAGAACACUCGAAACUAAUGGUAGAUGUGAACCUAAUGGUAUACCUAAAGCUUUGAUUAUCACUUGAUGGGAACAAGGGUGGCCCGAUCUUCCAAAAUGUUCUGGUAACUCUCGAUUUGGUGGAGACGAGACACAAAUCGAUCCGGCUUUCGAAUAACAUGAUCCGAAACCCUGCGUUUUUUAUUUUUUUGAUAUUUUUCUUUUAGUUAGGAGCACCAAAGGAGUAACCAUAGAAAAUGAGCUUAAACAAGUAAAAGACAUGGCCUGCGGACUUUUCUGAAGAUUGUGAAAAAUGUGAAAAAAACUUCACGAGGUGAAAACUCAAACUUCAGAAGUGAAUUUGGAGGUACUAAAAUUUUCAAACCCACCAAUGGAGGGGACAGACAGAUCCAAAAAUUUUUUCUGAUCGAUUUUGAUGUAUGGAAUAUUGAAAUCAGAGUUUGUAUGCGAAAGUUAUGGCUAUUUUACGAACGGACUCCGAAUUAGAGGACAAAACGGCGGUGCCUAGAAAUUGAUGGAAACGGUGGGGAAAAAGACAUGAACUGGACUCUAACAAGACUUAACCAGCAAGAAGACCUCGACCAGGACACAAACUCAACACUGCGGACUCUAAAACUGAAAUAUGCAAAGGCUAUGGCGCGGAAGGGUUGUAGGACAAGAAAAUGAUAUAGCACUGGACUUAUAGGGACAAACAUGAGAACACUCGAAACUAAGGGUAGAUGUGAACCUAAUGGUAUACCUAAAGCUUUGAUUUCCACAUAUGAGAACAAGGGUGACCCGAUCUUCUGAAGUUCUGGUAACUCUCGAUUUGGAGACGAGACAGAAAUCGAUCCGGCUUCCGAACAACACGAUGCGAAAACCUGUAAUUUUUUUUUGAUAUUUUUCUUUUAGUUAGAGCACCAAAGGAGUGACCACAGAAAAUUUGAGCUUAAACUAGUGAAAGACAUGGCCUACGAAAAUUUCUGAAAAUUGUGAAGAAUGUGAAAAAAAAACAUCACGAGGUGAAAACUCAAACUUCAGAGGUGAAUUUGGAGGUCCUAAAAUUUUCAAACCUGCCAAUGGAGGGGACAGACAGAUCUGAAAUUUUUUUCUGAUCGAUUUUGAUAUAUGGAACAUUGAAAUCAGAGCUCGUAUGUGACAGUUAUGGCUAUUUUACGAACGGACUCCAAAUUAGAUGACAAAAUGGUCCGAAAGUGGAAAAAAUUUGCGGUGGUGGCUAGAAAUUGAUGAAAACGGUGGGGGAAAAUACAUGAACUGGAGUCUAACAAUACCUAACCAGCAAUAAGACCUCGACAAGGACACGAACUCAACACUGCGGACUCUGAAACUGAAAUAUGCAAAGGCUAUGACACGGAAGCGUUGUAGGACAAGAAAACGAUAUGACACUGCACUUAUGGGACGAACACAAGAACACUCAAAACUAAGGGUAGAUGUGAACAUAAUGGUAUACCUAAAGCUUUGAUUUCCACAAGAUAAGAACAAGGGUGACCCGAUCUUCUGAAAGGUUCUGGUAACUCUCGAUUUGGUGGAGACGAGACACAAAUCGAUCCGGCUUCCGAACAACAUGAUCCGAAACCGUGCAAUUUUUUUUAUUUUUUUGAUAUUUUUCUUUUAGUUAGAGCACCAAACGAGUAACCAUAGAAAAUUUGAGCUUAAACCAGUGAAAGACAUGGCCUACGAAAAUUUCUGAAAAUUGUGAAAAAAACAUCACGAGGUGAAAACUCAAACUUCAGAGGUGAAUUUGGACGUUCUAAAAUUUCCAAUCCCGCCAAUAGAGGAAACAGACAGAUCCGAAAUUUUUUUCUGAUCGAUUUUGAUAUAUGGAACGUUGAAAUCGGAGCUCGUAUGCGAAAGUUAUGGCUAUUUUCCGAACGGACUCCAAAUUAGAGGACAAAACGGUCCGAAAGUGGGAAAAAUUUGCGGCGGUGGCUAGAAAUUUAUGGAAAUAGUGGGGGAAAAUACAUGAAUUGGACUCUAACAAGACCUAACCAGCAACAAGACCUCGACAAGGACACAAACUCAACACUGCAGACUCUGAAACUUAAAUAUGCAAAGGCUAUGGCGCGGAAGGGUUGUAGGACAAGAAAACGAUAUGACACUGGACUUAUGGGACGAACACAAGAACACUCGAAACUAAGUGUAGAUUUAAACCUAAUGGUAUACCUAAAGCUUUGAUUACCACAUGAUGAGAACAAGGGUGACCCGAUCUUCUAAAAGGUUCUGGUAACUCUCGAUUUGGUGGAGACGAGACACAAAUUGAUCCGGCUUCCGAACAACAUGAUCUGAAAUCCUGCAAUUUUUUUAUUUAUUUGAUAUUUUUCUUUUAGUUAGGAGCACCCAAGGAGUAACCAUAGAAAAUUUGAGCUUAAACCAGUGAAAGACAUGGCCUACGAAAAUUUCUGAAAAAAUUGUGAAAAAUGUGAAAAAAACUUCACGAGGUGAAAACUCAAACUUCGGACGUGAAUUUGAAGUUUUCUAAAAUUUUCAAACCCGCCAAUAGAAGGGACACACAGAUCCAAAAUUUUUUUGUAAUCGAUUUUGAUAUAUGAAACGUUGAAAUUGAAGUUUUUAUGCAAAAGUUAUGGCUAUUUUAUUAAAGGACUCUGAAUUAGAGGACAAAACGAUCCGAAAGUGGAAAAAAUUUACGGCAGGUGCUAGAAAUUGAUGGAUACGGUGGGGAAAAACACACAAACUGGACUCUAACAAGACCUAACCAGCAACAAAACCUCGACGAGGACACAAACUCAACACUGCGGACUCUGAAACUGAAAUAUGCAAAGGCUAUGGCGCAGAAGGGUUGUAGGACAGGAAAACGAUAUGGCACUGGACUUAUGGGACGAAUACAAGAACACUCGAAACUAAGGGUAGAUGUGAACCUAAUGGUAUACCUAAAUCUUUGAUUACCACUUGAUGAGAACAAGGCUGGCCUGAUCCUCCGAAAGGUUCUGGUAACUCUCGAUUUGGUGGAGACGAGACACAAAUCGAUACGGCUUUCGAACAACAUGAUCCGAAACCCUACAAUUUUUUUAGUUUUUUGAUAUUUUUCUUUUAGUUAGGAGCACCGAAGGAGUAACCAUAAAAAAUUUGAGCUUAAACAAGUGAAAGACAUGGCCUGAGGACUUUUCUGAAGAUUGUGAAAAAUGUGAAAAAAACAUCGCGAGGUGAAAACUCAAAUUUCGGAGGUGAAUUUGGAGGUACUAAAAUUUUCAAACCCACCAAUGGAGGGGACGGACAGAUCCAAAUUUUUUUUCUGAUCGAUUUUGAUGUAUGGAACGUUGAAAUUGGAGUUCGUAUGCGAAAGUUAUGGCUAUUUUACGAACGCACUCUGAAUUAGAGGAUAAAACGGCGGUGGCUAGAAAUUGAUGGAAACGGUGGGGAAAAAGACAUGAACUGGACUCUAACAAGACCUAACCAACAACAAGACCUCAACCAGGACACAAAUUCAACACUGUGGUCUCUAAAACUGAAAUAUGCAAAGGAUAUGGCGCGGAAGGGUUGUAGGACAAGAAAAUGAUAUAGCACUGGACUUAUAGGGACAAACACAAGAACACUCGAAACUAAGGGUAGAUGUGAACCUAACGGUAUACCUAAAGCUUUGAUUACGACUUGAUGAGAACAAGGGUGGCCCGAUCUUCCGAAAGGUUCUAGUAACUCUUGAUUUGGUGGAGACGAGACACAAAUCGAUCCGGCUUCCAAACAACACGAUGCGAAACCCUGCAAUUUUUUUUAUUUUUUUGAUAUUUUUCUUUUAGUUAGAGCACCAAAGGAGUACCCACAGAAAAUUUGAGCUUAAACAAGUAAAAGACAUGGCCUGCUGAAUUUUCUGAAGAUUGUGAAAAAUGUAAAAAUAACUUCAUGAGGUAAAAACUCAAACUUCAGAGGUGAAUUUGGAGGUUCUAAAUUUUUCAAACCUUCCAAUGGAGGGGACAGACAUAUCCAAAAAAUUUUUCUGAUCAAUUCUGAUAUAUGAAACGUUAAAAUCGGAGUUCGUAUGUGAAAGUUAUGGCUAUUUUACGAACGGACUCCGAAUUAGAGGACAAAACGAUCCGAAAGUGGGAACAAUUUGCGGCGGUGGCUAGAAAUUGAUGGAAACAGUGGGAAAAAACAAAUGAACUGGACUCUAACAAGACCUAACCAACAACAAGACCUCGACCAGGACACAAACUCAACACUUCGGACUCUGAAACUAAAAUAUGCGAAGGCUAUAGCGCGGAAGGGUUGUAGGACAGAAAAAUGAUAUGGCACUAGACUUAUGGGACGAAUACAAGAACACUCGAAACUAAAGGUAGUUAUGAACCUAAAGGUAUACCUAAAGCUUUGUUUACCACUUGAUUUGAACAAGGGUGGCCCGAUCUUCCGAAAGGUUCUGGUAACUAUCGAUUUGGAGGAGACGAGACAUAAAUCGAUCCGGCUUCCGAACAACACGAUCCGAAACUCAGCAAAUUCUUUUUAUUUUUUUGAUAUUUUUCUUUCAGUUAGGAGCACCAAGGGAGUAACCACAAAAAAUUUAAGCUUAAACAAGUGAAAGACAUGGCCCGUGGAAUUUUCUGAAGUUUGUGAAAAAUGAGAAAAAAACUACACGAUGUGAAAACUUAAAUUUCGGAGGUGAAUUUGGAGGUUCUAAAAUUUUCAAACCCGCCAAUGGACGGGAUAGAUAGAUCCAAAAAAUUUUUCUGAUCGAUUUUGAUAUAUGGAACACUGAAAUCGGAGUUCGUAUGCGAAAGUUAUAGCUAUUUUACGAUCGGACUCUGAAUUAGAGGACAAAACGGUCCGAAAGUGGAAAAAAUUUGCGGCGGUGGCUAGAAAUUGAUGGAAACAGUGGAGAAAAACACACGAACUGGACACUAUCAAGACCUAACUAGCAACAAGACCUCGACCAUGACACAAACUCAACACUGCGGACUCUGAAACUGAAAUAUGCAAAGGCUAUGGCGUGUAAGGGUUGUAGGACAGGAAAAUAAUAUGGCACUGGACUUAUGGGACGAACACAAGAACACUCGAAACUAAGGGUAGAUAUGAACCUAACGGUACACCUAAAGCUUUGAUUACCACUUGAUGAGAACACGGGUGGCCCGAUCUUCCGAUAGGUUCUGGUAACUCUCGAUUUGGUGGAGACGAGACACAAAUUGAUCCGGCUUCCGAACAACACGAUAUGAAACCCUGCAAUUUUCUUUAUUUUUUUCAUAUUUUUCUUUUAGUUAGGAGCACCAAAGGAGUAACCACAAAAAAUUUGAGCUUAAACAAGUUAAAGACAUGGCCCGCGGAAUUUUCUGAAUAUUGUGAAAAAUGUGAAAAAAACUUCACGAGGUGAAAACUCAAACUUUGGAGGUGAAUUUAGAGGAUCUAAAGUCAAUCAAACCCGCCAUUGAAGGGCAUAGACAGAUCCAAAAAAAUUUUCUGAUCGAUUUUGAUAUAUGGAACGUUGAAAUCGGAGUUCGUAUGCGGAAGUUAUGGCUAUUUUAUGAACGGACUCCGGAUUAGAGGACAAAACGGUCCGAAAAUGAGAAAAAAUUGCGGCGGUGGCUAGAAAUUGAUGGAAACAGUGGAGAAAAACAUAUGAACUGGACCCUAACAAGACCUAACCAGCAACAAGACCUCGACCAGGACACAAACUCAACACUACGGACUCUGAAACUAAAAUAUGCAAAUUCUAUGGCGUGGAAGGGUUGUAGGACAGGAAAAUGAUAUGGCACUGGACUUAUGGGACGAACACAAGAACACUCAAAACUAAAGAUAGUUAUGAACCUAAUGGUAUACCUAAAGCUUUGAUUACCACUUGAUUUGAACAAGGGUGGCCUGAUCUUCCGAAAGGUUCUGGUAACUAUCGAUUUGGAGAAGAAGAGACACAAAUUGAUCCGCUUUCGAACAACACGAUCCGAAACUCAGCAAAUUCUUUUUAUUAUUUUUUAAUAUUUUUCUUUCAGUUAGGAGCACCAAAGGAGUAACCAUAGAAAAUUUAAGCUUAAACAAGUGAAAGACAUGGCCUGUGGAAUUUUCUGAAGUUUGUGAAAAAUGAGAAAAAAACUUCACGAGCUGAAAACUCAAACUUCGGAGGUGAAUUUAGAGAUUCUAAAGGUGUCAAAUCCACCAAUGGAGGGGACAGACAGAUACAAAAUUUUUUCUGAUCAAUUUUGAUAUAUGGAACGUUGAAAUCGGAGUUCGUAUGCGAAAGUUAUGGCUAUUUUACAAACGGACUCCGGAUUAGAGGACAAAACAGUCCGAAAUUGGGAAAAAUUUGCGGCGGUGGCUAGAAAUUGAUGGAAACAGUGGGGAAAAACAUAUGAACUGGACUCGAUAAAGACCUAACGAGCAACAAGACCUCGACCAGGACACAAACUCAACACUGUGGACUCUCAAACUGAAAUAUGCAAAGGCUAUGGCGUGGAAGGGUUGUAGGACAGAAAAAUGAUAUGGCACUGGACUUAUGGGACGAACACAAGAACACUCGAAACUAAGGGUAGAUAUGAACCUAACGGUACACCUAAAGCUUUGAUUACCACUUGAUGAGAACAAGGGCGGCCCGAUCUUCCGAAAGGUUCUGGUAACUCUCGAUUUGGUGGGGACGAGACACAAAUCGAUCCGGCUUCUAAACAACACGAUCUGAAAGCCUACAAUUUUUUUUAUUUUUUUGAUAUUUUUCUUUGAGUUAGGAGCACCAAAGGAGUAACCAUAGAAAAUUUGAGCUUAAACAUGUGAAAGACAUGGCCUGUGGAAUUUUCUGAAGAUUGUGAAAAAUGUGAAAAAACUUCGCGAGGUGAAAACUCAAACUUCGGAGGUGAAUUUGGAGGUUUUAAAGUUUUCAAACCCGCCAAUGGAGGGGACACACAGAUCCAAAAAUUUUUUCUAAUGAAUUUUGAUAUAUGGAACAUUGAAAUCGAAGUUCGUAUGCGAAAGUUAUGGUUAUUUUACAAACGGAUUCCGAAUUAGAGGACAAAACGGUCCGAAAGUGAGAAUAAUUUGCGGUGGUGGCUAGAAAUUGAUGCAAACAGUGGGGAAAAACAUAUGAACUAGACUUUAACAAGACCUAACCAGCAACAAGACCUAGACCAGGAGACAAACUCAACACUUCGGACAAUGAAACUGUAAUAUGCGAAGGCUAUAGCGUGGAAGGGUUGUAGGACAGAAAAAUGAUAUGGCACUGGACUUAUGGGACGAAUACAAGAACACUCGAAACUAAAGGUAGUUAUAAACCUAAAGGUAUACCUAAAGCUUUGAUUACCACUUGAUUUGAACAAGGGUGGCCCGAUCUUCCGAAAGGUUCCGGUAACUAUCGAUUUGGAGGAGACGAGACACAAAUCGAUCCGGCUUCCGAACAACACGAUCCGAAACUCAGCAAAUUCUUUUUAUUUUUUUGUUAUUUUUCUUUCAGUUAGGAGCACCAAAGGAGUAACCACAAAAAAUUUUCUGUGGAGUAACAACAAGUGAAAUACAUGGCCUUUGGAAUUUUCUGAAGUUUCUGAAAAAUGAGAAAAAAAACUACACGAUGUGAAAACUCAAAUUUUGGAGGUGAAUUUGGAGGUUCUAAAAUUUUCAAAACCCGCCAAUGGAGGGGAUAGAUAGAUCCAAAAAAAUUUUUUGAUCGAUUUUGAUAUAUGGAACACUAAAAUCGGAGUUCGUAUGCGAAAGUUAUGGCUAUUUUACGAUCGGACUCUGAAUUAUAGGACAAAACGGUCCGAAAGUAGAAAAAAUUUGCGGCGGUGGCUAGAAAUUGAUGGAAACGGUAGAGAAAAACACACGAACUGGACUCUAUCAAGACCUAACCAGCAACAAGACCUCGACCAUGACACAAACUCAACACUGCGGACUCUGAAACUGAAAUAUGCAAAGGCUAUGACAUAGAAGGGUUGUAGGACUGGAAAAUAAUAUGGAACUGGACUUAUGGGACGAACACAAGAACACUCAAAACUAAGGGUAGAUAUGAACCUAACGGUACACCUAAAGCUUUGAUUACUGUUGACGGUCCUUAAUGCUCACAUUUAACCAUCAACUAAUCAUAGAAAAGGAUCCAAAUGCAACCAACACCUAGACUUAGGGUUUUAUCUGACAGAAUUCCACGAGUUUUGGUGUUUGUCUGUUUCUGCAGGGGGUUAUCAGGAAAUACGAAAGAAAGGCCCACACGUCGGGUUUACAUAGAGAUAUUAACGUGCUGCGCAAUUUUCUAUCAUCUAGAAGACUCCAGAAGCCACGGGACCGAACGGGAGACGUAACGGAGCCGGGCACUGGGCGCCCGCCCUCCCUUACUGGGCGCCCGCCCUCCCCCCUGGACCAAUCAGGGUGAAGUUCGGGGAUCAUGCUCCACCGACCUAAUACUUCAAGGAAAACCACACGAUCAAUGUCGGUUUGAUCCGACGGCCCAGAUUCACUUGAAGGGACUAUAAAACCAGACCCCCCUUGCCCCUGGAGAUCAUACCUCUUCUACAGAAUCAAAGCUAGGGUUUCAAUUCUUCAUCCAAGUAGAGAGGAUCCCUCUAGUUCUUCUAGUUCUACCUCUAGUUCAUCUAGAUCUAGUUCUAGUUCAUCUAGUUCUAGUUCUAGUUCCUCUAGUUCUAGUUCUAGUUAGUUCUAGUUGUAAUCUAGAAAAUAGGGAGAGAGAAGAGGAGAGCGGAGGAGGAGCCGGAUCUGUCGGAUCUUCCUCAACAUUGUACUUUUGCAGCAUCUGGUUCGUUCUUCAUCGUUCUCCAGGUUCUUCAAUUCAUAAUUCCUGAGUUCUUUAAUUACUUUUAUUUACAUUCAAGUUAUUUAUUGGUGUCGAGGGUAUCGGUAAGGGGUACCCUCAGCGAUGCGCAUUAUGAGAUUGCCCAUACAAAGGUUGGGACCCCCAAUUCGACGCCUUAAUCUUACUUACGCGCCGCCGACGACGGUCGCAGCCUCGAAUACGGAAAUAGCGUCGAGCGAACCGGUCAGGGCUCGAGCAGCGACUACCGUCGAAGGCGGAAGCGGGCUCGAGCGAACCGAGAGACGUCGAGCGUUAGGACACUGCCCGCCGCCUGACGCGCGCACGCGGGCGGGAGCAUUAAAUGCAUCUGACGUUUCCCACCUAACACCCGGGUCACGGAAGGCGUGAUAGGGAACAAGCUUCUGUCCCAUCGUUCUUUUUGCAGCCUUCCCACCGAACGACCCAGGGUGCGUCAGGACGCAGGAAACGAGGAUGGAACGUCUAAUCGGGACCCCCUCGAGACACUCAGGGUCAGCGCUCCGGAUGUCAGCCUAUUGCGCGGCGCCCGACCCUCGACCGAACGAGGUCCCUUCCCGGGGACAAGUCGGGCAUCGACUGACACCACCACAGCUGCUCCGCCGGAUCCGCCACCAUACCAUACGAGCAUGCGAUCUCAGAACCAGCACAAGGCGGCUGGCAGGACAGCACGCAGGAGCACGCGUAAUCAUCACCAAGCUAUCAAGAUGGGACGGCUCGAGGCCAUGACGUACGGAAGCCUCGAGUAGGUCAGCGCUCCAUGCGGCUAUCGAUCCCUACUCUAAUAUCCAUGCAUGUACCCUUUGUCUCUCCUUGGAACUAUAAAAGGAGGGACUCAGGAAUAGAAGAGGGGACAACGCAAGCACACAUACACACGUAGUAGAGCGGCACAUUUCAUUCCACACUUGUAUUCGCCCCUGUACAAGCACUUAGGUGCAAGAUAAUACAAACUCUCCCCCCCGCUGGACGUAGGGCCUUCUCUUGCCCGAACCAGGAUAAAUCUCUGUGUUUUCUCGCAUCACCAUCCGGAAAGGGGAGCACGCAUACAAAUUUACUCGUUGGUGUGAUCCCCCCGGGGGAAAAACACCGACAGUUGGCGCGCCAGGUAGGGGUCCUGCGUGUUUUUUACCGAUUUCCCACCACUUUCCGGAUGGCUACUCCUGCCUCGCCGCUUCCGCGCUCCACGGUGAUUUGGUUUGGGAGUCUCGAGUUCAUGUCUAUGGGCUCCGGCUACGACAUGAUCUUGCUCUCAGUCAAAGGACCAGGAGAAGUCCGCGUUACGCCAGCACGGUUGAAGACCUCAAGACGCCCUCACCACCACGCCUCCCCGCCUAAGAAGAGGCGCGGGCUCAACCACCGCGGCCCCUCUGCUUCAGCGCGACCAGCAACUCGCGCAAGGCAGGAUGUGGGCCGCAAGGCAGCGACACCGCGUGACCGAGCAACAAGCAUAACGACUCAGCACCACGCAACGACAGGGGGAGACGCGUCUCGCGCGCCCACCCCCACCGCAGCUAGGCUACUUCCACACGGGUUGUUCUUUCCAAGGGCGGCACUGCCGUUCGGGUUGGACAACGCCGCGGCGUCGCUCGCCAAGACGAUACGCCCAAAUGCUCAGACGCACGUGGAAAGACCAAUGGUCAUCCCACGUAGCUCUGAAGAGCAGCGGCCGACGUCCAAACUGCCGGACCUUUCCCGAGUACGAGGCCUCCGCCGUCUAGGCCCCGGGCGAUACUCGAUCACCUCCCUCGAGCAACGAUGGUCGGAGGAAGGACGUGAGCGUUCCCACACUGCCGAACCAGACUCCGACUCCGAGACAGACAGCUACGACCCUACGAGGGAAUGCUAUCACCUCGACGGAGUGGCAGAAACCACCGACGAGAUACGGGACGCCGUUGCGGGUGGACGAGCCCCCGCAGCGCAAGAAGACCCCAGGACGCCUGGGAACGACGGAAGGUUCGACCCUCUUCCUCAGGAAGAUAGAACUGCGCAGCUCGCGCAGCUGCGGGAGCUCAAGAUGAAGCUCGACGAAGAUCGCGAGCGCCUCGUCCUGCUCGAGCAAAUCCUCGAACAAGACCUGCCCUACCCGCCAGGCGGAAGUAUCCGCAGACGCGCUCGAGAGGUACAUCGACAGAUCGUCGGUGACACGGAGGCGGAGCAACCUGUCGGCCGUUUCCCUCGAGCAGGCCAGAAUGUAGUGGCAGCGACGAUGCUGCUACGUAACAUGCCAGAACCAUCGAAUUCCCAGGCUCGACGAAUUCGAGAUGAGGUUCAGACGUUGCUCCAGGUGGCAGCAGUCCAACAAGCCGAAAGUUCGGCAUCUCGACGACGAGGAGCUGCCACAGAGAAGCGCGACGAACAGCCUCUAAUCGAAGAGGAGGUGUCUGUCCAGCAACAACCCCCCCCUCGAGGCAGAAAGACCACUCUCAUCCUCCCUGCCAACAAUCAACGUCGACACGACGCGCGACACGACGUCAGAGAAAGUAGACGCCGACGGCACGGAGACGCGGAAGAACGUGGUUAUAGCGCGCAUCGCGGUGGGAGGUACGACAGUGACGAGGACCGGGUGGCCCCCGAGCCACCAGGCCCGCGGGUGUUCAGCAGAGCAAUUCGCAGCACACCCCUGCCUAGUCCAUUCCGACCCCCAACCAGCAUCGCGAAGUACAAUGGAGAAACCAAGCCAGAGUUAUGGCUGGCCGAUUUCAGGCUGGCUUGUCAACUAGGCGGCGCUCGGGGGGAUGAUCGAGCCAUCAUCAGACAACUACCCCUUUUCCUCUCCGACACCGCCCGCCGAUGGCUCGAGGAGCUCCCAGCCAAUCAGAUUCACAACUGGGUUGACCUGGUCAGAGUCUUCGAAGGUAACUUCAAAGGGACCUAUAUACGGCCAGGGAACUCGUGGGACCUCAGCAAAUGCAAGCAGAAGACAGGAGAGACUCUUCGGGAGUAUGCUCGACGCUUCUCGAAGCAACGCACUGAGUUACCACACAUCCCCGACCACGACGUCAUCUUGGCGUUUGUCUCGGGCACCACCAGUCGAGACUUGGUGCGGGAAUUAGGCCGCAAUCGACCUCAGACCGUCGACGAGCUGAUGGACGUAGUAGCUAACUACGCGGCAGGGGAGGAGGCAGUCGGCGCUUUCUUCAGCUCAGAAGGAAGAAAAGGCAAGCAGCCCGUCGAUGAAGAAAGGACUUCCAGUCGAGGCCUCAAGAAAAAUAAAAAGAAGCAGAAAGUACGACAAUUCCACCAGGGAGAUUCGGAUGACGACCUCGUCGCCACGGUGGAUCGAAAGAAGCCGCGAGGCCCUCCGGAGGGAGGCAUCUUCGACAAGAUGUUGGAGGAGCCAUGCCCUUACCAUAAGGGGGGCGCUAACCACAAACUCAAGGAUUGUCGCAUGCUGAGAAAGCAUUUCGACGGUCAGGGGCUCAAAAAAGAUGCGCAUGAUGACUCCAAGAAGGAGAAGGCCGGCGGCAAGGAGGACAACAAAGAUGACGACGGCUUCCCCGCCGUCCACGACUGCUACAUGAUCUAUGGCGGGCCUUCGACUCAGUUGACCACGAGGCAGCGCAAGAGGGAGCGUCGCGAAGUCUUCGCGGCGAGGAUGGCGGUGCCCCAGUACCUUAGCUGGUCAAGCACUCCCAUCACCUUCGACCGAGAAGAUCACCCUGACAAGGUGGUCGCCCCAGGCGUCUACCCGCUCGUCGUCGACCCCAUCAUCAUCAACACCCGACUCUCGAAAGUGCUGAUGGAUGGUGGCAGCAGCCUCAACAUCAUCUACCUCGAGACCCUCGACCUCCUCGGCAUCGACAGAGGACGCCUCCAGCCAAGCGCCGGCGGUUUCCAUGGCGUCGUACCAGGGAAAAAGGCACUGCCAGUAGGUCGAAUCGACCUACCGGUCUGCUUCGGCACGGCGGCCAACUUCAGGAAAGAAACCCUCACCUUUGAGGUGGUCGGGUUCCGAGGCACGUACCACGCCAUCAUCGGGCGCCCGGGCUACGCCAAGUUCAUGGCUAUACCCAACUACACAUACUUGAAGCUCAAGAUGCCUGGUCCCAAAGGCGUCAUCACCGUCAGUUCCUCCUUUGAGCACGCGUACGAGUGCGACGUCGAGUGCGUCGAGUACGGGGAGGCGGUCGAGAGCUCCACCGAGCUCGUUGCAAAGCUCGAAGCCAUGGCCGCUGAGGCUCCAGAACCUAAACGUCAUGCGGGCAGCUUCGAGGCGGCGGAAGGAACUAAGAAGAUCCCGCUCGACCCCAACAACUCCGACGGCAAGGUGCUGACGAUCAGCACCGACCUCGACCCCAAAUAGGAAGCCGUGCUCGUCGACUUUCUCCGUGCGAAUGCUGAUAUGUUUGCAUGGAGUCCCUCGGAUAUGCCGGGCAUACCAAGGGAAGUCGCCGAGCACUCCUUGGAGAUUCGAGCCGGUUCCAAGCCAGUGAAGCAGCGGUUGCGCCGAUUCGACGAGGAAAAGCGCAAGAUCAUUGGCGAGGAAGUCCACAAGCUUUUGACGGCCGGAUUCAUCAAGGAGGUUCAUCAUCCUGACUGGUUAGCGAACCCUGUAUUAGUUAAGAAAAAGAAUGGAAAAAUGAGGAUGUGUGUCGAUUAUACUAGUUUGAAUAAAGCAUGUCCGAAAGUUCCUUUUCCAUUACCACGCAUUGAUCAGAUUGUCGAUUCUACCGCGGGAUGUGAGACCCUUUCUUUCCUUGAUGCUUAUUCCGGUUACCAUCAAAUAAAAAUGAAGGAGUCCGACCAGCUCGCGACCUCUUUCAUCACGCCUUUUGGGAUGUAUUGCUACGUGACCAUGCCAUUCGGGCUUCGAAACGCCGGAGCCACGUAUCAACGUUGCAUGCUCCACGUUUUCGGCAAACACAUAGGGUCAACGGUCGAGGCCUACGUCGACGACAUUGUCGUCAAGUCAAAGCAACGAGGAGACCUGAUCCAGGACCUCGAGGUUGCCUUUAGCUGCUUACGCGCCAGCCGGAUCAAGCUUAAUCCCGAGAAGUGCGUUUUCGGCGUGCCUCGAGGCAUGCUCUUAGGAUACAUUGUUUCACAGCGCGGUAUCGAGGCCAACCCCGAGAAAGUCUCGGCCAUCAUGAAAAUGGGGCCAAUCCGAGACAUCAAGGGUGUCCAGAGAGUCACGGGGUGCCUGGCGGCUCUGAGCCGUUUCAUCUCGAGACUAGGAGAAAAGGCAUUACCAUUAUAUCGACUCCUGAAGAAGGUCGACAGCUUUUCUUGGACCCCCGAGGCCGAGGAAGCACUCGAAAAAUUAAAGAAGACGCUGACCUCGGCACCAGUCCUGGUUCCACCUCAACCUGCGGAGCCUCUACUCCUCUACGUCGCGUCGACGGCCCAGGUCGUCAGCGCGGCGGUGGUGGUCGAAAGGCCAGAGGAGGGUCACGCGCUGCCGGUCCAAAGGCCAGUCUAUUUCGUCAGCGAGGUGCUCUCGGAGACCAAGGCGCGAUACCCCCAAAUCCAGAAGUUAAUCUACGCCGUAAUCCUUGCCCGCCGCAAAUUACAGCAUUACUUCCUGGGUCAUCCUAUAACGGUGGUCUCUUCUUUCCCUUUGGGCGAGAUAAUCCAGAGCAGGGAGGCCACGGGAAGGAUAGCGAAGUGGUCGGUUGAGCUCAUGAGCGAGACUCUCACUUACGCGCCUCGAAAGGCCAUCAAAUCGCAAGCCCUGGUAGACUUCGUCGCGGAAUGGACGGACUCCCAGCUUCCCCCGACUCAGGUCCAGGCGGAGCUGUGGACAAUGUAUUUCGACGGGCACUCAUGAAAACGGGGGCAGGGGCCGGCCUACUAUUCAUCUCACCCUUGGGCGUCCACAUGAGGUACAUAAUCAGGAUUCACUUCGCCGCAUCUAACAAUGUCGCAGAGUAUGAGGCCCUCGUCAACGGUCUCAAGAUCGCUAUCGAGUUAGGAGUCCGACGCCUCGACGUCCGAGGCGACUCCCAACUCGUCAUCGACCAGGUAAUGAAAGCCUCGAGUUGCCAUGACCCAAAAAUGGAAGCAUACUGCAAGGAGGUGCGUCGACUCGAAGACAAAUUCCACGGCCUCGAGCUUGUCCAUGUCGCUCGACGCUACAACGAGGCAGCCGAUGAACUCGCCAAGAUUGCAUCUACCAGAGGCACAGCGCCGCCUGAUGCGUUCUCAAAAGAUCUACACGAGCCAUCCGUCGACCUAGGCACGGGGGCUGGCGUCGACGCCACCAUCGCCCGACCAACCAAUGAUGUCGAUGCGCUCUUGAUGGAGGAAGAGGUGAUGAAAAUAGAACGACGGCCGGGUCGACCAUUCGAUUGGCGCACACCGUUUCUCGACUGCCUUAUCCGCGGUGAGUUGCCAGAAGACAGGACAGAAGCUCGUCGUAUCGCUCGACGGGCCAAAUCAUACGUGAUCUACGGUGAAGACAACGAGCUAUAUCGACGAAGCCCAACGGGGGUCUUACAGCGUUGCAUCACCAUAGAGGAAGGCCGAAAACUCCUCGACGACCUACACUCGGGGGCUUGUGGUCACCACGCCGCCCCACGGACCCUUGUAGGAAACGCUUUUCGGCAAGGUUUUUACUGGCCAACGGCCGUGGCGGAUGCCAUCGAGCUAGUACGCUCGUGUCAUGGGUGCCAAUUCUACGCCAAACAGACGCACCAGCCCGCCCACGCUCUUCAGAUGAUCCCCAUCACCUGGCCGUUUGCGGUGUGGGGGCUCGAUUUAGUAGGACCUCUACAAAAGGCGAAAGGAGGGUAUACCCAUUUGCUGGUGGCUAUUGACAAGUUCUCCAAAUGGAUCGAGGCUCGACCAAUCACUAACAUCCGCUCCGAGCAGGCCGUCCUUUUCUUCUCCGACAUCAUCCACCGAUUUGGGAUCCCCAAUGUCAUCAUCACCGACAAUGGCACCCAGUUCACUGGCAGAAAGUUCUUGGAUUUCUGCGAUCAGCAUCACAUCCGCGUGAACUGGUCCGCAGUAGUCCACCCUCGAACUAACGGCCAGGUCGAGCGUGCCAACGGCAUGAUUUUGCAAGGACUCAAGCCAAGGAUCUACAACCGAUUAAAGAAAUUCGGCAAGAGAUGGGUCGAGGAGCUUUCCUCGGUCCUAUGGAGCUUAAGGACAACGCCGAGCAGGGCCACCAAAUACACCCCGUUCUUCGUGGUCUACGGCUCUGAGGCUAUCCUCCCCACAGACCUCGAGUAUGGGUCACCUCGACUCAAGGCUUACAAUGAGCAAUCGAACAAAGAAGCUCAAGAAAACGCAGUUGACCAACUCGAGGAGGCUCGAGACAUGGCCCUCCUCAACUCUGCUAGAUAUCAGCAGAAACUCCGACGCUACCACGACAAGCACGUGCGCAAGAGGGACCUCAACAUAGGCGACCUUGUCCUACGACGCCGGCAAAGCAACCAAGGACGCCACAAGCUAACCCCACCUUGGGAAGGCCCGUAUGUGGUGGCCGAGGUCCUUAAGCCGGGAACGUACAAAUUGGCGGACGAAAAGGGGGCAGUCUUCACCAACGCAUGGAACAUCGAACAGCUACGUCGAUUCUACCCCUAGAAGUCCUAGACUUACGAUCCUACUUUUUGUACGAAGACUUUGUAAAUGAACGCAUGAAUAAAUAAAGUCUUUCCCUCGAGCAGUUUUUUUUCUGUACCGAAAAUAGUUACGAGUUAUAGUCUCGACGUAAAAAGGGGAUGCCGACCAUGACCCAUCAUAGUCCGCACCCCCUCGGGGGCUACCAGAGGGACGACCCCUCCCCAAGCGUCGAAAAAGCCAAAAAGUUUCUCUCUUUCCUACUUAGUAAACCUCGAACGAUCGAGUAGUCGAGGCGCCUCGAGCCCCUCGAGGACCGAAGGAUAGCGAGCCUGAGAACACCUACGCCCCCGGGCUAUGCAAACUCUACUCAUUCCCUCACCCUCGAGGCGAUUGAAGCCGUCUUUUACGAAAAAUCGAACAAGGAACACAUUUGUAGGCGCAAAAGAAAUAAAAGAACAUCGAGUGGAAAGACAAACAAAACAUUUAAACAACCACAAAAAUACUGUAUCGCUUAGAAACAGGAUUAACUAAAUUUUAUACAAGGGGCCCCAGGCACCCCGAGCAGGCUCGCAGGCCUCAGUCCAUGGUACGAUCCUCGCCACCCUCACCUCCGCCCGAGCUAGCCUCAGGAGGGAGCACCUCAGGCUCGAAGAGCUUGGCCAACCUUUCUCCAGGAGCCUCCGCGUCGUCGAUCAAGGCAUGGAGCCUCUCCUCGUUCUCCGCGUCGGUCUUGGAGAUGUCGGUGACGAAGCCAUGGGACACCACCUCCAUGUCGUAGGAGAAGCCCGAGCAGACAACCGCCAUCGCCCGCUUCACCCCGAUGUGGAGGGCAUCCCGCACCCGAUCUCGCAGCGUCGCGCCUAUGUAGCACAACUGGUCGAUCAGGGCGUCGCCUCGAGCGUCCUCCCUCGACUCAUCCAUAGGCUCGACCUCCCAAGAGGUCGAGAGAUCGCUUAUCGCCGUCCGCACUCGACGGUUCAAAGCGACCUCAGCCUCGAGUUGAGCCUUGGCGUUGCGAGCCUCGGCUUGGGCGGCCAGGAGUUCGUCCUUGAGCCCUAUAAACGCCAAUACAGAGAAGGCUUAGAAAAAACUCAAACACACCUCGAAAAGGAAAUUCGACAAAGGAAACAUACCUUUGAUGCUCUCCUCUAGAGCCGUGUUCUCACCAACCAAUCUGGUAUUGGCACGCUCGAUCUCUCUGUUGGAGCGCGCCAGCUCAGUAUUGGCGACGCGGAGAUCUUCAAUCACCCUGCCGGCCUGGGCGACGGCUCCACUCUUCUCCAGCAGUUCUCCCUUCAGACGCUCGACGUCGUCGGAGAGACUGCGGGAUCGAGCUCGCUCUAUCUCGAGGUCUUCGAGGGCUUUCUUCUUCGCGUCCUCGGCGGCACCUCUGGCGACCUCAUUUUCCACGCAAGCCACCUUCAUCUUCUGGAAGGUAUCGCGGAGGGAGUCCAGGUCGGUUUGGAGAAGGCCCUUUUCCUUGUCCAGAUCCGCGAUGACGCUCUUGUGGGACAGGACCUCCUCCCGGGCUCUGGACGCGGCCUCCUCGACUGUAAGAGUCCGCUCUCGUAGCCGCACCGCCUCCUCCUCCGCCUUCUUCGAGACCUCUCGGGCCUCGGCCAAAGCAGCCUCCCUCACUUUCUUCUCCUCCUCGAGUGCUAUAAGAUCUUUGUAAGCUUUAAGCAGCUUUUCCUGCGACUCGAGGAGUUGAUCCUUGAGGAGGGGAAGCUGCUCCCAUCCGCCCCUCGUGGCGUGAAUGAAGCUAGAUUUGAUGCGAGAGGUCUCUUUCAUAUCCUGCGAAUCAGGAGUCAGGAGGAUUAGAACAUAGAAACCCAAAAGCACCACCAAGAUUGGAGCUCGAGAAACGCUUACAAAAUAGGCUGGGCCAAGCCCGUUGUUGAUGACGUCCGAUAGGAGCCCCACCACAUGUUUCAUCCAAAGGCGGAGCUCCUCGACGUGCUCCCACUUCUCGACCUCCUUCUUGUCGUCGAGGAAGAUAUUGGGCUCGGACGGGUCGCUGGAAGCUCGGAUACGAAUCCGAUCGGGACACCAGUUCUCCAUCUCCCGAUCGGCCCGCACCUUGACACCGCGGAGAAAGUUCUCGACGGUCUCGAGAGAACCCCCGUGGCGCAAGAACAGGUCGGCGAGGCAAGGGAACCGCCCGUCGUCAUCCACCGUUUUCCACGUACCGUCCUUGCUCCCAGACGAUCCGAUCUCGUCUUCCUCAGAGGGAAAACGGUCCUCCCACGCUCGACGCUCCCGGAGGAACCCUGGGGCGAUCCCGUCCAUGCCGUAGAGUGUCCUCUUGAUCUCGGACUCGGGGUCGGUGGGGGUGCGCAUCAUGCAGGCGAGCGCCACCACUCCGUCCGCUCGACCCGACUCUGCCCGGAUCGCGGCGGGCGCCCCCGGGAGAAGCCACGCUGGGGUGGGAGGCCCGUACACCGGCAAAUCUCCCUCUUGAUCGCCGGGCUCUUGCGACGCCUGCGGCACCGACCCGGCCAAAAUUCGAGGCGGGGACUCGAGUGGCUCGUUCUCUUGGCCCCCCAGCUGCUGCUGCUGCUCGUCCUGCUGAUGCAGCAGUUGCUCCUCCGGCUGGGGUUGCUGCUGCUGCUGCUCUAGUGACGGCUGCGCCGCCUCGCGCUCCCGCGCCUCCUCCUCCACCAUCUUCCUUUGCGUCUCGAGGGCUCGAAGGCCUGCGGGCCAGGUAGCCCGUCCUGCGACGUUGGGAGUCGACGCCUCUUCCUCCAUGGGUCGGACGCCCCCAGACGCUUCGUUACCAUCAGACGUGUCGCUGAUGGUGAUGGGUUCCCCCUCGACCCCCAAUCGAGGGGGCUCGGGGGCUCCCCCUGACACUCGCGUCUGGGGGGUCGCAUCAUGAGUUGGUGGCGGCGGAGUAGGCGCGGGACGAGGCGACGCCGCCUCGACGCCGGCUGAAGGUUGGGUGCUUGACGGGCCUGCAAAACAAAGGGUGAGGGUCAGACGUUAUGAUAACCGACAUAAUAUCGCGACACCCAGAAAUUAGCUACAAACCAGGUUCCGUGGAGGCGGCACCCGUUCUGAGCCUCUUGGCCAUCGAUGGUUGGGCCUGCUCGAGGGUCCGUUUCAGCCUGAGAAAAAGUCAGCAUGUGAGGAAAGGCGAGAGAAUGAGGGGACGAAGACCACAAUAACUAAAGGGCUUACCCCACGGGCAGAACGGCUCGCCUUCCGCCACCUCGACCAGCGGGCCUCGAGCCACCCCGCGUCGGGGCGCUAGGCCCCUCGAGGGCAGAAAUUGGCCUAGGCACGUCGGGUCUCGCUUGGCGGGCGCCGGGACUCGCGCUCCUACGACCGGCGUCACCUUUCUCAGAGGCCGCAGCGCGACCGCGGGUCAGCGGCCCCGACGCCUGGGACCUGGCCGGACCGCUCUCCUUGGGCGCCAGGGGAGGGCGCGGUGCGUCCUGGCCCGCCUUGAGCGCGGAAGGAACGUCGGGCCGGGGACGACGAGACCCGCUCGGAACCUCCUCCGGCACCUCCGUCCGGGGGGCGUCGACGUCAUCUCGAGGCGGGCCCUCGAGGAUCCGAUCGAGACGCGACGCCAUCCCCUCAGAGUCGUCGCUACUCUCGUCGUCAUCAUCAUCGUCGUUGGGGGAUUCUUCCUCAGGCUCCCCCCUCUGCCUGGAUUUGGCUCGACGCGCCUCUAAUGCUUGGCGGUCGAGAUUCUUCUUCUUCUCCCCCUUUUUUGCGGAGUCCUUGGCAGACUUCAACUUCUCGGCGGAUUGGCGCCGUUUGUCGCGAUCGACCUCGUCCUCCUUUACUGGAGGCCUCGAGGACCGGACAUCAAUCCGACCCUGCCAAAACUAAGGUAGACUUAGAAAACAAAGAGAGGGGAGAGGGGAAACCUAGAAUCGAGGAUGCGCGCAAGAAGAAAGCGUACCAGAUCGAUCGAGCCCGCGUCGGGUCGCAUGGGGAAGCCGUUGACGUGCUCCGGUUUAAAAUCACCGGCAAUUGCGGCCCUGACUCGGGCCGCGACUUCAUCGUCCGUCGGAGGCUCGCUGGACGUCCGACAUGCCUCGAGGUCCCGAGACGAGACGCCAGGGCCCAUCUCGUCCAUCCUCAGCGGUCGUGACAUCAGAGGGAGAACUCUCCGAUGAUGGACGGCCGAGAGGACGAGGGCGGCGGUCAAACCUUCCUGGCGAAGCUUCUUCAGGGCGUCGAGGAGAGGGUCGAGCCGAGGCUGAUGAGCUUGGACGACGCCGUAUGUCCAGUCCGCUGGGCGCUCCAAGAUCAGACGGCCCGAAUAGGGAGGUAGGAGGUUGUCGUCGUUCCGCAGGUAGAACCAUUGAGAGUCCCAACCGGCAUGGUUGGUCGACAACCCUACCGGUAUGUACUCCCGCGGCCGGUCCGUCUUCCCCGUCUUCUGCACCAGAUUGAGGCAACCCGCUCGCACGGGUUUCCUCACGCCCGUGGUUCCGGUGGAAGCGUGAAACAGCUCGCCCCUGUAGAGGUGGAGCCACAGCUCCCAGUGCGGCAUCAUCCCUAGGAAGCCCUCACAGACGGCGGCGAAGACCGCCGCCACGGUGAUGGCGUUCGGGGAGAAGUGCUGCAGCUCCACCCCAUAGUGGAAGCAGAGGGCCCGCAUGAAGCGGCUUGGAGGCGCGCCCAAACCGUGGCGGUGGAACUUGGCGAACGACACCACGUAGCCCUCGGGUGGCUGAGGCGUCCUGUGGCUCGCUGGCGGCGCGAUCCACUCUGGCGACGACAGCGAGGUGCGGCGGCGCAGCAGUCCCUCCUUCUCGAGCUCUAACAGCCGGCGCUCCGUCAUCGACGACGGGCGCCAGUCAUCGGCGGCGACGAGUCUUACAGGCAUAUCGGCUAACGGGACAGUGGGUUCGCUACGGCUCGAGGGGGCGAGUGCGCGUGAGAUGACAAGAAAGCGAAGGCAGCGAAAGAACGAGAGCGAGAAGGCGAAAGGGAGAGGAACGGCGGUGACGCGACGACAUAUUUAUAGGCGGCUGUCCGCCAACGGACAGAUCCGAGAAGUAAGGUAACUCCCCCCAUAAAUGCGCCGCCUGACAGCUCUCUCCCUCUCCUCACAGGCCGGACUCUCCGAAUUCCUCGCCGAUACGGUGUCGCAACGUCAUCCGCCUAAAAAGACGCGCCCAACGGGAAGAAAUGCGAACCGCCACGACCGUUUCCUUCCCUCGUAAGCCAGGGGACAUAACCACAAAAGUCUCGGGAGGUCGAUGGCUGGCCCGCCGAAAGGGUUCGACAGCCGAUCUCGAGCGCCAGAGUCAGGGAUCUCUAGCGAGUGGUCGAAACUCGAGGCCCGCCUCGAGGGCUUGCUGGCGAUGUUCAAGGUAGGGUCGAAACAGUCGAGAGGAAUCCCCCGAAGGGAGGCAUCGAGCCACUGGACUCUAUCGAAUGAGACCGGUAUCCCCGACCACGUCGACCCUGCUUUAUGAGGACGCCUCCGGGCUACAGCUGACCCCCCUCGAAAGGGGCACAGGUUCUCACUUGGACUACCCGCUAGGAACUCAAUUCGGGAUGAAAGACGCUCGCUCUAUCGGGAGUACGUCGAAACCCACGGGUAAAAACAAGCCAGUCAGAAUCUUCCACCACUGGUGUCGAAAGCGCUUCUACGAGUUAGACAACAUAACCCUCGAAGGAGUCAAAAACUCCUCCGAGGUCUCGGGGGCUACCCCGCGGGGUCGCUCGCGCGCCCCCACGAAAAUUCGACCGUAAAUCAAAACCUCCAUUCGAGCGCUAGCGCUCGAAUGAAGGCUCGGGGGCUACUGUCGAGGGUAUCGGUAAGGGGUACCCUCAGCGAUGCGCAUUAUGAGAUUGCCCAUACAAAGGUUGGGACCCCCAAUUCGACGCCUUAAUCUUACUUACGCGCCGCCGACGACGGUCGCAGCCUCGAAUACGGAAAUAGCGUCGAGCGAACCGGUCAGGGCUCGAGCAGCGACUACCGUCAAAGGCGGAAGCGGGCUCGAGCGAACCGAGAGACGUCGAGCGUUAGGACACUGCCCGCCGCCUGACGCGCGCACGCGGGCGGGAGCAUUAAAUGCAUCUGACGUUUCCCACCUAACACCCGGGUCACGGAAGGCGUGAUAGGGAACAAGCUUCUGUCCCAUCGUUCUUUUUGCAGCCUUCCCACCGAACGACCCAGGGUGCGUCAGGACGCAGGAAACGAGGAUGGAACGUCUAAUCGGGACCCCCUCGAGACACUCAAGGUCAGCGCUCCGGAUGUCAGCCUAUUGCGCGGCGCCCGACCCUCGACCGAACGAGGUCCCUUCCCGGGGACAAGUCGGGCAUCGACUGACACCACCACAGCUGCUCCGCCGGAUCCGCCACCAUACCAUACGAGCAUGCGAUCUCAGAACCAGCACAAGGCGGCUGGCAGGACAGCACGCAGGAGCACGCGUAAUCAUCACCAAGCUAUCAAGAUGGGACGGCUCGAGGCCAUGACGUACGGAAGCCUCGAGUAGGUCAGCGCUCCAUGCGGCUAUCGAUCCCUACUCUAAUAUCCAUGCAUGUACCCUUUGUCUCUCCUUGGAACUAUAAAAGGAGGGACUCAGGAAUAGAAGAGGGGACAACGCAAGCACACAUCCACACGUAGUAGAGCUGCACAUUUCAUUCCACACUUGUAUUCGCCCCUGUACAAGCACUUAGGUGCAAGAUAAUACAAACUCUCCCCCCCGCUGGACGUAGGGCCUUCUCUUGCCCGAACCAGGAUAAAUCUCUGUGUUUUCUCGCAUCACCAUCCGAAAAGGGGAGCACGCAUACAAAUUUACUCGUUGGUGUGAUCCCCCCCGGGGGAAAAACACCGACAAUUGGAUUCCCGCUUGCAUCAAUUGCUCUAGUCUUUAUAACGCUAGAGUAGUAAUUAAUAGAUUAGACGUGGUGUUUAGUCUUGCGAUUACCUGGAAUUGCACCCAAUCCCACGGAUUGUUGUGGUAGCCUUAGGGUAGUGACAGCCCUAACGGUCGAUGUAUUCCACCUCGUUCGGAUCGGUGUUUGUAGGACCGUAGUCGGAGCUUCCUAGCCCCCUUCUCAUCUCUUUCUGUGGUUAGUGUUCUGAUGUCCCGAAAUAGAUAAUCUUGAAGUAAUUCUUGAUUCUUAGAUCAACUAGAGAACUCUCAGGAAACUUCCUCUCUUCCCACCAAAAAAUAAUUAUAUAGUUAUCCUUGGGCGAUCUUGAUUCUUAAUUAGUACACUCACGUUCCCUGUGGAAAAUCGAUACUCUGGAAUACUCCCGGGUGAAGGCUACAUCGGUAUCCGUGCGCUUGCGGAUUUUUCUGUUUGCGUUUAAAAUACCCAACAAUUACCACUUGAUGAGAACACGGGUGGCCCGAUCUUCCGAAAGGUUCUGGUAACUCUCGAUUUGGUGGAGACGAGACACAAAUUGAUCCGGCUUCCGAACAACACGAUACGAAACCCUACAAUUUUCUUUAUUUUUUUCAUAUUUUUCUUUUAGUUAGGAGCACCAAAGGAGUAACCACAAAAAAAUUGAGCUUAAACAAGUGAAAGACAUGGCCCGCGAAAUUUUCUGAAGAUUGUGAAAAAUGUGAAAAAAACUUCACGAGGUGAAAACUCAAACUUUAGAGGAUCUAAAGUCAAUCAAACCUGCCAUUGAAAGGCACAGACAGAUCCAAAAAAUUUUUCUGAUCGAUUUUUUUAUAUGGAACGUUGAAAUCGGAGUUCGUAUGCGGAAGUUAUGGCUAUUUUAUGAACGGACUCCGGAUUAGAGGACAAAACGGUCCGAAAAUGAGAAAAAUUGCGGCGGUGGCUAAAAAUUGAUGGAAAUAGUGGAGAAAAACAUAUGAACUGGACCCUAACAAGACCUAACCAGCAACAAGACCUCGACCAGGACACAAACUCAACACUACGGACUCUGAAACUAAAAUAUGCAAAUUCUAUGGCGUGGAAGGGUUGUAGGACAGGAAAAUGAUAUGGCACUGGACUUAUGGGACGAACACAAGAACACUCAAAACUAAAGAUAGUUAUGAACCUAAUGGUAUACCUAAAGCUUUGAUUACCACUUGAUUUGAACAAGGGUGGUCUGAUCUUCCGAAAGGUUCUGGUAACUAUCGAUUUGGAGGAGAAGAGACACAAAUUGAUCCGCUUUCGAACAACACGAUCCGAAACUCAGCAAAUUCUUUUUAUUAUUUUUUGAUAUUUUUCUUUCAGUUAGGAGCACUAAAGAAGUAACCACAGAAAAUUUAAGCUUAAACAAGUGAAAGACAUGGCCUGUGGAAUUUUCUGAAGUUUGUGAAAAAUGUGAAAAAAACUUCAUGAUGUGAAAACUUAAACUUCAGAGGUGAAUUUGGAGGUUCUAAAAUUUUCAAACCCGCCAAUGGAGGGGACAAAUAGAUCCAAAAAAUUUUUUUGAUCGAUUUUGAUAUAUGGAACAUUGAAAUCGGAGUCCGUAUGCGAAAGUUAUGGCUAUUUUACGAUCGGACUCCGAAUUAGAGGACAAAACGGUCCGAAAGUGGGAAAAAUUUGCGGCGGUGGCCAGAAAUUGAUGGAAACGAUGGGGAAAAACACACGAACUGGACUCUAACAAGACCUAACCAGCAACAAGACCUCGGCCAGGACACAAACUCAACACUGCGAACUCUGAAACUAAAAUAUGCAAAGGCUAUUGCGUGGAAGGGUUGUAGGACACGAAAAUGAUAUGGCACUCGACUUAUGGGACGAAACACUCGAAACUAAGGGUAGAUGUGAACCUAACAGUAUACCUAAAGCUUUGAUUACCACUUGAUGAGUCAAGGGUGGCCCGAUCUUCCGAAAGGUUCUGGUAUCUCUCGAUUUGGUGCAGACGAGACACAAAUCGAUCCGGCUUCCGAACAACACGAUCUGAAAGCCUACAAUUUUUUUUAUUUUUUGAUAUAUUUCUUUGAGUUAGGAGCACCAAAGAAGUAACCACAUUAAAUUUGAGCUUAAACAAGCGAAAGACAUGGCCUGCGGAAUUUUCUAAAGAUUGUAAAAAAUAUGAAAAAAACUUCACGAGGUGAAAACUCAAACUUUGGAGGUGAAUUUUGAGGUUCUAAAAUUUUCAAACCUACCAAUGGAGGGGACAGACAGAUCCAAAAAAAAUUUCGGAUCAAUUUUGAUAUAUGGAAUGUUGAAAUCGGAGUUCGUAUGCGAAAGUUAUGGCUAUUUUACGGACUACGAAUUAGAGGACAAAAUAGUCCGAAUGUGGGAAAAAUUUGCGGCGGUGGCUAAAAAUUGAUGGAAACGGUGGGGAAAAACACACGAACUGGACUCUAACAAGACCUAACCAGCAACAAGACCUCGACCAGGACACAAACUCAACACUGCGGACUCUGAAAUUGAAAUAUGCAAAGGCUAUGGCGCGGAAGGGUUGUAGGACAGGAAAACGAUACGGUACUGGACUUAUUGGACGAACACAAGAACACUCGAAACUAAGGGUAGAUGCCAACCUAAUGGUAUACCUAAAGCUUUGUUUACCACUUGAUGAGAACAAGGGUGGCCCGAUCUUGUGAAAGGUUCUAGUAACUCUCGAUUUGGUGGAGACGAGACACAAAUCAAUCCGGCUUCCAAAUAACACGAUGCGAAACCCUUCAAUUUUUUUAUUUUUUUGAUAUUUUUCUUUUAGUUAGGAGCACCAAACGAGUAACCACAUAUAAUUUGACUUUAAAACAAGUGAAAGACUUGGCCUGCGGAUUUUUCUUAAGAUUGUGAAAAAUGUGAAAAAAAACUUCACGGGGUGAAAACUCAAACUUUGGAGGUGAAUUUGGAGGUUCUAAAUUUUCAAACCCACCAAAAGCUAGGACACACAGAUCCGAAAUUUUUGUCUGAUUGAUUUCGAUAUAUGGAACAUUGAAAUCGGAGUUCGUAUGUGAAAGUUAUGGCGAUUUUACGAACGGACUCCGAAUUAGAGGACAAAACGGUAAAUGGGAAAAAUUUGCGGUGGUGGCUAGAAAUUGAUGGAAACGGUAGGAAAAAACACACGAACUGGACUCUAACAAGACCUAACCAGCAACAAGACCUCAACAAGAACACAAACUCGACACUGCGGACUCUGAAACUGAAAUAUGCAAAGGCUAUGGCGCGAAAGGGUUGUAGGAUACGAAAACGAUAUAGCCCUGGACUUAUGGGACGAACACAAGAACACUCGAAACUAAGGGUGGAUGUGAACCUAACGGUAUACCUAAAGCUUUGAUUACCACUUGAUGAGAACAAGGGUGACCUGACCUUCCAAAAGGUUCUGAUAUCUCUCGAUUUGGUACAGACGAGACACAAAUCGAUCCGGCUUCCGAACAACAUGAUAUGAAACCGUGCAAUUUAUUUUAUUUUUUUGAUAUUUUUCUUUUAGUUAGUAGCACCAAAGGAGUAACCACAGUAAAUUUGAGCUUAAACAAGUGAAAGACAUGGCCUGCGGAAUUUUUUGAAGAUUGUGAAAAAUGUGAAAAAAAACAUUACGAGGUGAAAACUCAAACUUUAGAGGUGAAUUUUGAGGUUCUAAAAUUUUCAAACCCGCCAAUGGAGGGGAUAGAGAGAUCCAAAAAAAUUUUCGAAUCAAUUUUGAUAUAUGGAACGUUGAAAUCGGAGUUCGUAUGCGAAAGUUAUGGCUAUUUUACGAACGGACUACGAAUUAGAGGACAAAACAGUCUGAAAGUCUGAAAAAUCUGCGGUUGUGGCUAGAAAUUGAUGGAAACGGUGGGGAAAAACACACGAACUGGACUCUAACAAGGCCUAACCAGCAACAAGACCUCAACAAGAACACAAACUCAACACUGCAGACUCUGAAACUGAAAUAUGCAAAGGCUAUGGCGCGAAAGGGUUGUAGGACACGAAAAUGAUAUAGCACUGGACUUAUGGUACGAACACAAGAACACUCGAAACUAAGGGUAGAUGUAAACCUAAUGGUAUACCUAAAGCUUUGAUUACCACUUGAUGAGAACAAGGGUGGGCCGAUCUUCUCAAAGGUUCUAGUAACUCUCGAUUUGAUGGAGACGACACACAAAUCGAUCCGGCUUCCGAACAACACGAUCCGAAACAUGCAAUUUUUUUUAUUUUUUUUUUGAUAUUUUUCUUUUACUUAGGAGCACCAAAGGAGUAGCCACAGGAAAAUUGAGCUUAAACAAGUGAAAGACAUGGCCUGCGGAAUUUUCUGGAAAUUGUGAAAAAUGUGAAAAAAACAUCACGAGCUGAAAACUCAAAUUUCGGAAGUGAAUUUGGAGGUUCUAAAAUUUUCAAACCCACCAAUGAGGGGACAGACAGAUCUUAUUUUUUUUCUAAUCAAUUUUGAUAUAUGGAAUGUUGAAAUCGGAGUUCAUAUGCGAAAGUUAUGGCUAUUUUACGAACGGACUCCGAAUUAGAGCACAAAACGGUCCGAAAGUGGGAAAAAUUUGCGGCGGUGGCUAGAAUUUGAUGGAAACGGUGGAGAAAAAUACAUGAACUGGACUCUAACAAGACCUAACCACCAACAAGACUUCGACCAGGACACAAACUCAACACUGCGGACUCUGAAACUGAAAUAUGCAAAGGCUAUGGCGUGGAAGGGUUGUAGGACACGAAAACGAUAUGGCACUGGACUUAUGGGACGAACACAAGAACACUCGAAACUAAGGGUAGAUGUGAACCUAACGGUAUACCUAAUGCUUUUAUUACCACUUGAUGAGAAAAAGGGUGACCUGAUCUUCCAAAAGGUUCUGGUAUCUCUCGAUUUGGUGCAGACGAGACACAAAUCGAUCCGGCUUCCGAACAACAUGAUACGAAACAAUGCAAAUUUUUUCUAUUUUUUUUGAUAUUUUUAUUUUAGUUAGGAGCACCGAAGGAGUAACCACAGAGAAUUUGAGCUUAAACAAGUUUAAGACAUGGCCUGCGGAAUUUUUUGAAGAUUGUGAAAAAUGUGAAAAAAAACUUCACGGGGUGAAAACUCAAACUUUGGAGGUGAAUUUGGAGGUUCUAAAUUUUUUUGAUCGAUUUUGAUAUAUGGAACAUUGAAAUCGGAGUUCGUAUGCGAAAGUUAAGGCUAUUUUACGAUCGGACUCCGAAUUAGAGGACAAAACGGUCCGAAAGUGGGAAAAAUUUGCAGUGCUGGCUAGAAAUUGAUGGAAAUGGUAGGGAAAAACACACGAACUGGACUCUAAUAAGACCUAACCAGCAACAAGACGUCAACAAGAACACAAACUCAACACUGCGGACUCUGAAACUGAAAUAUGCAAAGGCUAUGGCGCGAAAGGGUUGUAGGACACGAAAACGAAAAAGCACUGGACUUAUGGUACGAACACAAGAACACUCGAAACUAAGGGUAGAUGUGAACCUAACGGUAUACUAAUGCUUUUAUUACCACUUGAUGAGAAUAAGUGUGACCUGAUCUUCAAAAAGGUUCUGGUAUCUCUUGAUUUGGUGCAGACGAGACACAAAUCGAUCCGGCUUCCGAACAACAUGAUACGAAACCUUGCAUUUUUUUUUUAUUUUUUUUAAUAUUUUGCUUUUAGUUAGGAGCACCGUAGGAGUAACCACAGAAAAUUUGACGUUAAACAAGUGAAAGACAUGGUCUACGGAAUUUUUUGAAGAUUGUGAAAAAUGUGAAAAAAAACUUCACGAGGUGAAAACUCAAACUUUGGAGAUGAAUUUUGAGGUUCUAAAAUUUUCAAACCCGCCAAUGGAGGGGACAGACAGAUCCAAAAAGAAUUUUGGAUCAAUUUUCAUAUAUGGAACGUUGAAAUCGGAGUUCGUAUGUGAAAGUUAUGGCUAUUUUACGAACGGACUACGAAUUAGAGGACAAAACAGUCCGAAAGGGGGAAAAAUUUGCGGCAGUGGCUAGAAAUUGAUGGAAACAGUGGGGAAAAACACACGAACUAGACUCUAACAAAGACCUCGACCAGGACACAAACUCAACACUGCGGACUCUGAAACUGAAAUAUGCAAAGGCUAUGGCGCGGAAGGGUUGUAGGACAAGAAAAUGAUAUGGUACUGGACUUAUGGGACGAACACAAGAACACUCCAAACUAAGGGUAGAUGUGAACCAAAUGUUAUACCUAAAGCUCUGAUUACCACUUGAUGAAAACAAGGGUGGCCCGAUCUUCUGAAAGGUUCUAGUAACUCUCGAUUUGGUGGAGACGAGACACAAAUCGAUCCGGCUUCCGAACAACAUGAUCCGAAAGCCUACAAUUUUUUUUAUUUUUUUGAUGUUUUUCUUUUAGUUAGGAGCACCAAAGAAGUAACCACAUAAAAUUUGAGCUUAAACAAGUGAAAGAAAUGGCCUGUGGAAUUUUCUGAAGAUUGUGAAAAAUGUGAAAAAACUUCACGAGGUGAAAACUCAAACUUUGGAGGUGAAUUUGCAGGUUCUAAAAUUUUCAAACCAACCAAAAGCUAGGACACACAGAUCUGAAAUUUUUUUCUGAUCGAUUUUGAUAUAUGGAACGUUGAAAUCGGAGUUCGUAUGUGAAAGUUAUGGCUAUUUUACGAACGGACUACGAAUUAGAGGACAAAACAGUCCGAAAGUGGGAAAAAUUUGCGGCGGUGGCUAGAAAUUGAUGGAAACGGUGGGGAAAAGCACACGAACUGGACUCUAAUAAGACCUAACCAGCAACAAGACCUCAACAAGAACACAAACUCAAAACUGCGGACUCUGAAACUGAAAUAUGCAAAGGCUAUGGCGCGAAAGGGUUAGGACACGAAAACGAAAUAGCACUGGACUUAUGGUACGAACAUAAUAACACUCAAAACUAAGGGUAGAUGUGAACCUAACGGUAUACCUAAUGCUUUUAUUACCACUUGAUGAGAACAAGGGUGACCUGAUCUUCCAAAAGGUUCUGGUAUCUAUCGAUUUAUUGCAGACGAGACACAAAUCGAUCCGGCUUCCGAACAACAUGAUACGAAACCCAGCAAUUUUUUUUAAUUUUUUUUUGAUAUUUUUAUUUUAGUUAGGAGCACCGUAGGAGUAACCACAGAGAAUUUGAGCUUAAACAAGUUUAAGACAUGGCCUGCGGAAUUUUUUGAAGAUUGUGAAAAAUGUGAAAAAAAACUUCACAAGGUGAAAACUCAAAAUUUGGAGGUGAAUUUUGAGGUUCAAAAAUUUUUCAAACCCGCCAAUGGAGGGGACAGACAGAUCCAAAAAAAAUUUUUGGAUCAAUUUUGAUAUAUGGAACGUUGAAAUCAGAGUUCGUAUGCGAAAGUUAUGGCUAUUUUACGAACGGACUACGAAUUAGAGGACAAAACAGUCCGAAAGUGGGAAAAAUUUGCGGUGCUGGCUAGAAAUUGAUGGAAAUGGUAGGGAAAAACACACGAACUGGACUCUAAUAAGACCUAACCAGCAACAAGACGUCAACAAGAACACAAACUCAACACUGCGGACUCUGAAACUGAAAUAUGCAAAGGCUAUGGCGCGAAAGGGUUGUAGGACACGAAAACGAAAAAGCACUGGACUUAUGGUACGAACACAAGAACACUCGAAACUAAGGGUAGAUGUGAACCUAACGGUAUACCUAAUGCUUUUAUUACCACUUGAUGAGAACAAGGGUGACCUGAUCUUCAAAAAGGUUCUGGUAUCUAUCGAUUUAUUGCAGACGAGACACAAAUCGAUCCGGCUUCCGAACAACAUGAUACGAAACCCAGCAAUUUUUUUUAUUUUUUUUUUUGAUAUUUUUAUUUUAGUUAGGAGCACCGUAGGAGUAACCACAGAGAAUUUGAGCUUAAACAAGUUUAAGACAUGGCCUGCGGAAUUUUUUGAAGAUUGUGAAAAAUGUGAAAAAAAACUUCACGAGGUGAAAACUCAAACUUUGGAGGUGAAUUUUGAGGUUCAAAAAUUUUCAAACCCGCCAAUGGAGGGGACAGACAGAUCCAAAAAAAAAUUUUGGAUCGAUUUGAUAUAUGGAACGUUGAAAUCAAAGUUCGUAUGCGAAAGUUAUGGCUAUUUUACGAACGGACUACGAAUUAGAGGACAAAACAGUCUGAAAGUGGGAAAAAUUUGCGGUGGUGGCUAAAAAUUGAUGGAAACGGUAGGGAAAAUACACACGAACUGGACUCUAAUAAGAUCUAACCAGCAACAAGACCUCAACAAGAACACAAACUCAACACUGCGGACUCUGAAACUAAAAUAUGCAAAGGCUAUGGCGCGAAAGGGUUGUAGGACACGAAAACGAAAAAGCACUGGACUUAUGGUACGAACACAAGAACACUCGAAACUAAGGGUUGAUGUGAACCUAACGAUAUACCUAAUGCUUUUAUUACCACUUGAUGAGAACAAGGGUGACCUGAUCUUCAAAAAGGUUCUGGUAUCUCUCUAUUUGGUGCAGACGAGACACAAAUCGAUCCGGCUUCCGAACAACAUGAUACGAAACCUUGCAAUUUUUUUUAUUUUUUUAAUAUUUUGCUUUUAGUUAGGAGCACCGUAGGAGUAACCACAGAAAAUUUGAGCUUAAACAAGUGAAAGACAUGGCCUACGGAAUUUUUUGAAGAUUGUGAAAAAUGUGAAAAAAACAUCAUGAGGUGAAAACUCAAACUUUGGAGAUGAAUUUUCAGGUUCUAAAAUUUUCAAACCCGCCAAUGGAGGGGACAGACAGAUCCAAAAAGAAUUUUGUAUCAAUUUUCAUAUAUGGAACGUUGAAAUCGGAGUUCAUAUGUGAAAGUUAUGGCUAUUUUACGAACGGACUACGAAUUAGAGGACAAAACAGUCCGAAAGUGGGAAAAAUUUGCGGCGGUGGCUAGAAAUUGAUGGAAACGGUGGUGAAAAACACACGAACUGGACUCUAACAAAGACCUCGACUAGGACACAAACUCAACACUGCGGACUCUGAAACUGAAAUAUGCAAAGGCUAUGGCGCGGAAGGGUUGUAGGACAGGAAAAUGAUAUGGUACUGGACUUAUGGGACGAACACAAGAACACUCCAAACUAAGGGUAGAUGUGAACCUAAUGUUAUACCUAAAGCUCUGAUUACCACUUGAUGAGAACAAGGGUGGCCCGAUCUUCUGAAAGGUUCUACUAACUCUCGAUUUGGUGGAGACGAGACACAAAUCGAUCCGGCUUCCGAACAACAUGAUCCGAAACCCUACAUUUUUUUUAUUUUUUUGAUGUUUUUCUUUUAGUUAGGAGCACCAAAGAAGUAACCACAUAAAAUUUGAGCUUAAACAAGUGAAAGACAUGGCCUGUGGAAUUAUCUGAAGAUUGUGAAAAAUGUGAAAAAACUUCACGAGGCGAAAACUCAAACUUUGGAGGUGAAUUUGCAGGUUCUAAAAUUUUCAAACCCACCAAAAGCUAGGACACACAGAUCCAAAAUUUUUUUCUGAUCGAUUUUGAUAUAUGGAACGUUAAAAUCGGAGUUCGUAUGUGAAAGUUAUGACUAUUUUACGAACGGACUCCGAAUUAGAGGAAAAAACGGUCUGAAAGUGGGAAAAAUUUGCGGUGGUGGCUAGAAAUUGAUGGAAACGGUGGGGAAAAGCACACGAACUGGACUCUAAUAAGACCUAACCAGUAACAAGACCUCAACAAGAACACAAACUCAACACUGCAGACUCUGAAACUGAAAUAUGCAAAGGCCAUGGCGCGAAAGGGUUAGGACACGAAAACGAAAUAGCACUGGACUUAUGGUACGAACAGAAUAACACUCAAAACUAAGGGUAGAUGUGAACCUAACGGUAUACCUAAUGCUUAUAUUACCACUUGAUGAGAAGAAGCGUGACCUGAUCUUCCAAAAGGUUCUGGUAUCUAUCGAUUUGGUGCAGACGAGACACAAAUCGAUCCGGCUUCCGAACAACAUGAUACGAAACCCUGCAAUUUUUUUUAUUUUUUUUGAUAUUUUUAUUUUAGUUAGGAGGACCGUAGGAGUAACCACAGAGAAUUUGAGCUUAAACAAGUUUAAGACAUGGCCUGCGGAAUUUUUUGAAGAUUGUGAAAAAUGUGAAAAAAAACUUCACGAGGUGAAAACUCAAACUUUGGAGGUGAAUUUUGAGGUUCAAAAAUUUUCAAACCCGCCAAUGGAGGGGACAGACAAAUCCAAAAAAAAUUUUUGGAUCGAUUUGAUAUAUGGAACGUUGAAAUCAAAGUUCGUAUGCGAAAGUUAUGGCUAUUUUACGAACGGACUACGAAUUAGAGGACAAAACAGUCUGAAAGUGGGAAAAAUUUGCGGUGGUGGCUAAAAAUUGAUGGAAACGGUAGGGAAAAUACACACGAACUGGACUCUAAUAAGACCUAACCAGCAACAAGACCUCAACAAGAACACAAACUCAACACUGCGGACUCUGAAACUAAAAUAUGCAAAGGCUAUGGCGCGAAAGGGUUGUAGGACACGAAAACGAAAAAGCACUGGACUUAUGGUACGAACACAAGAACACUCGAAACUAAGGGUUGAUGUGAACCUAACGAUAUACCUAAUGCUUUUAUUACCACUUGAUGAGAACAAGGGUGACCUGAUCUUCAAAAAGGUUCUGGUAUCUCUCUAUUUGGUGCAGACGAGACACAAAUCGAUCCGACUUCCGAACAACAUGAUACGAAACCUUGCAAUUUUUUUAUUUUUUUAAUAUUUUGCUUUUAGUUAGGAGCACCGUAGGAGUAACCACAGAAAAUUUGAGCUUAAACAAGUGAAAGACAUGGCCUACGGAAUUUUUUGAAGAUUGUGAAAAAUGUGAAAAAAACAUCACGAGGUGAAAACUCAAACUUUGGAGAUGAAUUUUCAGGUUCUAAAAUUUUCAAACCCGCCAAUGGAGGGGACAGACAGAUCCAAAAAGAAUUUUGGAUCAAUUUUCAUAUAUGGAACGUUGAAAUCGGAGUUCAUAUGUGAAAGUUACGGCUAUUUUAUGAACGGACUACGAAUUAGAGGACAAAACAGUCCGAAAGUGGGAAAAAUUUGCGGCGGUGGCUAGAAAUUGAUGGAAACGGUGGCGAAAAACACACGAACUGGACUCUAACAAAGACCUCGACUAGGACACAAACUCAACACUGCGGACUCUGAAACUGAAAUAUGCAAAGGCUAUGGCGCGGAAGGGUUGUAGGACAGGAAAAUGAUAUGGUACUGGACUUAUGGGACGAACACAAGAACACUCCAAACUAAGGGUAGAUGUGAACCUAAUGUUAUACCUAAAGCUCUGAUUACCACUUGAUGAGAACAAGGGUGGCCCGAUCUUCUGAAAGGUUCUACUAACUCUCGAUUUGGUGGAGACGAGACACAAAUCGAUCCGGCUUCCGAACAACAUGAUCCGAAACCCUACAUUUUUUUUAUUUUUUUGAUGUUUUUCUUUUAGUUAGGAGCACCAAAGAAGUAACCACAUAAAAUUUGAGCUUAAACAAGUGAAAGACAUGGCCUGUGGAAUUAUCUGAAGAUUGUGAAAAAUGUGAAAAAACUUCACGAGGCGAAAACUCAAACUUUGGAGGUGAAUUUGCAGGUUCUAAAAUUUUCAAACCCACCAAAAGCUAGGACACACAGAUCCAAAAUUUUUUUCUGAUCGAUUUUGAUAUGUGGAAUGUUAAAAUCGGAGUUCGUAUGUGAAAGUUAUGGCUAUUUUACGAACGGACUCCGAAUUAGAGGACAAAACGGUCUGAAAGUGGGAAAAAUUUGCGGUGGUGGCUAGAAAUUGAUGGAAACGGUGGGGAAAAACACACGAACUGGACUCUAACUAGACCUAACCAGCAACAGGACCUCAACAAGAACACAAACUCAAAACUGCGGACUCUGAAACUGAAAUAUGCAAAGGCUAUGGCGCGAAAGGGUUAGGACACGAAAACGAAAUAGCACUGGACUUAUGGUACGAACAGAAUAACACUCAAAACUAAGGGUAGAUGUGAACCUAACGGUAUACCUAAUGCUUUUAUUACCACUUGAUGAGAACAAGGGUGACCUGAUCUUCCAAAAGGUUCUGGUAUCUAUCGAUUUGGUGCAGACGAGACACAAAUCGAUCCGGCUUCCGAACAUCAUGAUACGAAACCCUGCAAUUUUUUUUAUUUCUUUUGAUAUUUUUAUUUUAGUUAGGAGCACCGUAGGAGUAACCACAGAGAAUUUGAGCUUAAACAAGUUUAAGACAUGGCCUGCGGAAUUUUUUGAAGAUUGUGAAAAAUGUGAAAAAAAACUUCACGAGGUGAAAACUCAAACUUUGGAGGUGAAUUUUGAGGUUCAAAAAUUUUCAAACCCGCCAAUGGAGGGGACAGACAGAUCCAAAAAAAAUUUUUGGAUCGAUUUGAUAUAUGGAACGUUGAAAUCAAAGUUCGUAUGCGAAAGUUAUGGCUAUUUUACGAACGGACUACGAAUUAAAGGACAAAACAGUCUGAAAGUGGGAAAAAUUUGCGGUGGUGGCUAAAAAUUGAUGGAAACGGUAGGGAAAAAACACACGAACUGGACUCUAAUAAGACCUAACCAGCAACAAGACCUCAACAAGAACACAAACUCAACACUGCGGACUCUGAAACUGAAAUAUGCAAAGGCUAUGGCGCGAAAGGGUUGUAGGAUACGAAAACGAAAAAGCACAGGACUUAUGGUACGAACACAAGAACACUCGAAACUAAGGGUUGAUGUGAACCUAACGAUAUACCUAAUGCUUUUAUUACCACUUGAUGAGAACAAGGGUGACCUGAUCUUCAAAAAGGUUCUGGUAUCUCUCUAUUUGGUGCAGACGAGACACAAUUCGAUCCGGCUUCCGAACAACAUGAUACGAAACCUUGCAAUUUUUUUUAUUUUUUUAAUAUUUUGCUUUUAGUUAGGAGCACCGUAGGAGUAACCACAAAAAAUUUGAGCUUAAACAAGUGAAAGACAUGGCCUAUGGAAUUUUUUGAAGAUUGUGAAAAAUGUGAAAAAAACAUCACGAGGUAAAAACUCAAACUUUGGAGAUGAAUUUUCAGGUUCUAAAAUUUUCAAACCCGCCAAUGGAGGGGACAGACAGAUCCAAAAAGAAUUUUGGAUCAAUUUUCAUAUAUGGAACGUUGAAAUCGGAGUUCAUAUGUGAAAGUUAUGGCUAUUUUACGAACAGACUACGAAUUAGAGGACAAAACAGUCCGAAAGUGGGAAAAAUUUGCGGCGGUGGCUAGAAAUUGAUGGAAACGGUGGCGAAAAACACACGAACUGGACUCUAACAAAGACCUCGACUAGGACACAAACUCAACACUGCGGACUCUGAAACUGAAAUAUGCAAAGGCUAUGGCGCGGAAGGGUGGUAGGACAGGAAAAUGAUAUGGUACUGGACUUAUGGGACGAACACAAGAACACUCCAAACUAAGGGUAGAUGUGAACCUAAUGUUAUACCUAAAGCUCUGAUUACCACUUGAUGAGAACAAGGGUGGCCCGAUCUUCUGAAAGGUUCUAGUACCUCUCGAUUUGGUGGAGACGAGACACAAAUCGAUCCGGCUUCCGAACAACAUGAUCCGAAACCCUACAUUUUUUUUUAUUUUUUUGAUGUUUUUCUUUUAGUUAGGAGCACCAAAGAAGUAACCACAUAAAAUUUGAGCUUAAACAAGUGAAAAACAUGGCCUGUGGAAUUAUCUGAAGAUUGUGAAAAAUGUGAAAAAACUUCACGAGGUGAAAACUCAAACUUUGGAGGUGAAUUUGCAGGUUCUAAAAUUUUCAAACCCACCAAAAGCUAGGACACACACAUCCAAAAUUUUUUUCUGAUCGAUUUUGAUAUAUGCAACGUUAAAAUCGGAGUUCGUAUGUGAAAGUUAUGGCUAUUUUACGAACGGACUCCGAAUUAGAGGACAAAACGGUCUGAAAGUGGGAAAAAUUUGCGGUGGUGGCUAGAAAUUGAUGGAAACGGUGGGGAAAAACACACGAACUGGACUCUAACUAGACCUAACCAGCAACAGGACCUCAACAAGAACACAAACUCAACACUGCGGACUCUGAAACUGAAAUAUGCAAAGGCUUUGGCGUGAAAGGGUUGUAGGACACGAAAAUGAUAUAGCACUGGACUUAUGGUACAAACACAAGAACACUCGAAACUAAGGGUGGAUGUGAACCUAACGGUAUACCUAAAACUUUGAUUACCACUUGAUGAGAACAUGAGUGACCUGAUCUUUCAAAAGGUUCUGGUAACUCUAGAUUUGGUGGAGACGAGAAACAAAUCGAUCCGGCUUCCGAACAACAUCAUAUGAAACCGUGCAAUUUUUUUAUUUUUUUGAUAUUUUUCUUUUAGUUAUGAGCACCAAAGGAGUAACCACAGAAAAUUUGAGCUUAAACAAGUGAAAGACAUGGCCUGUGGAAUUUUUUGAAGAUUGUGAAAAAUGUGAAAAAAACUUCACGAGGUGAAAACUCAAACUUUGGAGGUGAAUUUUGAGGUUCUAAAAUUUUCAAACCCAACAAUGGAGGGGACAGACAGAUCCAAAAAAAAUUUCGGAUCGAUUUUGAUAUAUGGAACGUUGAAAUCGGAGUUCGUAUGCGAAAGUUAUGGCUAUUUUACGUACGGACUACGAAUUAGAGGACAAAACCGUCCGAAAGUGGGAGAAAUUUGCGGUGGUGGCUAGAAAUUGAUGGAAACGGUAGGGGAAAACACACGAACUGGACUGUAAUAAGACCUAACCAGCAACAAGACCUCGACCAGGACAAACUCAACAAUGCGGACUCUGAAACUAAAAUAUGCAGAGGCUAUGGCGUGGAAGGGUUGUAGGACAGGAAAACGAUAUGUUACUGGACUUAUGGGACGAACACAGGAACACUCGAAACUAAGGGUAGAUGUGAAACUAAUGGUAUACCUAAAGCUUUGAUUACCACUUGAUGAGAAAAAGGGUGGCCCGAUCUUUCGAAAGGUUCUGGUAACUCUCGAUUUGGUGGAGACGAGACACAAAUCGAUCCGGCUUCCGAACAACACGAUCUGAAACCCUACAGUUCUUUUUUAUUUUUUUAAUAUUUUUCUUUUAGUUAGGAGCACCGAAAGAGUAACCACAUAAAAUUUGAGUUCAGACAAGUGAAAGACACGGCCUGCGGAAUUUUCUGAAGAUUGUGAAAAAUGUGAAAAAAACAUCACGAGGUGAAAACGCAAACUUGGGAGGUGAAUUUGGAGGUCCUAAAAUUUUCAAACUUGCCAAAGGCAGGGACAUACAGAUCUGAAUUUUUUUUCUGAUCGAUUUUGAUAUAUGGAACGUUGAAAUCGGAGUUCGUAUGGGAAAGUUAUGGCUAUUUUACGAACGGACUCCGAAUUAGAGGACAAAAUGGUCCAAAAGUGGGAAAAAUUUGCGGUGGUGGCUAGAAAUUGAUGGAAACGGUGGGGAAAAACACACGAACUAGACUCUAACAAGACCUAACAAGCAACAAGACCUCAACCAAGACACAAACUCAACACUGCGGACUCUGAAACUGAAAUAUGCAAAGGCUAUGGCGCGUAAGGGUUGUAGGACAUGAAAACGAUAUGGCCCUGGACGUUUGGGACGAACACAAGAACACUCGAAACUAAGGGUAGAUGUGAACCUAACAGUAUACCUAAAGCUUUGAUUACCACUUGAUGAGAACAAGGGUGACCUCAUCUUCCAAAAGGUUUGUAACUCUCGAUUUGGUGCAGACGAGACACAAAUCGAUCCGGAUUCCGAACAACACGAUCCAAAACCCUACAAUUUUUUUUAUUUUUUCGAUAUUCUUCUUUUAGUUAGGAGUAACCACAGAAAAUUUGAGCUUAAACAAGUGAAAGACAUGGCCUGUGGAAUUUUCUGAAGAUUGUGAAAAAUGUGAAAAAAACUUCACGAGGUGAAAACUCAAAGUUCGGAGGAGAAUUUUAAGGUUCUAAAAUUUUCAAACCUCCCUACAAUGGGGACAUGCAGAUCCGAAAUUUUUUUCUGAUCGAUUUUGAUAUAUGGAACAUUGAAAUCGGAGUUCGUAUGCGAAAGUUAUGGCUAUUUUACAAACGAACUCUGAAUUAUAGGACAAAACGGUCCGAAAGUGGAAAAAAUUUGCGGCGGUGGCUAGAAAUUGAUGGAAACAAAGGGGAAAAGACACAAACUGGACUCUAACAAGACCUAUCCAGCAACAAGACCUCGACCAGGACAAACUCAACACUGCAGACUCUAAAACUGAAAUAUGCAGAGGCUAUGGCGCGGAAGGGUUGUAGGACUGGAAAACGAUAUGUUAUUGGACUUAUGGGACGAACACAGGAACACUCGAAACAAAGGGUAGAUGUGAACCUAAUGGUAUACCUAAUGCUUUGAUUACCACUUGAUGAGAACAAGGGUGGCCUGAUCUUCCGAAAGGUUCUGGUAACUCUCGAUUUGGUGGAGACGAGACACAAAUCGAUCCGGCUUCCGAACAACACGAUCCGAAACCUUGCAAUUGUUUUUUAUUUUUUUGAUAUUUUUAUUUUAGUUAGGAGCACCAAAAGAGUAACCACAUAAAAUUUGAGUUUAAACAAGUGAAAAACAUGGCCUGUGGAAUUAUCUGAAGAUUGUGAAAAAUGUGAAAAAACUUCACGAGGUGAAAACUCAAACUUUGGAGGUGAAUUUGCAGGUUCUAAAAUUUUCAAACCCACCAAAAGCUAGGACACACAGAUCCAAAAAUUUUUUCUGAUCGAUUUUGAUAUAUGGAACGUUGAAAUAGGAGUUCGUAUGGGAAAGUUAUGGCUAUUUUACGAACGGACUCCGAAUUAGAGGACAAAACGGUCCAAAAGUGGGAAAAAUUUGCGGUGGUGGCUAGAAAUUGAUGGAAACGGUGGGGAAAAACACACGAACUGGACUCUAACUAGACCUAACCAGCAACAGGACCUCAACAAGAACACAAACUCAACACUGCGGACUCUGAAACUGAAAUAUGCAAAGGCUUUGGCGCGAAAGGGUUGUAGGACACGAAAAUGAUAUAGCACUGGACUUAUGGUACAAACACAAGAACACUCGAAACUAAGGGUGGAUGUGAACCUAACUGUAUACCUAAAACUUUGAUUACCACUUGAUGAGAACAAGAGUGACCUGAUCUUCCAAAAGGUUCUGGUAACUCUAGAUUUGGUGGAGACGAGAAACAAAUCGAUCCGGCUUCCGAACAACAUCAUAUGAAACCGUGCAAUUUUUUUAUUUUUUUGAUAUUUUUCUUUUAGUUACGAGCACCAAAGGAGUAACCACAGAAAAUUUGAGCUUAAACAAGUGAAAGACGUGGCCUGUGGAAUUUUUUGAAGAUUGUGAAAAAUGUGAAAAAAACUUCACGAGGUGAAAACUCAAACUUUGGAGGUGAAUUUUGAGGUUCUAAAAUUUUCAAACCCAACAAUGGAGGGGACAGACAGAUCCAAAAAAAAAUUUCGGAUCGAUUUUGAUAUAUGGAACGUUGAAAUCGGAGUUCGUAUGCGAAAGUUAUGGCUAUUUUACGUACGGACUACGAAUUAGAGGACAAAACCGUCCGAAAGUGGGAAAAAUUUGCGGUGGUGGCUAGAAAUUGAUGGAAACGGUAGGGAAAAACACACGAACAGGACUGUAAUAAGACCUAACCAGCAACAAGACCUCGACCAGGACAAACUCAACAAUGCGGACUCUGAAACUGAAAUAUGCAAAGGCUAUGGCGCGGAAGGGUUGUAGGACAUGAAAACGAUAUGGCCCUGGACGUUUGGGACGAACACAUGGAAUAACACUAGGAGUGUUACAUCAUCGGCAGUAAUCUAGUGCUGAGGAUCCACCGAUGUGCUUUUUUCAGCUGCCUCUGAAGUCAAUACUUUGGUCUUUCCCUUAGCAUCCAACAUAUUUGUAGGGAAAUGAUGUUGGUCGAUCUUCAUCGGCUUUUGAGCUUUGGAGUUAUCGAACCUAAUUCUCCCAAACUCUAUAGCCGACUGCAGCUGCUGCCUGAAAACUUUGCAUUCAUUUGUACUAUGAGAUGUUGCAUUAUGCCACUUGCAAUACUUAAUCUUCUUUAAUUCUUCUGCCGAUGGAAUCACAUGGUUAGGUGACAACUGAAUUUGCCCCUCCUGAAGCAAAAAGUCAAAUAUCCUAUCGGCUUUGGUGAUGUAAAAUGCAAACUUUUCUGGAUCUUUAUGCCCAAAAGGGCAAGACAUCGGCUUUUUAUUUUUUACCCAUUCUGCCAAGCUGAUGACUGGCUCUUCAUCAGAAUCUGAGCUCGUUGCCUCAUCGACAAAUGACACCUUUUUGUUCCAUGCCCUCUUGGGUUCAAAAGCUUUGAUAUCUUGGUCAGAAAUCCACUGCACUAAAUGGCUCAGACUUUCAAACUCUUGAGAAGCAUACUUGUCUUUAAUGUGUGGCAACAACCCUUGGAAAGCCAAAUUGGGGAGCUGCCGAUCAUCCAAAACCAGACUAUAACAUUUAUUCUUAACAUCUCGCAACCUUUGCACAAAGCUCUCAACCGAUUCGUCAUUGCUCUGCCUUAGCCUGACUAAAUCGGUAAUCUUCUUCUCAUGCACUCCAAAAAAGAAGUAUUUAUGGAACUAUUUUUCUAGAUCGGCCCAGGUGAUCACUGAGUUUGGAGGUAAUGAAAUAAACCAAGUAAAGGCCGAUCCAGACAAAGAUGAUGAGAAUAAGCGAACCCUUAACUCAUCUCUGUUAGCAGUUUCCCCAUACUGGAUGAUGAACCUAUUAACAUGCUCCAUGGUUGACGUAUCAUCCUGCCCCGAAAACUUGAUGAAAUCCGGCACCUUGUACCGAUUUGGAAGCGGAAUUAAGUCAUAUGCUGGAGGAUAUGGUGUCCGAUAAGAGUAAGUGUUGACUUUGGGUUUUAUCCCAAAUUGGUCUCUCAUCACCUCAGCUAUCUUAUCGGCCCAGUAAGCAUCAGCAUAUUGCCGAUGAGCUUGUUGUGGAUUCGGCAUCUGCUGAUAAGCUUCCACAUGUCUCUGCAGUGCACGAUCCCUACAGAACAUAGGAUUAGCCACCGCCUGUUGACCACCAACUUGGUGACCAAGAUUCAUCGGCUGGUUGAUCAACCCUUGAUUUUGAAAUCCAGGUUGCAUUGGUCCUUAUUGAAAUCCCAUAGCCUGAUGAUUUUGCUGAGGCAUCUAUGGAAAGACAAACUGCCCUGUCCAUCCAUUGUUAACAUUCAUCGGCGUAGGUCCUGCCGAUGGCUGAUAAUUGGGCAUCAUCAUCAAAUUGACAUACCCUAGCUGUGUCAUAAACCUUUGCUGUGUCAGCAUUGGAUCUGCCGAUGCAUUAGGCAUCUAGAACGUUGGCAUUUGAGAAUUCCUAGCAAAAGGUCUUGUAGUAGUAGUUGUAGAAUACUUGGGAUUCUGAGUCAUCGGUGAGCCUGGGGGUGCCGAUGCCAUAGGAGCAUUGCCUGUCAUGUCAGCCACUUGAGAUGUCCCAGAACUUUUUGCCAUAAAUUCUGGGGGCAUACCAUAUCCCCACCAAUUGGGAGGAACAAAUACUGACAUUGCUGAUGCUAAUAAAUCUGUAGCAAGUUUGACUUGUCCCUCUGAUGUUGAUGGAUUAGUCGUCAUCGGUGUAGAUUGCGCAUUAGUCAUCCCUAAUGUGCUUGGAGGAGAAGUAACUUCCGUACCUGCAACCGCUGUAGUAGCCGAUGGAGCCGUAACCGAUGAUGAUCCUGGCUGNNNNNNNNNNNNNNNNNNNNNNNNNNNNNNNNNNNNNNNNNNNNNNNNNNNNNNNNNNNNNNNNNNNNNNNNNNNNNNNNNNNNNNNNNNNNNNNNNNNNGGCUAGAGUAUAGUGAGUCCAAGGAUGCUGCUUAUUGCUUAUAUUGUUAUCUUUUCUUUAAUUCGGGGAAGACAGAAAAAUUUGGAAGUUCUGUCUUUGCGCGAUCGAGGUUAUCAAAAUUGGAAGAAUGCUAAGGAUACUUUUCAUAAGCAUAGUGCUUCGAAGACUCAUACAGAGGCCAGACUGAAGUGUGAUGAUUUUAUGAACCAAAGGACAAGUGUGGGUCAAAGAAUAGUUGAGGUAAGCACGGAGGAAGAAAAACGAUAUGAGAUUCGUCUGACAUCAUCUUUAGAUGUUGCAAGAUUUCUCAUAUAUCAAGGGCAACCUUUUCGUGGAGAUGAUGAGAGUUCUACUUCCCUCAACAAGGGUAUGUUUAGAGAGAUGGUUGAUUGGUAUAAGGAUAAGGUAGAUAUAGUCAAUGAUGCAUAUGAAAAAGGUUCUAAAAAUUUCCAGAUGAUAUCUCUUGAUAUACAAAAGGAUCUUACAAAAGCUUGUCCUGAGGAAGUCACAGCUGUCAGUAUGGAUGAGAUCCUUGGUAGAAAAUUCUCAGUGCUUAUUGAGGAGUCUCGGGAUGUAUCAAUAAAAGAGCAAAUGGCAGUGAUUCUAAGGUUAGUAUUCCACAGUUGCAAUUUUGUUCAUAGAUUUUAUUAUAAUUAUUUCUGCAAUUAUACUAACACAUAAAUAAAUAUACUGUGUAGGUUUGUGAAUGAUAAAGGGAAAGUGGUGGAGAGAUUUCUUGGGCUUCAGCAUGUUCAGAGUUGUACAGCUAUUGCAUUGAAAGAGGCUUUGGUCAGUAUGCUUUCAAGUCACAAUUUGUCUAUCUCUAUGCUUCGUGGGCAAGGGUAUGAUGGAGCCUCUAAUAUGAGAGGUGAAUUUAAUGGGGUCCAAAAACUGAUCCGUGAUGAAAAUCCUUAUGCUUUCUAUGUGCAUUGUUUUGCCCAUCAAUUGCAACUAGUGGUGGUUGCUGUUUCAACUUCUAGUGCAGAUAUUGCAGAUUUCUUUAACUAUGUUCCUUUAAUAGUCACCAAUGUGGGUGCAUCUUGUAUGAGAAAAGAUGCUUUGCUUGCAAAGCAUCAAGAUGUGUUGCUAGAAAAUAUUGAGAAGGGUGAGAUUAUGACUGGAAGAGGUUUAAAUCAAGAAAGUAGCCUAGCUAGGCCAGGAGAUACUAGAUGGGGUUCACAUCUUAAAACUUUGCUUCGCAUUUUGGUGAUUUGGGAGGCUAUCAUAGAUGUGCCUGAGAUAGUGAAGAAAGAUUCUAUUAAACCAAGAAAUAACAGUGGAGCUUUAGGAUUAAUUAAAAAAAUGGAGAGCUUUGGUUUUGUGUUCAUCCUGCAUUUGAUGAUACAAUUGUUGAGCAUGACAGAUAUUUUGUCACAAGCUUUGCAAAAGAAGGAUCAAGACAUAGUUGAAGCAAUGCAUUUGAUCUCAGAUGUGAAAGAUAGCUUGCAGGAUAUGAGGGAAAAUGGAUGGGAGCCAUUACUCAAAAGAGUGAUAACAUUUUAUGAGAAGAAUGAGAUUGAAGUGCCGGAUAUGGAUAAGGAAAUAAAUGUUAGAGGGACAUCUAGAAGAAGGAAGCAAAAGGUAACAAACAUGCAUUACUAUCAUGUUGAACUUUUUCUGGUCGCCAUUGAUGCCCUCUUGACUGAGAUGAAUCACCGGUUUAGUGAAACUAGUUCAGAGUUAUUACUAUGUAUGGCUGCUUUUAACCUAAGGAACUCCUUCUCUAAUUUUGAUGUGGACAAACUUGUGAGGCUUGCUGAAAUUUAUGCCGAUGAUUUUGAUAUUGGUGAACUUGCUGUUUUGCCAAAUCAUCUUACACAGUUUGUCAACCGUGCUAGAAGAACUCCAGACUUUCUUGGAUGCAUUGAGCUUGGAAAAGUUGCUGAAAUUAUGGUCAAGACUAAAAUGCAUACAUCUUAUAAAUUGGUUUAUCGUCUCAUUGAGCUAAUCUUGAUACUGCCGGUGGCAACAGCUUCAGUUGAGAGAAUAUUUUCAGCCUUGAACAUUAUAAAGAUAGAUUUGCGCAAUAAAAUGGGUGAUGAAUGGCUCAAUGAUUUGAUGAUAUGUUAUACUGAGAAGGAGAUAUUUAGAAAGAUUGAUAAUGGAAAGAUCAAAAAGCGGUUUCAAGAGAUGAAAAAGCGACGUAUGUUAUUGCCUAGAAAAGUAGUGGUACGCUCUAUUCUCUUCUAAAUUUAUAAUUUGGAGGUCCAUAUAUGUAUCACUAUUAUGUCUAUUUGCGUAGGUUGCAGCUUCGGAGGAAUAAUGUGGGGCAAGCGUAGUGAUUAGUUUUGCAAUUGGUCCUUUCGGUAUUUAUGAACUUCAUCUUUUUCUUUCAUGACAUAUUUUGUGAAUUUUUGUUGUUGGUCGACGUUUUCAAUAUAAGCUUGAUUUAUGCUAUUAUAUAUACGUCUAUUGUGAAAGGGUCAUAGUAGAGAUAAAUUGUCGUAGACUUGUUCAGCCCGCCCUAAAUUUUUUUUCUAGCUUCGUCGAUGCUCCCACGCCGCAUCCCCUCUCCACAAGGAACCGCAGCCCCCUGAUGUGCUCGUGUCGAGGUCGGCUUUCGGCGACGAUCUCCACGAUGGCCUGCGAGCUUGGCUCCGGAUUCGCGCCUGAGUGACGGCGCGGCUUCGGCCGAUCACCUGCUCCGGUCCUGCCUCACCUGACCGAGCCGUGCUCGUGCGCGCCGACCAGUCGACGGACGACGACCGAGCCGCACUCGUGCGCAGCAGGUGGAGGAGGACUGGGUCGCCGCGGAACCUGGCUUCUAGGACGCCAAGCUCCAAGCUCGUCUCGCCCGCCACCGGAGGACCUCGCCAAGCCGCACGCGACGCGACGCCUGCGACCCCUACACCGGCCUCUGGAACUGGUCCAACCCGGCUUCUACGACGCCCAGCUCCAAGCUCGUCUCGCCCGCCACCGGACGACCUCGCCAAGCCGCACGCGACGCGACGCCUGCGACCCCUACACCGGCCUCUGGAACUAGAACUGGUCCAUGUCCGUUCCUUGCUCCCCUCCCCUUACUGAUUUGUUUUGUUUCAGCACCUGAUUUUGGUAGUGAUUUGUUUCUGAAUCCUGGAUAGAUAGAAUCGUUUCAGCACUUUGUUAUUGAUUUGUUUUGUUUCAGCACCUGAUUUUGGUAGUGUUUUAUUUCUGAAACCUGGAUAGAUAGAAUCGUUUCAGUACCUGCAUUUUUGUAUUGAUCUGAACCUGCAUUUUCUGAUAGAUCUUUUGACAGUGAGGACACUACUACUACUAUUAGGCAGUAGCAAUCACUACAUUAAACCUGAAAUUUCUUAUUGAUCUCAGCCUGUUUCGCUUGGUCAUCUCGAAGUGAUGUGAGCCUUGGAAAUGUACUGAAUUGAAAUCCACUUGCGGCAAUGUCUUUUAUAAAAUCACUGUACUUUUGGUAGUUCUAUAAUGGCUGAGUAGGAGUGUUUUGGCUUUGCAAGUAAUUUUUUUUAGACAAUGGAUUCAACUCUGGGCUGCAAAACAGUAAAGAUUUACGUUUUAGAAUCACCUAGCUGGAUGCUUGCAACAGAUGUAUGUUUCUCCAAAAAGGGUUGGAGGAAAGUAGAUAUCCUUUUCAAUCGAUCAUCAUACUUUUGUCACUAUGCCCUGUCUAUAUUUUCUUUUAUAAACAUUAUUUGCAGGUUUUAGAAGAUUUACGCACUAUUUGGAACUGUGUACUGACAGAAAAGCUGCAUAUCAACCCAAGAGACAGAGGUCUAUAUUCUGCAAUUCUUGUUCUUGGGAAGACAUUUGACAACCUAGGUAUUUCUCCCUUCAUCAUACAUAGAAUUUUACGGUGCAAGGUGGGCUCACCAGUUUAUGAAGUACAUCUUUUUGUCUUGAUGAAAAGCUGAUUUCCUGUAGUUAGCACUUUUGUCUAUUUUGUAGAGAUAUAUAGAUAAUAACCAAUAGUUUGUAUAUGGAUGUAGUUUGUCUUGGAUGGUACUACUAUGCACACUAUGCAGCUAAGAAGUAAGCCUGUUGCUUUAUUAAUUAGUCAAAAUUUUGAUAACCUGUAAUGUGUGCAAUCCCCCUGCUUGGCUUAUCUGGUUGGAAAAUAGAUAGAUGAUGUCCAGUUAGAAGAUGAGGAUUGGUUGGACAAUAGAUGAUAUAUGGACAAUUGGAGAUAUAAUAUGAGGAUUCACAGUUGAAAUGCUGAUUAAAACUAAAUUAGGUCUAACUUGGUGGAAUGGCAUCUUCGGUUUAUUCUCCUGUUUACUCUUUUCAUUGCCUGUCACUAUAUUGAAAACUGAGAGGCCUAAAUGCAAUGUCAAUCCAUAGUUUCUUAGUUAUGCUAAUACAAGAAAAAUGCUACCAUUUGUUCGCCUGCUGCCUUUCAGAUCCAUGGGAAUAGUUUUGCAUAUUCUCUUCUGCUAUAACUGUUAUAUUUGUGCUGUUACCGCUUACCAAUAAGACAUUGAGUGAGAAAAUAAUUAGCUUGCAGGGUUGGAUCGCUGUCCAAAAUCAGGUUUAACAGCCUGAUCCAUACGACUGUGAACCUACGCCCUUUACAAGGUUGGCAGAUUCCUAUCUGAAACUACAAUUUUCGCACUAAUUACUUUAAAGAAUACGCAACUAAAUGUAAACCAAAGUUUUGUGUUCCUCCUUCAUAUCAUAUCAUAUUAGCUGUUACCUUUAGCUUUUGAACUCCAUUUUUCAUACCUCCCAUCAUUUUAUCCUAGGUGGCUAAAUUUGUGCAGUGGUUGCAAAUUAGAUUUGCCAUAAUGGUUGGAAAUAUAUUUCUCAUCCAGCCUAAGUAUGGCACAUGCAUUGAUUUUUAGUAGUGAGCAAUGAGUAGUACUGUUUUCAAUAUCAGGAUCAUUUGAUGCUUUUUAACUAAAAAAAGCGGCAAUCAUCUGUGGUACAAUGUCUAAAUGCAUUCAUUUGUAAGCCAAGUGGAGUUUCUGCUAAUUUGACAGGAGUACCAUGAACCCCAAGUUUAGAAAAUGAGUUGUGUCUACUUUGUUGAACAAAAGCAAUGAGAUUAUUUUUGCUGGGACAGCCUCAGGAAUCCUCGCCUGCAUCUUGGUGGCCCGCAUCUUGGGGACCUGUUCCUUGGUGCCAGUGAGGUCAGUCAAUAAGUCUAUGGUUUUGAUCUGUACUUGCAUUGUUGAGAUUAUGCUCUUGAUGUAUCAAAAUGUGUUUUUCCUCUUAACAAAAAAUGUGUAAGCAAUAAUCGCCUCGUGUCUAAUCAUCCAUAGUUUGUGUGAGUUCAAAAGGAAAUAUGUUGUAGUUUAGUUUAGAGCAACAAUUUAGUUGGCAAGUGACAAUGCAACUUGCAGUAUUCUCUAACUCACUGAACUCAUUUCAGUGGAGUUUUUACUUCACUGAUGAUCCCUGAUUUUUUUGUAAUAAAAAUGUUAUCACUGCAUAUUUUCUGCCUCUUUUAUAACUGUAAAUUGGUUCUAUCGUCUAACCAACAAGACUUAUGUCAGUAUAGAACUUCGAUAUUCAGAGUUCGCCUAUUUUGAAUUGUUGCUACCAAGUGAUUGAUUUGCUGUAAUUUUAUGGUUCGCACCUGCCAGGUUUAGGUGCCAGUUUUACUUCACAUGUUAGUCUUUGGGUUUCUGUAGUUACUUUGCAUUAAGACUUCAUCGCAUAAGAAAUAUACUUGCAUAGCUAUCUUUCAUAUUCUUCAACUAAUGGUUACCGUAUUAUACAAGUGGUUGAAUUGUGGGUACACUCAAUGGAAAAUAGUGCCUCUCAUACACCAUUGGGUGACAAGACUAACACUACUAAUAGAGGUAACCAAAAUAGAAGAGGAAUUAUUAUAUAUUAUUCAGUGUAUUGUUUAUAUUAUAUAAAUGAUAAUCAAUAAUAUAUGGAUGUAACAAUGCAGGAAGCGAUGUUGCACAACACAGGAAAGAAAGGGAUAAGGCUCGAUGGCACGCAAUGUCGCAAGAGAAAAAAGACGAAAAAAAUAAAAAACGUCGUGAAGCAUAUAAAAGAAGAAAGGAGCAACAACUAUGGAUCGAAACUACCGAUGGUUGUAUAUUAUAAAUGUUGGUGAAUAAUAAUAUAAGAUACUAUUGUUGUUUCUCAUAUUCGUUGUAUCAUAAUUGAUAGAUGCUCAGGAUUCAUCAAACAAGGAAAAUGUGGAUCCUAAUAAAACAGAUGAUUGGUUGCAUAGGAAUGAUUCACUCCAUGCAAACAAUAUUGAUGAAAUACUUAUAUCCAAUCCGAUGUCAGGUAAUAAAAUUAUUGUUAGUAUGGAAUCAACACCUACAUUAUUGUGUUGUGUAGCUUUAUAUACAACGAGAGGAUCAUUGAUGGAUAUUUGGUGUGUAUUGUUUGCCUUCCUACUAUCUUAAUUCAAACACGACUAUGUAGGUGAUGCUGGUGAUGUAGUUACUGCUCGCAGCAUAAUUAAUCAGGCAAUGCGAUCACAAUGCAGUGAUGCUUCACGUAAGAGAGAGUUAACAAAUGAGCAAGUCAUGGCUCAUCGUGCAAAAUGUAGGAUGCAACAUGCAAACAAGACACCUGAGCAACGGGAACAAAGGCGCAAGCGACAGAGGCUUUAUAAUCAAGUUCCAUCUCGUAAAGAGGCAAUGAAAGUGGCUAAAAAACGCUCCAGGGAGGUGCGGACACACACUUUAAACAAUGAGUCCAUCGCAAUGGAAAAUCCACUCUUUAAUCCAAUUAUGGAGUGGCCCACUGCAAACUCAUCUAUGCCAGCUCAUGGACCCACAGUAAGCCCUAGCGAUUGGGCUAUCCCAGAAUCCGCUACAACACCUAUUUGCUUCCCACAAGCUCCUGAUGAGACAAAUGAAGAUGAUGAUGGACGCAGUGAUAUAUCGCCUGGUCAUAUGACACAUAGAUAAAAUAUACCAUGUGGGCAAAGGCAUGCAUUGUUAACCCGCCGUAACAAUGUGUUUGAGCGCCUCAUCGGUCAGAACACGGGAAAAUCUAAUAAUGAGGGUGAAGACAACGUGGAAGAAAAUACGCCAUUACCUCAGUCAACCGUGACCAACAACGGUAAAUAAUGAGGCCUUCGUAUCCAUGUUCAUUCACAUGAAACAAACUUUAUUCCUACCUUAACUAUGUCCGUUAUGUGAUUGACAGGAAGCGCUAGAUCAAACAAUCAAAAUGCAUCAGCUACACCUGGACAACCAUUAUUUGAUGAUACAAGUAAUUUGCACUACUUUGAACAUUGUGUACAAUAUUUGUGUUCCUUUAAUGUUAUCUGAGUUGUAAUAUCUCAUGACAUUGUGAUAAUCUCAGAUGAUGAUGAGGGUGAUAUAUUUGAAGAUGAUGAGUAAGAGGAUGAGGGAUGCUUGUUUGCUGGGCAAGGUAUUUGUACCAAAUACCUAUUACCUUUUUAAUUAUCCGCUCUUUUAUCUAACCUUGAUUUUUUUUGUUCAAAUCAUUUCAACAGAAGAAUCAGAUGAUGAUGUCCAAAGUGAUACUACUGAGGAAGACACGACUUCUAACUUUGAAGGACCUGACCCGUAUGAAGUGGUGUAUAGUAACAUGCCUAGGGAGACACACAUGCUAAAACCUGUACCAGAUUGCAAACAUUGUGGAGCAAAGAGAUUUCCAAAAGAACCUCCUAGGUUUUGUUGUAGCAGCGGAAAGGUUGAGCUGCAUGCGCCUGUCGUACCAAACCAGCUCAUGAGGCUUUGGACAAGCUCUGACGCGGAUGCUAGGCACUUUUGUAACAAUAUCAGGUUUUUCAAUGGUCACUUCUCUUUCACUUCCCUAUAUUGUCGCCUCGACAGUGCUACUGCUAACAUUAGAAAUAGUGGCAUAUAUACUUUUCGUGCACAUGGCAUGAUCUAUCACAACAUAAGGUCAUUUGGCAGAGAAGAUGGUAAGGAGCCUAGGCAUCUUGAGCUUUACUUCUAUGAUGAUGAUCCGAGCCUUGAGUACCGGUACCGAAGGUGUCGUGAAGAGCAGUAUCAAAAAGAUAAAGAGGUUAUAAACAGACUCGUGGCCAUCCUUCGUGACAACCCAUAUUCACAACAUUUGAGGAGUCUGGGGAACACUGAACACCUCGAGGACUAUCGUCUUACACUUAACCUUGAUCAGCGAUUGGACCAAAGGACAUACAAUGUCCCGAUGGCUUCGGAGGUGGCUGCUGUUUGGAUCGAGGGUAGUGAACUCCUUGGUCAAUUUCAGAAUAGUGUUGUCCUGCAUGGGAAAGAUAGGAGCAGGCAUGGCAUCCGAUCGUACCAUGGAUGCUAUGAUGCUCUCUCAUACCCACUCUUUUUCCCUAGAGGUGAGCUUGGAUGGCACAUGGAUAUCCCAAAAAAAGGUGUUACUAUAGAGGAUGUCAACACGGCUCAUGCCCUGCGUAAGGCUCGUACUGGUAUUGAAGAAGAAGAAGAAACAGGUUUGUAUAUCUUCUUGUACUUUUCAUGCAAAUCAAAUCAUUAUCACAUGAACACCUCUAAUACCAUAAUUUUUUCAGACUCCCUAGGAAAUUUAUGUGUUUCGGUGCAUGACUACUACUGCUACAAGUUCUAGAUACGGCCAGGAAUAUUUAAUCCCAUACUUUAUGGCAAGCGUCUUUUCCAACAAUUUGCAGUGGACACGUACAUCAAAAUCGAGAGUUCUCGAUUGGAUUACAUACGCAAUCAUCAAACUGAGAUUAGAGCAGAUCUCUACCAAGGAUUGGUUGAUACCCUACAUGCUGGUGAGGGUAGAUCAGAAGCUGUUGGAAAGCAAACAGUGAUGCCUUCAUCGUUUAUCGGAGGCCCGAGGGACAUGAGGUGUAGAUACAUGGAUGCCAUGGCACUGGUGCGAAGAUUUGGAAAACCAGAUAUAUUCCUGACUAUGACAUGUAAUCCAAAGUGGAAUGAGAUCACACGUGAGUUGUACCCUGGACAAACACCACAGGAUUGUCCGGACAUUAUUGAUCGAGUUUUUAGGGCAAAACUAGAAGAGCUUAAGCACAUGUUGUUAAAAAAGGAUAUCCUUGGAAAGGUUCGUGCACACAUGUAUGUUGUGGAGUUCCAGAAGAGGGGUCUUCCGUAUGCACAUUUUUUGCUAAUCAUGGACAGACGCUACAAGAUCACGUGCCCAGAGAAGUAUGACCUUCUCAUCUCUGCCGAACUCCCAAACAAGAAGAAGUAUCCAGAUUUGUAUAAAAUGGUUACAAAGCAUAUGAUGCAUGCACCUUGUGGAAUACUUAAUCGCAAUUGUCCGUGCACAAAAGGCCGUGAAUCAUGCAAGAACCAUUACCCACGACCUUUCUGUGAUGCCACAUUACAGGGCAAGGAUUCAUACCCAUUUUAUAGAUGACGAGACAAUGGCUGAAAAGAAAAAGUUCGCGGAUACGAGCUUGACAAUAGAUGGGUUGUGCCUUAUAACCCAUACCUCCUACGUUUGUUCAAUUGCCGCAUCAAUGUUGAGGCGUGUGGGAGCAUCAAGGCUGUGAAGUAUUUAUUUAAGUACAUUUACGAGGGUCAUGACCACACGUUUGUGGCUGUAAGAGAGGCUGACAAGGAGGACAAUGAAGGAAAUAUCGAUGAGAUCAAACAGUACAGGGAUGCUAGAUGGAUAACUCCACCAGAAGCCUUGUGGAGGAUAUGUGGUUUUGAUAUAAGUGAUAGGUCCCCUUCGGUGUUGUCCUUGCAGCUCCAUCUUCCUAACAUGCACAUGGUGUCAUUUUAUCAGCGUGAGGGUGUUCGAGAUGUGCUUAAUCGUCCAGGUGUUGAAAGGUCGAUGCUCACAGCCUACUUUGAGAAGAACAACACAUCUGAGCAUGCUCGAGGUAUAUUGUAUUGAGACUUUCCUUAAUACUAUAAGUGGGACUCACAGGGAAAACAAUGGAUUAGGAGGGCACAAAAGAAUCAUUUAAGACAGAUUGGAAGAGUUGUAUGUGCUAAUCCGGCUGAAGGGGAGCGUUAUUAUCUUAGGGUGCUUCUAAACCACGUGGCUGGUGCUACCUCAUUCACUGAUCUAAGGAUAGUGUCUGGUGAACUACUACCGACUUUCCGUGAAGCUGCAGAAAGAAGGGGCCUCAUUGAAGCGGACAACACGCUGCAUGAGGGCCUUGCUGAAGCUACUCUGUGGAUGAUGCCAUGUGCACUACGAAGGCUCUUUGCAACAAUCUUGGUUUUCUAUGAGCCAAGUGAUGUAUUAGAACUCUGGGAAAAGCAUAAGGAGGCAAUGUCAGAGGACUAGAGGCGCAAUAACCAAUCCAGCUUUGCAGUGGAGCAGAUGGUCCUCAUAGAUAUUCGGAAGUUGUUACAAUCAAUGCAGAAGGACAUAAAGAUGUACCCACUUCCUGAUAUCGAUGACACAUAUGAUCCAUCUGGCGAUAUUCCUAGGGAGAUUUUUGAGGAGGCCAGCGUUGAGGCAAGCAUUGAUAACAUGGCACUAUCAAAGACCCUUAACGAGGAGCAGCAGGCAGCCUAUAAUGAGCUUAUGUUUGCUAUUGAUAGCGAUGAUGGGGGUUUGUUCUUUGUGGAUGCACCUGGUGGCACCGGAAAGACUUAUCUAUAUAGGGCUCUGCUUGCUACUAUACGUAGUCAGAACAAGAUUGCCGUGGCAACAGCAACAUCUAGUGUUGCUACAUCAAUAAUGCCCGGUGGCAGAACCGCCCACUCAUGCUUCGAGAUUCCCCUCACCCUUGAUGAUGGGGCAUUUUGCACCUUCACAAAACAGAGUGGUACUGCUAAGCUGCUUCGGACUGCAUCCCUUAUUAUUUGGGAUGAAGUGACGAUGAUGAAGCGGCAAGGUGUCGAGGAGCUAGACAACAGUCUUCGUGAUAUCAUGGACCGUCCUAACCUGCCAUUUAGGGGGAAGACUAUGGUGUUUGGUGGAUAUUUCAGGCAAGUUCUUCCAGUUGUUCGAAGAGGGUCUAGGACUCAAAUAGUUGGUGCAUCACUACGGAUGUCAUACCUUUGGAAUUCCAUGCGACAUCUCAAAUUGGUGCGAAACAUGAGGGCAAAGAACGAUCCAUGGUUUGCAGAAUACUUGCUACGCAUUGGGGGGCUCUGAGGAGGCUAAUGGUGAUGGUGAAAUUCGUCUUCCUGAUGAAAUAUGCAUACCACAGACUGGGAAAGACAGUGAUCUUGAUACGUUAAUUGACUGCAUAUUUCCUGCCCUCAAUGUCAAUAUGUCAAACAAUAGCUAUAUCACCACACGAGCAAUAUUAUCUGCACGGAACGACUCGGUUGAUAUGAUUAACAUGAAAAUGAUAAGUCGUUUCCAAGGGAAUGAGAUGGUGUACCAUAGCUUUGACAGUGCAGUGGAUGAUCCACAUAACUACUACCCAUCUGAAUUCCUUAACACUUUGACCCCCAAUGGUCUCCCUCCACAUGUGUUAAAGCUCAAGAUUGGAUGCCCGGUCAUAUUGCUAAGGAACAUCGACCCUGCGGGUGGACUUUGUAAUGGAACCAUGUUGGUGGUUCGAGGGUUCCAAGGAAAUAUUAUCGAUGCAGAAAUUAUGGUUGGAGAUCAUGUCGGAAAGCGAAUCUUCCUUCCACGAAUCCCAUUAUGGCCCUCGGAUGACGAGAUUUUCCCGUUUCAGUUCAAGAGGAAGCAGUUUCCUAUUAGACUCAGUUUUUCCAUGACGAUUAACAAAGCACAGGGGCAGACUCUUCCCAAUGUUGGUGUGUAUUUGCCUGAACCAGUGUUCUCUCAUGGUCAGCUGUAUGUUGCACUAUCUAGAGCCACUGCCAGAUCAAAUAUUAGGAUCCUUGCAGUCCCGCCUAGAGAUAAGAGUGAUAAUGGUAAUAAAAAAAAUACAAGAAUAAAUGGUACAUACACAAAAAAUAUUGUCUAUAAAGAGGUCCUCACUCUAUAAAAAAGGUAGUCUUCUGUUUUGGUCUACUAUUAUAUUCUUACAUUAUGCCCUUAAUUAGUGACAUUUUUCGUGUCAUAUCAAACUGAAUAAUAUAAGAACUCCGAAUGAAUUUAUGCCCUUCUGCAUUGAUUCGUUCAUAUGUUAUUGACUGGAUGUACAAAAUGUUAUAUUAUUUCUAAUAUGUUUUUUCUUGGAUUAAUAUUUAAAUUUUUACGUUAAAAGGUAUUACUGACUAAGCGAAUGUUGUUGGUUGCUAUAUUGGAAGAGAAAUAGAGAGCAAUUCAAUGUCCACACCCUCCAUCUGAGGUCCCAGGUGACUAGGCCGCUGCCGACUGGUGCCCAGAUCUACAGUCCACUGAGUGCCGCACACUGCCUUUGGUUUGAAUAAUUUUAUUGGGUGAAAAAUAAUUAUUUAAAUCCGAUUUUAGGUUUGAUUUGGUUCUCGUUCUGUUUAUAAUAUUUACACUCAAGAGUUUAGUUCAAAAAAAUUAUAAGUUCUAUAAAUAUUUUAAACAGAAUUUCAAAAUUUUAUUACCUUCAAAAAGCAAUUGAUUUUGAUUUUCAAAUGAAUUUACAAAAGAAAAGGAAAAUAAAAGGGAAACCUCCCUCCCCUCUCUCUGGCCCAGUCCGGCCCAGUAAAAUCUUGGGUCAACUAUCAGUAGGGGGAGCACAACGCCUCCCUAUCCCUGAGUCACAGACAGUCGGAGCCCGCCUGUCAGCCUUUAUCCUCUUGCUGACAAGUUGACCCCACUUGUCAGGGUCAUCCCUUUCCUCUGUCCAUAUCCGUUCGUGGCCGGGUCUCACUGAGCCAACCGAAGGACCGGUUCUAAAGGGGACGAAGCUUGGCCGCCGCCGCUCCGUGAUCCUCUCUUGCCUCCCCGGUCUUGCGCGCACCGAGUCAGCCAUUUCUGCUCCCUCCUCUGUCAUUUAAAGCGAGCUCUCUUCCACCUGCAGCACCAUCGUCCACGUCCUCCUUCUCAGUGCCGAGCUAAAGACGAGAACACCGCCAUAAGUUCCGCGGUGAGCUCCUUCUCUUUCUGCACUAAGCUUUUACGCCCUCCGUGGUCUUUAGAACGAGCCGAACUUGCUCUGGCAAUGCUCAUCCCACAGGUUAUGACGCCAUUGUCGCGGUUUCUCCCUGCGGCGGAGAAGGAGGCGGCGGAGGGCAGUGUAGUCGGAGUCGGGGCGGGACGAGGAGGAGGUCUGUGGAUGAUGGUGCUGCAGCUGAGGAAGACAGGGUCCGUCGGCAUGGAAGGGGCGGUGGGGCACUCCGGGGAGGAGGAGGAGGAGGCCGCGGCCGAGUCGGCGGCAGCCAUCUCCACCGUCUCGCAGUCCGCAUGGCCGGUCGUUCGCGCGCGCCCCGGUGAGAAAUGAGGGACGAGGCCAGGCGGGGACUUGGAUGUCGGGGAAUCGGGCACUUCGGGCGGUCGUACGUGCGUGUGCUGGCAAGAAGUGGCUUGUUUCGUGUCCGUGACCUGUAGUGUCUGAACUUCGAUGUGGGCAAAUUCAGUUUUGAAUUGUUUUAGAUGCAAAUACAAUUUAUAUGUUUCAAAUAUGUUUUGAUACUAACUAAUUUAUUUAUAGUAUUACACAUUAUGGCUAUAUACGCUGCAUCUUUUGUAUCAUUGGAAGAUGCCUUGAGCUCUCCAAACAACACACAAGUUGACUUAAUAGCAGUCGUGGCUCAUGUCGGGUUGUGGGACUGCCAGACAUUAUUUCCUAACUCGUUUAGGGAGGUUGCACUCAAAGAUAAUAGGUAAAUGUUUAUUUGAAGAAAAAUAAUCUUUUUAAUGUCCUUGUGUUUUGUUUAAUCAUACUAAUAACUAUUACUAUUUUUUUAUGCAGCCGAAUUGGAUUUCUUCGUGUGUUCGCAUAUGAUGCUGAAGAAAACUACCACAUGUUUUUUUCAGCCGGUACUGAGAAUUAUUUUCUCAUUCCCACUAAUGUGGUUGUCGACUCAUAUGCACGUAAGUUUAUAUGAACAUAAUUAAAUUUUGGUAUUACCAACAACACAAAUAAUAAGCCUCAAUUCAUAUCAAUACAUCAUAGGUUGUCUGACAAUGACCGCUCAUAGUUCCAUGAUUUUUGUGGGUCCAAGGGAGUAUUGUCCUAUUUUUGCAUCUCUAGAAGGUAACUUUCUCAUCCUAAUUAUAAUAAUAUUAUAUAGAAUUAUAAACAUCCUGUUAGAGACAUCUAAUAUUUAUUUUGCAGCUAUCAGAGACGAAAUGCGAAAUAUCGCUUGUUACAAUGAUCAAAUUAAAAUUGCACUCAAUGCUCGAGCUAAUGAGAUCAAAAGGCUCGAAUACAAUGAAUGUACAGCUAUGGCAAACAAUCAAGGUGUCAUUAGUUACGUUAAUGGUUGCAACAUUUAAGAGGUAGAUGAAGAAGUAUUUGUGAUUAAAUAUUAGUCUUUUGUUGUAUCAAGAUUCUUCAAAGCAUCUUGUUUUACAAUAAAUGAAUGUACCUACACUCUACAAUUCAUCUCUUGUAACGUAACGAUUAAAUCUAUCAAGGCUCAUUACAAUCAAUGCUCAAUAGAUUAUUGAUCAUAAAUCUUGGUCAAAUUGCAAAAAGGUAUUGAUCGUAAAUGAUUAUUGCCCAAUAUUUUUGGUCAAAUUGCGAAGAAAGAGCAAAAUUUGAUAACAAUAGUUUAAUCGUAAAUGAUUAUUGCCCAAUAUUUUCAGAGACACAAUUGAUGUUUCUAUAAAUUAAGAAGAUAACAUAAUUCACAAAAAAAAAACAUGCAUGACCUGGUCAUGCCACAACAUAACUAGCGAGUCAGCCACGGUCUCUACCACCCGAAACUCACGAAAGCAUGACUGCCGUCAACACUGCCAGGCUUCAAUCGGUAGUUUCCAUAUCGAACCUCUAGCUCCCUCCGACUUACAAUUGCCCGAGACGGCGCACCUGGCUGCCGCCUCGACGCCUCUGUGACCCAGCACGCGGUUAUCCUCCAAUUCGGCGCGGAGAGCUCGGUGGCCCUCCCUUCGACGUCGCCUCAACUUGGCACGGGGCUUCAUCUGCACAAAGGCGGACGUCAACUUGCCAGGCCGUCCUGUUCCGUCACAUCGGCCGAAGUCUCCUUCUCCACCGCAGCAACCGUUGUUCGACACGCGCUCGUCGACGACGCUGGAUGCCACGACACCACAUGUAGGCUUGGCUGGACCACCUCCACCUCCAUCACGAUAGAUGCUGAGGUCUCCUUGCCACCGCUGCACACAGAUCUUCGUUGGUCGCUUCAUCAGAGUGUUGUCGGGGACCCAAGAGGUAUGCCCUUGUCAAAAAACGAAAGAGGUAUGCACUUGGCUAACUGAUGCUACAUAUGUGUUGGCGUGUUGGUCUUCUAUGUGGUACAUUUUAAAUUCAGGCUAAUAUAAACUAUGGAUCAUUAGACAUAGAGUUAAUUUGUUGCUUACACUUUUUUAUAUAUCAAGAUCAUGAACUCGACAAUGCAAGUACAAAUCAAACCAUACGCUCAUUGACUGACCUGAAUAUGGAAAAUUUAGAAUACAAGAUGACCAGGAGACACUGAGUCAGUGCAUUUUACCUAAACUUUUUAAGCUCAUUGACUGACUUGAACAUUGUUCAAACCAUAAGCCAAUUGACUGACCUGAACAUGGUUCACUAUAUUUUCUUCCUCACAUAUCUGAAUCAGUGCAUUUUACCUACACUUUUUAAGCUUGAACUUGCAUAUUGUUUAGAACUCUGAACCCCACUGCUUACAACUUUGAAACCCUAUACUCUUAAUUCAACCCUAAAAAAAUGAGAGAGACAUAGAGAGAGUGGAAAGCGAUGCUGGAGAUGGAGUAUCAACCAGUUCUUUUAAAAGACAUGAUACUGAAUCUACAAAGAUCGUGAUGCCAAUCAGUUUUUUGAAACAAUGUGGAGCAGCUAGCAUACUUCUUUUGCACAGCUAUCUUAACUGGUUCGAGUUAAAGUAUAUAUGUAUAUCUAUAGCGCCCAUGAGAAAAUUCCUUACAGGCUACAACGCUGAAAAAUCAAUGUGUAAAAUACAGUAGGGCUAAAGAAUAAGAACAUUUCCUCUUCAGCGUAAAUAGUGUCAUUUUAUCAGCAUUUCCUUCACCUUGAUGUUAUAUGCAUGCACCCAAAAAAGUGCAAAACCAAAGAGAUAGUAGUCUCAUACCUUGAGGUUGACCAUACAGAUAGUGUUAAAUGUAAAGUUACUCACCCUGUAUACGGCGCCAUGCAUAGCUAUGCUGUGCAGGGGGCUUCCAAGAACAACUUUUGCAUGUCCUCCUCCCAUUUCUCCUUCUACAUGGAUAUCAUGUAUGGCUCGGCUUGCAUGCCUAAACAGCAAGUGCCAAAAGUGUGAGCAAAGUGAGAGGUCCCCAACUUACCUGAAAAUGAGACAUGCCUAUUUCUGAGUAAGUAGAACCACCAAGCCUGACAGCAAUAAAUAGAGAAAGUAAUAAAUAUAGAACUUUAGAAAAGAAAAAGGCUACAAUAAUAUAUCAAACAAAUCAGCUCAUUUCUCUUGAAGUUUUGUAAGAUAUUCUAAUUAUUUCCCAAAGCAAAAUACAAAAUUAAACGCCUAAAUAAAUAACUCUCCACAUAUAGUUGGCCACUGCGAUGUUGCUGCUGCAAUGAACCAAUCUGAAGUUACAUAUUCCUAAUCAUCAUUACCUAACGGCUGAACUUUUGUAAUUAAUUUGUAGACCAAAGAUGCCAACAAGUCUUAGUUUGAAGAGAGUACGUGCUGAGUUUGUUCGGAGCUCUGAGAUGCCCAGGUAAAUUUCAAAUCUCAUAUUCUAAAAAUGUUAUAAUAGCUAUGAACAUUUGUUAGUAUAUGCCCAGUUAAAUUCACAUGUGUUCUCUGUCAUUUUUCUUACAGAUUUAAGAGAUUCCAAGACAUUCAACUUGUUGACAUUGGUUACUCUUGGAGUAUUACCGUUAGAAUUGAAGCAAAGUUCCCUUUUAAUCAAGACUUUCAGCGCUUCAUCCUCAUGGAUACUAUGGCGAGAUUCAAAAAUAAUAGAAGUAAAAUAGUUUCAUUCACAAACUAACACAGAUGGUAAUAAUGUUAUAUAUAAUUGUAGGGUUGCAAAUUAGUGGCGGUCGUGAGUGGCCCCGAUACCGAGAGGUUCAACAGGUUACUACAACAAGGACGUGACUACACAAUUCGUGAUGUCAGAUUCCAAGUUAAGCCGCACACUGAGUUUCGCAAUAUUCAAAGCAAUUACGAUUGUAGGUUGGACCGUUUGACUACAGUGGAGCGUUGGAACAUGCCUAUACAGUUUCCCAUGUGCUCGAAUCAGUUAACGUCCAUCCUUGAAGUCAUGCAUUGCCCAAGCAAGACCUAUAUAGGCAUUUUUAAAGUCUCCACUCUCUUACUUUACCUUUGUACUAAUACAUGUACUAUUUAUAUAGACAUUGCGGGAAUUCUUGUGCACUGGGGGAAAGUUGAGAGACCGCGUUCAGGGCUGUGUAGAGAGGUUGUCCUCAUGGAUUCAAGGUAAGAUUUAUAGCUUGUAACUAUUUUUUUCUAAUAUACAAUCAGUUUUUUGAAUGCCUCCUAUAUUCUAACACAUAAAUAUAUGUAAUUAUAGAGGUGAUUUGAUAGUUGUGAUCAUGUCAUGCAAAGUCUUGGCUGCACAUAAAAUAAAGCUGCAAAAUGCCACUAGUACAACACCGCUUUCUAGUGGCGGUUCUAGAGGGGUUUGUACAAGCGGCAGACAGUACCGCCAGUAGCUUUCGCCAGUACAAAACAAAAAUUAUACAAGCGGUUUAUCAAGAACCGACUGUGUUAACAAUUUACACUAUCGGCUUCAUUUGUACCACCGUCGCUUGUGUAAACAAUUUACACUAUCGCAUUUAUUAUAUGAUCCGCUUCUGAAAUGUCUUUACACAGUCGGUUUGAUAACAAAAUGCGCUGGUUGAAGGUCAUUUACACUGACGGUUUGUAUAGCAAGCCGUCUGUACUAUAUAGCCAGAUAUAGUGUUCUUUUUUGUUUAUGAUCUACCUAAUUGUUUGGCGAAAUAAUUCUCUGUGCACAUGCUUUUCCUGGAUCUUGAUAACUAUGCAGAAAUACAUACAUAUUGAAAAUUUAUUCUUUUUGUUUGAAAAGCCCAUGCACAACUGAAUAUAUGUCUAUUUUGGUAAUGAACUAGAAGAUCAAGAUCUUAAAACACUUUUUAUUAGUUUUAGUUAUGUGUUUUGGUAUUGAUUAUUUGUGAGGCUAUGAGAAUUUAUAUAUGUUUUACCCAUAACAACGCAUAGGCACUCAAGUAUACACUAAAACAGAAGACUACCAAAAGAAUAAGAGAAUAACUUGUGUAAGAAUCACUAACCUUAGGUGGCAUUUCAGGCCGUUGCUGCUAUUCUGGGCCGCCGGCUGAUGCAACCUAGCUUUGAUUCUGGCCCAUCGGUCUGCCAGCGAAAAUCAAUUAAUCAAGCCAAUUGUAUUUUUGUUAUAAAAACUAAAAGGGAAAGACUGUAGUGGGAACGAAAUGUGCAUACUUUUAUAUCUGAUGAAAAAUUUGUUACUGUUUUCUGGGAACCUCCUUUCUUGAGUUGAAAGUUCAUCCACAUUUGCCAACAGUGGUAACUGAUAUUAUUGUGACAAAAUGUUAGCACAACCAGUUUCUUUACAUGAAACAAACACAACACUGAAGACAAACAUUAUCAAGGAAACAGUACGAAAAGACAAGAGCUUGCCUUGAUUAUUUGAGAAAUUAAACCCAUGACCAGAUGAGGCUGCAAGCAAAUAGAAAUAAAUUUCAGUAAGAUUACUAAGAGACUUGUAUGAAUUCUUUAAAAUAUAAAAAAGAUCAGCAAGCAAUACAGUGGCUGCUAGAAACAGCACCCAAAUCUGAUCAUGGAGGAUGUAAAAUGAAGUAAAUCAAACAAGACAGAUCAUAACUUCAAUGAAAAUUAUGAUACCUGAAAGGCUUGGAUGUUACUAAAACCUGCGGUAGAAUCUAAAGGUCAUUUAAGUUACCCUAAACAUUCACUAUCAAACCGAUAAUCAAGUGGGAUCAAUUGAGAUUGAUUGAUUCUUUCAUGGUACCAUGGACGCAAAUUUCAAGUAUCUUGAAUUUGCACAACAACCAUCAAGCUAACCAUAUGUUACCACUCCAACUUUACAUGAUUGUCCCGUGGUGGUCAAGUGGCAACCACCAGCGUGCUGAAGUACGGACAUGAAACUAAAAAACCUAUAUAGACAAUUUACGUAUAAUUUCGGGCCGUGGCUGCUAUUCUGGGCCGUCGGCUGAUGCAACCUAGCUUUGAUUGUGGCCCAUCGGUCUACCAGCGAAAAUCAAUCCUGUUUAGAGGUUACGAUCAGUUAGCAUAAAAGGGAACUCUGGUAACAUUUGCCUAAUCAAUCUGCUAAAUCCUCGGAUCAAGUCCUCAUCCACGCGAGGUCAUUGCGCCUUCCAAGCAGAAGUACUGAAGGACUACUACGUCUACGUCUUCGAGGUGCCGCCGCCAUCAAAUCAUCAACACACGUCCGGCCGUCAUAAAAACAGUAUGUUUCCUAUCCCAAUUGGCGUUACGUAGGCGGGGGAAAGGGGGGAAUAGCGUCACGCAGAUGGGUGGACGGGGAAUGGGAGCCGCGUGAACGUACCUUGCCAAUCUUCUCGAAGUAGUCGGUGAGACACAGGUUCCAUUCGUUGAUGGUGUUGUCGGUGAUGGCGGAGAGCCAGGCGGGCCAUCCGGCGUCGAGAUGCUCCCCGCGCGCUGUGUUGGCGAAUCCGGGGCCGGGGACGCUGCAUAACGAGCGGGAGCGACUCUACCGCCAGGCCGGCUGCUCUGCUGGUGCUGUCGGCUGCUCUGCCUUCCCGGUGGCCUCCUCCGCUGCUGCGGGGGCCGGCGGCUCGGGUACUGGACGCGGAGGGCUGGCCAUGGACGCAGCCAUGGGGAGAUCCUCACCGGUGAAGUCUCAUGGGGGAAGGGCGGCUGCGACUGCUGGUCGGUGCUGGGCGCGGAUGGGCGGCCGUGGACGUAGCCUAUUGGAAGAUCUUCACCGGCGCUGUCUCAUGGGUGAACUCGAGAGGGGGAGGAUCGCUCCGAGAACACGAGGAACUGGACAAGGGAUUGGAGUGGAGCGGAUGCGGCGACUGCGGCUGAUGGUCGGGUCGGGUCUGGAAGCAGAGGCACGGGCGGAGCUGCCAAGCUGGGCUUUUUGCCAAUCUGCCACUGUGCUUCUGCGGAGCUGGGAUCUCACACUUGUAUUUUAUUAUAUGUUAUAAUUAAUGUAUGAUCUACUCCCUCUUUAAAUCAUAAAUCAUAGGAAAUUUUAUUGUUUCUUCAAGCUGCCUGACAUACAAUUUAUGAAUUUUUAGAUGUUGUUAGUGACGAAACCAUGUAAUAAACAAGAGAAAAAGGUGUGCCCAUCCAGGUCGGUGUUGCAAUAUAAUAAACCAAAGAAAACGGACACGGUCAAAAGUCAACCUCAAGGUUCUUACUUUCAUUGACCCUUCCUAUUUUUCUUUCGCUAAUGAGACCUUCUAAUUCUUUAUUUUCCUGUGUUUUAUGCAGAUUAUGUUUGCAACGCCGAAGAUUAUAGUACUAUUGAAAAUAUUCUGUUGCAACCAAAAAAAAGUAUUGGUGGACAUCCAGGGAAUGACCAUAGAACGCCAUAGAACGAGAUAUUUUGGAAUGCCUCUUACAUGAUAAUAGAUUUUUGGAAGGAGAUGUAAGUAUAUGCAUGCAUGAUUUCAUGUUUCAAAAUGCUUUGCUUAUUCUGAUUCUGAUUUACUGCUUGCAAUACAUAUAUAUAUAUAUAUAUAUAUAUAUAUAUAUAUAUAUAUAUGCAUAGGUCUUAAGUGCCUACAUUGAGCUUAUGAGGUCCGAAAAACAUCUCCAAAACAGAGCUGGUGGAACGGUAUUCCUAGAGAAUACGUUCAAUACAAGUAUUCUACAGCGUGAUGGCAAGAUAAAUGAGGAAUACCUCGAUCCUAAGGUAGAUCACAUAGCAAAAAGGGUGUGCAACUAUUGGGAAUAUGACAUGGUAAAAUUGUGCAUCUCAAGCCCAUAAAUGUCGUUAUCAUUUAGGUGUAUUCCAUUAUAAUAUUUUAACUUUUGAUUUAGGUAUUUCUUCCGAUCAACAUCAAAGACUUUCACUGGUACCUUGCAGUGGUGGAUGGUAUAAAUGAAGAGAUACAUAUGCUCGAUUCAUUAGGUAAAACACAGGAGAAUCGUUAGGAACUUGUCUAUACGGUUAGUAAAAUAUUAACUUUAUUUAAAAGUUCUGCCUGAUUGUUAUUUUUUUAUUACUGACUAUGUGUUAUAUUAGAUAAUUGGCCUACAGAGACACAUAGAUAUUGUAGCAAAACAUAAAGAUAUACAAACAAAAUGGAAGAACCUUCAAGUUCAAGAUUGGAAAUUCAAUGAGGAAUUCACAAGUGCCAUGCAAACAGAUGGGUAUAAUACUCCAUCAUAUGUAUCAUACAAAUACAAUUAUUUAAAAUUCAACUAAUAUACUAUAGAUAUAACUGUUAGUGUUACGUUUUCAUGUUUCAAAAUUGGUAGGUCAUCAUGUGGCUUAUUCAUGCUUAACUACAUGGAAUAUUGGAGAGGAAAAGGAAAAGGUCUAUCAGACAGUGUAACUCAGGUAUAUAGGAAUAAUAAUGUUUUAUUUGUUGAUUUAUUAUAUUUUUUUUAGUAACAUGUCAUCAAAAAAUAAUAUGCAUACAAGAUGAUACAUAGGGUGAUAUGAUUCAAACUACUUGCCAUUUUGUUGAACUGCCAACAAAAUGCCCGGGAAUGGUGGUUGACUUCCGAAACUGAUGAUAAGGAAGAAGAGAGUAUAGAUGAAAUUGAAAUUUUAGAUAGACCACUAAAAAAAAGCAGGGGUGAGAAGUCAUAUGCCUAUGAAGAAGAUUUAAUAUUGUCCAGGGUUUCAAAUUAUAUCAACUCCAUUAGUGAUGCAACUACUUUAGAGUAAGUCACCUCUAUUAUAUAUAUAUAUAUAUAUAUAUAUAUAUAUAUAUAUAUAUAUAUAUAUAUAUAUAUAUAUAUAUAUAAUAGUUGGUAUUUUCCUUUAAUUAUAUGCAUAAUUUUUUUGUAGGUCCUUUGCAAAGAAGUUAGCUGACAUGUUGCAAAAUGCUAACGCACAUGCCCUUACAUUUCGUGACUUGCCAAUGGGCGAACAAGAAUUAAGAGACCGUGUUUGCAAUUAUAUCAUGACAAUUAACGAAGAUAUGGCUUUAGAGUAAGUUUAUUUUCGUGAUAAAUGACAAAUCAUAUACCACGUAUUGUUACAUGUAUACAAAUAUUCAUAUUUUACAGGCAAAAAUGGGUUGUAAGUGCAAAGCCCUAUCCGAUUGUGUUGAGUCUCAAGAAAACCCAAAGGAUGUUAAACAAGAACGAGGGAAUUCAUGAUGAUUGUUUUAACCUGGUAGCACGGAAGUUUGCUUUUGAAGAACUUGAAAAGUUGAAGGGAACAAACAAGAUUGUGUCAAAGCAUUACAUGGAUUUAAAGUUUUCGGUAGGUUUUACUUUAUAUAAUGGCAUGAUAUAUAAUCACUAUUUCUUUUGUUGUAUAUUUCUAGACUUUCAUUCAUUAUAUUACUAUAUAGCUUGCAUGUCAACUAAGUAAUGGUGACGAGUAUCGAACAAAAGUUGAUUAUAACCAACUGGCAAAAUUUGCUCUUGAAUGUCCUUGGAGAAAAUAUAAUGUUAAAGAGUGCACAUGGGUAACGUUGUUUCUCUUAUUAUGUUCCUUGCAUCUUUUGUGUAAAUAAAUACCAUGUUAUUCUUAAAUAUCAUAUUACUGAGAUGCUCCUUUUCAAUUACAGAUUCUAAUACCACUUCAAAUGGUUACAGCAUGAGGUAUUUAUAAUCUUUUUUGUUCAAGACAUGUCUAGAAGAGCUCUCUACAUAGUAGACCAAACUCCUAAACCUGAUCUUUACAAGAUUCAACCACUAAAAAAUAUACAAACAAAAUUCAAAGGGUUUCCACUGCCCUAAAUGAAGUCAUGAAAGUUUCAUGCCCUUGGUGGCGAGAUGAUUUAAUCCUCUUUGACCAUAGAGUUGCAGAAGUCAACCAAUUUGAGUUAAAUGGGUAAAUACUUUUACAAUAGAAACUAUUUGUUUUUAUAUUCUACUAUAUAUAUAAUAGUAAUAAUUUAAUGCUUCCUCAGGGACUUGUCUGGUUAUAAUGUUCUACUUGCUAUGCAUGCGUGGAAUGGUAAAAGGAUAGAAACAUCCAUUUGCAAUAAUGUGAGUAUUGACCUUUGUAGAUUAUUAUUGUUUUUUCACCUCAUAUAUUUGUUUAACUAAACCUAUAUAUGUGUAUAAAAAUCUUACAGGAUAAUUAUGAAGUGAGGAAGCAUAUAUUGCUACACCUACUCACAUAUACCGGGAACAAAAAUAUUGCCAACAUACCUAAAGGUGUUCGAGAUCACCUUGAACGCUAUAUUUGUCUCACAAGCAAAAAAAGAUGAAUUGUUUCUUAUUUUUCUACUUGUUUCUUUAUUUUAAAUAUAAGUAGAUUGAGAUGUGUGUUUUAAUAUUAAUUAUUAUUAUAUUAAUUGUGAUGAUAUGGAAAUUAACGUAUAAUUUGUUGUGUGAUGUGUUACCCGUAGCGACUUUACGUAUAAUUUGUUGUGUGAUGUGCUACCCGUAGCAACGCACGGGCACUCAACUAGUGAGUAUUAAGCAUCACAAUAAUAACCAUAUCCGGAUUAUCACAUAGCUAUCAUCAUUCUCAUCAUAACCAUUAAGUUUAUUUAGUGAAUUCUACGUUGCCGCUGCUCGAGUCAAGUUCUCACUAUCUGGGAGAGACGACAAUUCGAAUCGAUUCAUAUCCAGCUGGAGGGGUAUUCCUAGCACUCACCCAAGCAUACCUCGCGAGGGCAGCUUGGAUCACCUUUAGCACAACUCCGGACCAAGUCGCGGGUCCGUCCAGCGCCGCACCCCCAAGGACCACCAAUCUGCCAGGGCAGGACUCCAACCUGACACCUUGGGCUUACGUCAUUUACUUCCCGCACAUCCUUGCUACCAACCGGGGUGCGCACUCAUACAGAACCGGGUAUCCGGCCUGAGUUGCACUCGUAGGCUUCGCGGUUGGAACGACUUUUCCGGCCAACUAAGUGUUAGGCAUGCGUUCAACAUGACACGAGGACGUACAGCAAAUCGGUCCUUAACCGACACAGACGGGGAUAGAUUCACACCCAAGACCUCCAUGCCUUGUUGCUGCACUAUCGUCAUCCCGUCCGGUCUCAAUUCAUUAUUAGUCUUUGGUUAUUUCCACGAUAGCAAAUAUAACCAACCGUGAUCAAGUAUCCACCUAUCUCUCGCAGGUGACAGGAAAUCACCCGGCUUGUACCGAGCUAAGCAUGGCUAAGCAUCAUUUCGAUCCUGGACCUACUUAGGUAAGUUAUGAGGUGGACAAGGUAGUCAUUAUGCAGCAAGGGUGUCAUAUCAACGCCUAACACUUAAUGCAACAAUACAUAACCAUAGUUAUUUGACAGCUGGACAUGAUAACAAAAAAAUAGUAGGAGGCUUAUAAUGCUCCAGGGCUUGCCUUCGAUGUAGGUAGAGGGACGAUGGUCGGGACACUCCGGUAGAUCCUCCUCCUCAGCUCCUUAAGGUGGCUCCCCCUGCUGCUCCUUCGGCUCGGGUGGUGUGAACUCCAAGACCGUCACGCCCUUGGGUACACCUAAGUAUGCAUGACAAGGUGAUGAAUAAAGGGAAUGCACACAUGAUGCAUGAUGUUAUGAUGAUAAGCCAAAAGAACAUGAAACAAGAUGCAACAUGAUCAAAAGUUCCUAAGAGUAAUUGAAUCCUGACUAAGUAAGUAAGUGCAUACUUCUUCUCUGGUAGAGAGGCUAACUAGACAAGCUACUCAACCGUAGCUACUCACACUAAGUAACUGGUGUCAUGGACAGAUUAGCUUGUCAUAAGAUUCAGCUAUAACCUAGGCAUCAUUUGGCCAAACUAAGCAAGUGGGCACUUUCUGGAAAGCUUAACAAAUUUUCUACAAUUAGCUUUCAGACAUCCAAGAAGGAUUCCCAGCCGAAAUAGGUUGAAACAGACAAAGUUGGCUGGCUGCUUUGGAAAAUCCAGAGAGCAAGCACUUUGCAGCAACUUCAUGCAAUAGUCAUAACUAGUCAUAACUUUUAAACUACUCAGCCAAAUGUCAUGGAAUUUGGACACAAGGUAGAUAAGUAAGUUAGCUACAAGUUUGUUGUAGAUAAGUUUUCCAGAAAACCUCACCUUCAAGCAGUUCUUAAACAAUUGCUAUCAGCUAUACAGAAUAUGCUCUAGGAAAGACAUAAGUAGCAAAAUAAUAUUUUGACACAUACUAAGAAUGUAACAUUGGUUGAAACCAAAUGCACCAGUAGAUAGAACAUGUAUAAGAAACACCAGAAAACAUCAUGGCAAGGUUUAAACUCAUUUCUAUUAUCCCCUUUUCUAUUUAUUUGAUUAUUAGGAUGAUUUAAUGAGCAUGUAACACAAGUGCUCCAAAAAUUCUAAUACAAUUACAGCAAGCCAACUAGACCACCACCAGUUCACUGUAAAAUUUUCAGGGCUCUUGCACAUGCAGAUUGUGAGAUACAAAAAUGACAAGCUAACAAUGGCAUUAAAGGCAUAAUUGUGAAACCCUAUCAAAAAGUGCCAAACAACAGAUUUCAUAUUUUUCUUAGUUUUUCUUAGACAUGAUUACAUCACUCAGCAAGUUUCAACAUAAAAGGAGUUAUAACUUAUUUACUAAAAAUAAUGAAACUUCUAUUUAAACAAGAAUUAUUUAAAACUCCACCAACAGUUAUCCAAAAAUCAUGAUAAAUUUACAAGAGCCUAUUCACACCUUAAGUAACACUCUCCUAAAUUUUCAUGGCCAUAAGACUCAUAGAUCUCAAGAUAUAAUUACCUCCUAUUAAACAAGAUUAAAUCAUAUCUAUCUAUUUAUGCAAAAACAUGGCAUGUUUUAUAUUUUUAAUAAAAACUAGACUAACACAAGAACCUAACAAAAUUGGAAUCACUCCAUUUGGAUCUGUAUAGCUCGAGUUAUGAAUUUUACAAAAACAACACAGGAUCUGCAAAAUAGUAGACACCACACACCAGGGAGAGAGAGACAGAGGCUGACAGGUGGGGUCUGCUGACAGACGGGACCCACGCGAUAGAGAGACAGAGACAGGGGAGAGCUCGUCACCGGUGAAACUCGACGACGGCGAGGUCUCGGUCGAAUCCAAGGGCACCAUCGUGACCCUCUCACCAAGGCGGACCUGCCGAGGUGCAAAACCCUAACUCUACCAAGCUCUAGAGGCUCGUCGGUGUGAAUGGCGGCUCGGCGGCGCUGCGGGCGGUACGCUGGCGUGCUCUGCCGAUGCCGUCCCAGUUGAGCUUCACGCCGAGCAUCAGUGAGUCAAGGGGAAGCUCUAGGAACAAAAAUGAGAAGGAAUGGUAGAGCAGGGAGGUUUGGCCAUGUCGCCGGUGAUCUCUGCGAACUCCAGUGAGGUGGAGCUCGCGACGGAGUGGACAAUGUGGCCUCACGAGUGCUCGGCUAAGGGAAAGAGAUGUACGUCGAGGUAGAGGACGUCGAGGCGGCGCUCUAGGCGGGCUGGCUUGGCCGGAGACACGGUGGAGCGGUCGGGAAAGCUCGCCGAAGCACGGCGGAGCUUGCCGAGAACGAAGGUGGAGGGAAUGGAGCGCUCUGAGCGAGUGGAGGUCGCGUCUGAGGCGUCCUUGCGGUGUGUGGCGACUUAUGGGCGACGCUGGAGCUGACAGGAGGGCCAUCGACGGCGUACGGCCGACAGGUGGCCGGACAUGUGGCGGCGGGUGAGCUCUGUCCCAACUGAAUCGGGCGAUUCAGUCGCCGUGGACAGUAACUGAAACUCGAUUUUCAUCAACGUUUUACUCUCAAUUCACUCGAUGGUUUUGGCUCGGAUUUGUUCCUUUAGAUAGAUCUACAUGAGUUCUCAAGAUUGCUUAAAGGAUCAAGGUCUAACUCGGCCUGGAUUUCAAGCUAUAGAGCUCCCAAGUACCCUAUAUCGAAACUGCCGAUUCCAGACUUUGCUAAAUUCGGCUAUGUGUGGAAACAGCCCUAAUUUCUGGCUUGUGAGCAAAUUUUGAAUGUGUUCCAUGCAUUUUCAUAAAAAAUCAUCAACACAACUUUUGUAGCUUAUGAAAUUUACUACAACUUUACUUUAGAUGUCAUUUACAUGCAAGGUCUCUAACACUGGUUUCAUAAAAGGUCUUUGAAAAGAGGUUUAGGGGGGUCAACUAGGCCAACCUAGGGCUAACCAUGACCUAGGGGCAUUUUUGGGCAAAACCUCCAACAUAAACUUUGUUCAAAAUGUUAUUCUAAACAUGAUUAACGUAUUUUGGAAGACAAUGUGCACUUAUAUGCAUUGGUCACACAUUACUAUCACCUAUAGCAAGUCACACAAGCAAUUCAAUCACAUAGUGUAUACACCAAAUGACAUGUGAUCAUGGUGUGAUGCUCAUGAGUGAUCAUGAUGAUGAUUAUGUUGAUGCAAUGCUCAUGGUUAACAUGCAAGCUAACACUAGGAGUGUUACAUCAUCGGCAGUAAUCUGGUGCUGAGGAUCCACCGAUGUGCUUUUUUCAGCUGCCUCUGAAGUCAAUACUUUGGUCUUUCCCUUAGCAUCCAACAUAUUUGUAGGGAAACGAUGUUGGUCGAUCUUCAUCGGCUUUUGAGCUUUGGAGUUAUCGAACCUAAUUCUCCCAAACUCUAUAGCCGACUGCAGCUGCUGCCUGAAAACUUUGCAUUCAUUUGUACUAUGAGAUGUUGCAUUAUGCCACUUGCAAUACUUAAUCUUCUUUAAUUCUUCUGCCGAUGGAAUCACAUGGUUAGGUGACAACUGAAUUUGCCCCUCCUGAAGCAAAAAGUCAAAUAUCCUAUCGGCUUUGGUGAUGUAAAAUGCAAACUUUUCUGGAUCUUUAUGCCCAAAAGGGCAAGACAUCGGCUUUUUAUUUUUUACCCAUUCUGCCAAGCUGAUGACUGGCUCUUCAUCAGAAUCUGAGCUCGUUGCCUCAUCGACAAAUGACACCUUUUUGUUCCAUGCCCUCUUGGGUUCAAAAGCUUUGAUAUCUUGGUCAGAAAUCCACUGCACUAAAUGGCUCAGACUUUCAAACUCUUGAGAAGCAUACUUGUCUUUAAUGUGUGGCAACAACCCUUGGAAAGCCAAAUUGGGGAGCUGCCGAUCAUCCAAAACCAGACUAUAACAUUUAUUCUUAACAUCUCGCAACCUUUGCACAAAGCUCUCAACCGAUUCGUCAUUGCUCUGCCUUAGCCUGACUAAAUCGGUAAUCUUCUUCUCAUGCACUCCAAAAAAGAAGUAUUUAUGGAACUAUUUUUCUAGAUUGGCCCAGGUGAUCACUGAGUUUGGAGGUAAUGAAAUAAACCAAGUAAAGGCCGAUCCAGACAAAGAUGAUGAGAAUAAGCGAACCCUUAACUCAUCUCUGUUAGCAGUUUCCCCAUACUGGAUGAUGAACCUAUUAACAUGCUCCAUGGUUGACGUAUCAUCCUGCCCCGAAAACUUGAUGAAAUCCGGCACCUUGUACCGAUUUGGAAGCGGAAUUAAGUCAUAUGCUGGAGGAUAUGGUGUCCGAUAAGAGUAAGUGUUGACUUUGGGUUUUAUCCCAAAUUGGUCUCUCAUCACCUCAGCUAUCUUAUCGGCCCAGUAAGCAUCAGCAUAUUGCCGAUGAGCUUGUUGUGGAUUCGGCAUCUGCUGAUAAGCUUCCACAUGUCUCUGCAGUGCACGAUCCCUACAGAACAUAGGAUUAGCCACCGCCUGUUGACCACCAACUUGGUGACCAAGAUUCAUCGGCUGGUUGAUCAACCCUUGAUUUUGAAAUCCAGGUUGCAUUGGUCCUUAUUGAAAUCCCAUAGCCUGAUGAUUUUGCUGAGGCAUCUAUGGAAAGACAAACUGCCCUGUCCAUCCAUUGUUAACAUUCAUCGGCGUAGGUCCUGCCGAUGGCUGAUAAUUGGGCACCAUCAUCGAAUUGACAUACCCUAGCUGUGUCAUAAACCUUUGCUGUGUCAGCAUUGGAUCUGCCGAUGCAUUAGGCAUCUAGAACGUUGGCAUUUGAGAAUUCCUAGCAAAAGGUCUUGUAGUAGUAGUUGUAGAAUACUUGGGAUUCUGAGUCAUCGGUGAGCCUGGGGGUGCCGAUGCCAUAGGAGCAUUGCCUGUCAUGUCAGCCACUUGAGAUGUCCCAGAACUUUUUGCCAUAAAUUCUGGGGGCAUACCAUAUCCCCACCAAUUGGGAGGAACAGAUACUGACAUUGCUGAUGCUAAUAAAUCUGUAGCAAGUUUGACUUGUCCCUCUGAUGUUGAUGGAUUAGUCGUCAUCGGUGUAGAUUGCGCAUUAGUCAUCCCUAAUGUGCUUGGAGGAGAAGUAACUUCCGUACCUGCAACGGCUGUAGUAGCCGAUGGAGCCGUAACCGAUGAUGAUCCUGGCUGAUGAUAGUCAGGGCCCACAUAAGAUGGUGGUAUCUGUCCUUCUUUGAAAGUUCUAGCCACAACAUUGAAAACUGUAUUGGACAGCACAUUAGAUUGAUUGAUUAGAGCACAAAUGAUAGCACUGUCAACCAUCUCUUGUUGUUUACUAGGAUUGGCUUCAAAAGUGAUUUGCCGAGGCAUCAACAAUGCUUCCUUUUGGAUCACCUCGCCACUCCUGUUGAUAUUGAAGGAUUUCAAGCAUAGCUGCUUGUAGUCCUCCAUAGCUUUUGCCAUAUCUUGCUUCUAUUCAUCUCUGAGAUUGGCUUCCGUCACGGGGAUGACGUUCUCCAAGUCGAAAUUAGUGUUCGACAUAAUGAUCUUGAUGUUGAAUCAUUGUCCCACUGGGCGUGCCAAAAGAUGUGUUCGUGCAAAAGUAGAUCUACAAACACAAAGGGCUAAUACCCGAUUCAACAUUAAGACGUGCCAGCCGAUUUGACCUUACAAUCGACAAAGGUGGUAACUCGAAUACUUUGGUCCCGACAACAGCGAUGCGCCCGGAUGUCACGGCCAAGAGGUAUUCACACGGAACUCGAGAAUUCACCGAGGUUAACUCGUUGUAAAAGGAAAAUAUGCAGGUUGAUGAAGUCGUCAAAAGUAGAUGCUGAAAUAGAUGUAAAAACUUGUGUUUGGUUGAUUGUGUCUAACAUUACAUCGCUACGGGGUCUCAUAUUUAUACCCUGCCCAAAAGGGUUACAAUCAGACACGACUAGGACUCGAAUUCCAAAUUGAACGGAAUCCGUACACAAAACAAACUCUAAUAACUGUGGAAAGCAUUAAGUUAUCUUCCACAACCGUUCGGUACACCACCUUGAAUCGAUCGACAAUUCCAGCGCCUUUCUUUGUGACCAUCGGCGAACCACCUUUCAUAGCCAUCGGCAACCAUCAGCACCAUUCAUCGGCAUGAAUCCCUCACCACUCCUAGACUUGGCCAUAUUCUGUCGUUUUCUCAUCGGCACCAACCCUCAUUGGCAACUCUCCUGUCAACUAGUCACCACUUUUCUGCCUGCCGAUCUACGCCUUAUUAACUCCAGAUACGCAUCCAAAGAUACGUGUCCAAAAACGGUGUCGACACUGCCAAGCUAGACCUGCUCAUGAAGAAGCUCGAUGAUAAAGCUAGAGAUAAGAAGGAAGUUAUGCACGUCUAUGACUCUCACAUGAUUUGUGAGGACUGUGGAGAUACUGGACACUCAGGCAAUCACUGCCCUGAGAUGCUUGAGGACGUGAACUACAUCAACAACAAUAACAACAACAACUACUACCACCGUCGUCAACAAAAUCAAGAUUGGAAUCAACAGAGGCCUAACUACUCAGGUAAUUAUCAAAGUAACAAUUCUUACAAUAAUAAUAAUAAUUUUCCACCUCUGAGAGAGUUAGUGUCUAAUCAAGGAAAGCUAAUGGAUAACCUAUCUAAGAAAUUGGCAUCUAAUGAUAAAAUUCUAGAAAAAAUAAAUAAUAGAAUGAAUAAUUUCUCUACUGCCAUCAAGAAUCAAAUUAGCUUUAAUAAAAUGAUUGAAUCUCAGUUAAAUCAAAUAGCUGCUGCUGUUCCAGCUACUAACCCCGGUAUACCAUCACAACCUUAAGGAUUAGAAUCUGCAAAUCUUGUAGACAUGUUUGAUACAGGUAACUACUGGAGUAACCCCGUCGCGGAAGUUACUACUGACCUUCUACCGGUCAAGAGAGGCGAUCUAGGACGCCCUGCCAUCCCGAUCUCCAUCGACAUGGUGGACUUCCCAGAAGCACUCUGCGACUUUGGCUCUAGUGUCAACAUUAUGCCAGGGUACUCUAUGAAAAAUUCUUUAUAUAUCCUUUAUUAGAAACAACCAUGUGUUUGCAGCUUGCCGAUCGGACAUUAAGUUUCCCAAAGGGAAUAUUGAAGAACCUUUGCGUCCGAGUUGGUACCUUGUACGCCCUAGCAGACUUCGCGGUGACAGAGACCGGUAAUGAUGAGAGGGCACCCGUCAUCUUAGGGAGGCCAUUCCUGAACACCUCGAGAGCUGUCAUCUACGCUAGUGCUGCCAUGAUCAGUUUUUACAUCAAGGGGAGGAAGGAGACGUUUUCCUUCAAGGACAAGACUACACAAAUCCCAGAGCAAUCCCGACAUGAACCAAGGAAGAGGACCAACAGGAGGAACAGGAACAAGCAAGUGUGGACCGAGUCAGCUAAGAUGGUCACUGCAGUUCAAGGAGGUCAAGAUCAUCGACUCAAGUCACCAUUCCUGACCAAGAAGGACGACCUAGGUAUGCCAAGCAUCCAGUGCUCCAUUAAUUGGUACAACUUCUACAAGAUGCUUUGCGACACCGGAUUGGGCGUCAACAUAAUAGCCGCAGUCACCUAUGAGCUCCUGUUUGGAACCAUAACCCUAAAACUGACAUACAUUCAGCUCCAGAUGACAGAUCAGACAUUUCGAAAGGUUGAAGGUAUAGUAACUGAUGUCCCUAUUAAAAUAGAUAAUCAUUUUGUCCAUACAGACUUUCAGGUUAUUGACAUUGGAGAAGGCGAGUAUGAUCCACCCAUCGUCCUUGGGAGACCUUUCCUCAGUACUGUUAAACCAAUCAUCUACAUUGGAACUAGAGCAUCUCAUUCUCCCCAAAAAGUUUCAAAAGAGCAAGAACGGUAUGUAUCCCCUCAAGUAGAAUUAGACUUUCACCAUUGUUGUCGCCAUCAUCACCAUACACCAUUCAUUUUGCCACACAUGCACAUCUUGAUUUGACUUAUUGACUUGUUUCUCUGGAUCCAUGGUUUGACUAUGCAAUAAAUGUCUUGUAAGUAUGUAUACUUUAUCUCCCACCUAUGAGCUCCAGAUAUCAAAAGCCUUAUUAAAGUAGGGUGAGAGAGAGAGAGCAAGGUCACUGUGCUUUAUACUACAAAUACCACAUACUUUGAGAGAGAAGGGAUAUACCAUCACUGCCUUGGUAAGGAUCCAGAAAUACCACAAAAGAGAGAUCUGAGAGAGUCAUACAAGGAAUCUCUGAGUUUUAUUUGAAAAUCUGCAAAAACUCCAGAGCUAUGGCUAAUCAAGAAUAAGAGACAUGGCGCUUGACUAGACCGUUCUAUCUUUUAACUGCUCAAGACAGAAAUGACGGUUACAAGUCCCAUGGUAAAAGGUAAAAUGAGUAAGUUUUAAAUCUUGACGGUUUACUCUAACUCAGAGAUGAGACCUUAUUUGAAAGCAUGUGUACCAUCAAAACUCAAAGGUAUUACGCAACUUCUGAUCCAUCACUGAGAUUAUCCUUGCUCAGGGACGAGCAAGAGGUAAGCUUGGGGGAGUUUGUUGACAUUCCUUAAAUAUCAAAUAUAAUCAACAAAUAAACAAAGAAAAGGAUCCAAAUGCAACCGGCACCUAGACUUAGGGUUUUAUCGGACAGAAUUCCAUGAGUUUUGGUGUUUGUCUAUUUCUGCAGGGGGUUAUCAGGAAUUAUGGAAGAAAGGCCCACACGUCGGGUUUACAUAGAGAUAUUAAUGUGCACCACAAUUAUCUAACAUCUAGAAGAGUCCAGAAGCCACGGGAACGAGCGGGAGGCCGAGCGAGCCCGGGGGCAGGGCGCCCGCCCUCCCCCCUUGGGCGCUCGCCCUGGCCUGAGAGCCAAUCAGGCUCCGCCUCGCGGAUCAUGCUCCACCGACCUAAGGGAUUAAGGAAAACCGUGCGAUUAAGGUCAGUUUGAUCUGACGGUCCAUAUUCAUUUGGAGGGACUAUAUAAGCAGACCCCCUGGCCCUUGGAGGAGAGGACCGGAGAAACCCUAAUUCAUUCGUACAUCUUUGGAGAAGAAGUCCCUGAUCAAGCACUAGAGCCACCACAUCAACUAGAUCUCUAGUUUUGCAUCUCUAGUUUAGCAUAGCUACAUAGGAUUAGAACUAGAAGGAAUCAAUCUUCGAUUGGUUUCCGGAUCUGUCAAGAGGACUCUUGGUAAUUCCUCAACUGUUCUUCAUUUGUUCAUCAUUGUUCUUCAAUAUUAUGAAUAUGACUUUAUUCUACUUCAAUAUAUUGAUUAUGACUUUGCUCUACUUGUUUAUAUUUGCAAUUAUAUUGUUCUUAAUUUAUCAUAGUUAUAUGCUUGUCGUAGUCAGAUUGGAAUUAUAUACAUGUUUAGGAUCAUAUAGCGUUUAUCCAUGUGUACAAUGGGUAAAUGAUAAGUAUUAUGUAGGCGUGGUGCCUAUGCCGUAUUUAUCUGCGAUUGUACCCUAUAUGCCGGAUCGCGGGGUAGUUCGUGGUGGUGACAGCUCCAUUGAUUCUUGUAUAGUCCCCCUCUCGUGUAUAGGGCAGGUAGAGCAACAUUAUUACAGGGGAGUGAUUGCUAUGUUUCUUAUCUUCCUUGAUAAUAUCACUAUGCAUGGGCGUAGUCCUGUCUCGCAAUGAUUGCCAAGUAUAAUUGCACUAACUAUGAUAUGCUAGACUUUAUAGUUAAGAAUAACUUAGGAAAUAUUCUUGUAGUUCAUCCUAAUUCCAUGCUAAUGACUUGCUAGAAUAUCUGUUGAGGUGCUUAUCAUUAUUAUAUGUGGCUAGUUAUGCUGAUCAGAUUAAUUAUGUUUGUCACCAGUCAUACUUUUUCUAUAUUUUAUGUGACAUUUAUCCCUGUAUGAAAGAGAUAGAUAAAUGCUCUCCAUUAUACAUGCAAUGAUGGAUACUCAAUUCCAUAUUUCAUUCCAUAAUCAACAUUGAAGAUUAGCAAUCCCUUCCCAGUGGUAAAAAUAUAAAUAACGAUACCUGGAAUACUUUCCGAUUAAAAUGCUACAUCGGUAUUAAUCUGUGCGCUUGCAGAUCUCAUUUAUUAUUCAUUCAGAAGAGCAAUUGCAUAUUUCAUUACCGCGUCUCUCAUGUCAUGCUGGGGAUGACAACUUGGCUUAAGUGGAAUGAGGGAUAGGUUUGGCAUUUUGGGCACCAUUAUCAGAACUAGAAAACUAAGUCUACUUUUGGUAAUGACGUUAAGAAUGCCCAAAAGAUGUGAACCUAACGGUAUACCUAAAGCUUUGAUUACCACUUGAUGAGAACAAGGGUGGCCCGAUCUUCCGAAAGGUUUUGAUAACUCUCGAUUUGGUGGAGACGAGACACAAUUCGAUCCGGCUUCCGAACAACACGAUCUGAAACCCUGCAAUUUUUUUUCGAUAUUUUUCUUUUAGUUACGAGCACCAAAGGAGUAACCACAGAAAAUUUGAGCUUAAACAAGUGAAACACAUGGCCUGCGGAAUUUUUUGAAGAUUGUGAAAAAUGUGAAAAAAACUUGACGAGGUGAAAACUCAAAAUUUGGAGGUGAAUUUGGAGGUUCUAUAAUUUUCAAACCCACCAAUGGAGGGGACAGACAUAUCUGAAAUUUUUUUUUGAUCAAUUUUGAUAUAUGGAACGUUGAAAUCGGAGUUCGUAUGCGAAAGUUAUGGCUAUUUUACGAACGGACUCCAAAUUAGAGGACAAAAUGGUCCGAAAGUAGGAAAAAUUCGCGGCAGUGGCUAGAAAUUGAUGGAAACGGUGGGAAAAAACACACAAACUGGACUCUAACAAGACCUAACCAGCAACAAGACCUCGACCAGGACACAAACUCAACACUGUGGACUGUCAAACUGAAAUAUACAAAGGCUAUGGCGCGGAAGGGUUGUAGGACAAUAAAACGAUAUGACACUAGACUUAUGGGACAAACACAAGAACACUCAAAAGUAAGGGUAGAUGUGAACCUAAUGGUAUACCUAAAGCUUUGAUUACCACAUGAUGAGAAUAAGGGUGAUCCGAUCUUCUGAAAGGUUCUGGUAACUCUCAAUUUGGUGGAGACGAGACACAAAUCGAUACGGCUUCCGAAUAACAUGAUCCGAAACGCUACAAAAUUUUUUUAUUUUUUUGAUAUUUUACUUUUAGUUAGGAGCACCAAAGGAGUAACCAUAGAAAAUUUGAGAAUAAACAAGUGAAAUACAUGGCCUGCGAAAUUUUCUGAAGAUUGUGAAAAAUGUGAAACAAACUUCAUGAGGUGAAAACUCAAACUUCGGAGGUGAAUUUGGAGGUUCUAAAAUUUUCAAACCCGCCAACGGAAGGGACAGACAGAUCCAAAAUUUUUUUCUGAUCGAUUUUGAUAUAUGGAAUGUUGAAAUCGGAGUUUGUAUGUGAAUGUUAUGGGUAUUUUACGAAUAGACUCCGAAUUAGAGGACAAAACGGUCUGAAAGUGGGAAAAAAUUGCGGCAGUGGCUAGAAUUUGAUGGAAACUGUGGGGAAAAACACAUGAACUGGACUCUAACAAGGCUUAACCAGCAACAAGACCUCGACGAGGACACAAACUCAACACUGCGGACUCUAAAACUAAAAUAUGCAA
rnacentral:lncRNA from 1 species